GCUUCAAGAAAGAACUUAUUUGUCUUUUAUUCCCAUGUUUGAACUAGUACAGGUCGAGGUUACACAUGAUGGUGCACAUCACUUUAUUUAUCAUCGUUACAUUAUGCUCCAUUUACUAACAAUGAUGAUUCACCCGUCUAGUAUUACAUCUCUUCAUUUCAUCUGCCACUGAUACUUAUAACGUCGCUCCCAGAUGGUUGUUGUUGUGGAUAUUGUUUGUAUGGGGAAGGUUCUUGUGAUUGCUGGGGUGGGUAUGGUAUUGGAAAUUGUUGUUGGGAAAAUUGUUGUGGUGGUUGCUGGGGGAAUUGUUGUUGGGGUAAUUGUUGUUGUUCGAGGUAUUUUUGUGGUUGGGAGAAUUGUUGUUGCGGUAAUUGUUGUUGUUGGGGGAAUUGUUGUUGUUGGGGGGAUUUCUGUUGGGGGAAUUAUUGUUGGGGAAAUUGUUGUUGCGGGAAUGGUUGUUUGGGGAAUUGUUGUUGCGGGAAUUGCUGUUUUUGGGGAAAUUGUUGUUAUUGGGGGGAUUGUUGCUCGGGGAAUUGUUGUNNNNNNNNNNNNNNNNNNNNNNNNNNNNNNNNNNNNNNNNNNNNNNNNNNNNNNNNNNNNNNNNNNNNNNNNNNNNNNNNNNNNNNNNNNNNNNNNNNNNNNNNNNNNNNNNNNNNNNNNNNNNNNNNNNNNNNNNNNNNNNNNNNNNNNNNNNNNNNNNNNNNNNNNNNNNNNNNNNNNNNNNNNNNNNNNNNNNNNNNNNNNNNNNNNNNNNNNNNNNNNNNNNNNNNNNNNNNNNNNNNNNNNNNNNNNNNNNNNNNNNNNNNNNNNNNNNNNNNNNNNNNNNNNNNNNNNNNNNNNNNNNNNNNNNNNNNNNNNNNNNNNNNNNNNNNNNNNNNNNNNNNNNNNNNNNNNNNNNNNNNNNNNNNNNNNNNNNNNNNNNNNNNNNNNNNNNNNNNNNNNNNNNNNNNNNNNNNNNNNNNNNNNNNNNNNNNNNNNNNNNNNNNNNNNNNNNNNNNNNNNNNNNNNNNNNNNNNNNNNNNNNNNNNNNNNNNNNNNNNNNNNNNNNNNNNNNNNNNNNNNNNNNNNNNNNNNNNNNNNNNNNNNNNNNNNNNNNNNNNNNNNNNNNNNNNNNUCUAUUGUGGGAAUUGCUAUUGGGGAAAUUGUUGUUGGGGGAAUUGUUGUUGUUGCGGGAAUUGCUGCUGUUGAGGGAAUUGUUGCUGGGGGAGUUAUUGUGGUUGGGGGAUUUGUUGUUGGGGGAAUUGUUGUGAUUGCUGGGGGGAUUUGAUGUUGUUGGGGGAGUUGUUGUUGGGGGAUUUGUUGUGGUUGAGGGAAUUGUUGUGGUUGGGGGAAUUGUUGUUGUUGUGUAUGCAAUUCCUUGCCUAUAGGGCUUAGUUGCCUAGUGGCACUGGCGUUGUUCAUUGUCAUGGCAAGGAGGACAAAUAUGAUGAAGGUCUUCAUGUUUGAUUUGUAUUUACUAUUGCUCACUUGUCUUUGAUGUUUUAGCUCCAGGUGCUUGAAGGUUGGAUGAUGGAAGAGACCCACAUGGUGUAGUAGCAUUUAUAGCUGGCAUCGCACAUUUUCUUUUCAUCUUCACACUCUUUUCUUGAAAAAGUGCUCUUAAGCUUAUCGACCUCAUAAUUUGGUAUGUUGUGUUUGAUGGCACUACAUACUAGCGUGAUUUUGGAUUGUUCAUCAUAGCUGAUUGUUCUUGCUCAUAUCAUCUCGGUGUAUCAAAUGCUUGAUAACGACGAAUGACUCAUCGUAUUCACUUUACACUUCAAACAUUGAUCUAGAUUUUAUCCAUCUUUCUGAUUUAGCUUGUGAUGUUCUGCAUGUUGUUAGGUGUAUCCAGAUUGGCAUAACUUAAGGGAACUAAGUUUGUAAUCUUCACACUCGCUUCUUGAAAAAGUGUUCUUAAGCUUAUCAAUUACCUAAUAAUUUGGUAUGUUGUGUUUCAUGGCACUACUUACUAGUGUGAUUUUGGAUUGUUCUUCAUAAUUGAUUGUUCUUGCACAUAUCAUCUAGGUGUAUGGAAUGCUUGAUAACGACAAAUGACUCAACGUAUUCACUUGACACUUCAAACAUUGAUCUAGAUUAUGUCCCUCGCUCCAAUUUAGUUUGUCAUGUUCUACAUGUUGAUAGGCGUAUCCUGAUUGGCAUACUUAAGGGAACAAAGUUUGUAAUCUUGUGUGAGUCCUUGAGAUAGAUCACACUAUUAAUGUGAAGAUUGUUCUAGACACUAUUUUUUCUGAACUAACUUUAUAUAUUUUGCACAAUAUAUUUGUAUGAUGGAUAAGCAUCCAUGAAUCAUCAUACUACCUUUUCGUAUGGAGCGGUUGUAUUGUCAUAUGAGUUACUAAUACAAAAACAAUUAUUAGGGCUUUGCGCAGCUUGAUUGAUUCACUCCACAUAGACAUGAACAUUUCUUUUGUAUUUCAUUCGUUAGUUAAUCUAAGUUUUUACAUAUUGUUUCAAAUUGUUCAGAUAGUUUCGUGGUUUCUUUUAUUGAAUUUAUAACCACCAGUAUAGGAAGCUAUUAGUACUAUGAUUGUUGAUACUGAUGCAGAACAAAAAGGGAAGAGAAAGCGAUAAACAGUUGAUUUUGUCUGGUAAUUAUAUAAGUGUCUUUUUUUCUAUUUUCUUGUAAGCAUGGAACGUACAAAAAAGAAAUGAAAUUAGUUCUCCUUCUACACGAUACGUGAAUAAACUAAUUUAGGACCUAUCAUGGCUAACUAAAUGGGAAGCAGCCUGUCGCCAUCAUGCAGCAAAAACAAGCCAUAAUGCCGUACACUUGGCUCAUGCAACAUGCACACGUGAACAAAAGAAGAGCCUAGCUAUUGGUAUAUUUAAAUUUGUUUUCCUUCUCUUAUCCUUGGCGAUAUCAUUCAUACAUAUGUUUGCACCAAAUUAAUUGACUUGUCAAUGUCAUGGACCAGCUAGCAUACUGCUGGUUUUGUUUGUGUGGCUUUAGGUUUUGCGAAUCCUCUACAUAUGUUUUUUUUCAUUCUUUUGCCUUCUACCACUUAUUUUCAGAUUGAUGGAAAGCGAAGUUUCUGAAACAUGGUUACCGAAAAAGGCUUUCGGCCUGCUUUCUGAAACAUGAUUACAUCCUCCUCCAUGCAGCUUUGUGGAGGCUAAUUAUAAUUGGAACUCCUAUUAAUCACACUGGAUGUCAUGCCAGAUUCAUGCAAAAUUUGCCGGAUCGAUUGACCAGGAUUUGACCCUUGGAUUUUUAAUCAUUUACUCCCUCCGUCCGGAAAUACUUGACAUUGAAAUCGAUAAAAAGAGAUGUAUCUAGAACUAAAAUACGUCUAGAUGCAUCCCCUUUUUUCCAUUUUGAUGACAAGUAUUUGCGGAAGGAGUGAGUACGUAGUAAUUUUUGUUGUACAUGGAUUAGUCAAGGUAUAGUCGAUCCACCAUCAUCACUGUGAAUCAGUAUUAUGGAGUCAGAACAUGUCUUUGUCAGAGAACGAAGUAGGAGUAACAAAUGAGACAGGAAAAAGCAAAAGAGACCUCACUCUCACACACUCACUAUCCACCUGCCUCAUGUUAAUGUUGUGUUGAAAUACCUAACUAGCUAGCUAGCAUAUCAUAGGUUGUCCUUCUCUAAAAAAACUAUAGAAAGUUCUUUGCAUGUAGUUAAUUAAGCAAGUGUAAUUUUAAAAGAAAAACUAUUCUGAAGUUGUUGGUCUGUUUGCUGUUGCUAUUGUUUUUGUUGUUCUCGAUACAGGAUUUCGCACUGUUUAUAAAUAAAGCAACAUCCAAAGAUGUACAAGGCCAACUGAUACAAUAUGGUGAGGUAGCCCUUACAAAGCCGAUCUUGAGAUAUCGGACACAAGGAAAAAGCACGCGACUACGCUGCCAGCAACAAGCACCGGAAGAACUAAACAUCCUCACGCUACGAACUAGCACACCAAAGCUCCACGAGAACGCCCCCAAGAGGGAGAACAGCAUAGAGCGUCGCCGCUUCCAAGUCCAUACCGGACAAAGGUCUACACCCGGAGCCCUGACACUGAGAUAAGAAGCACAACGACGUCUUCAAGAAGAGUGUGGCACCCAUGAGUGUCGUCGGCAGCGGCGCCCAGGCAUAGAGCUUUCGCUAGGUAACUCACCUGUGCCACCAUGAGGUCCUCAAGAGUAGCGCCGCGAUGUUCGAUCCCCAGAUCUUGAUUAGGAUGCUGCCCCUCCGAGAGAGAGGGCACGUCUGAGCUACUAACCGCAAUACCUACCGUUGCCCACACAACCCGGGAGGGGAGCCACCAUCACCGGAAUAAUGCCCGCCAAAGAGCAACCAUGCGGCCCGCCAUCAGGGGCCGCCAACCCAGUAUCCCUGUCGCGAGAUACCAUACGCCACUCACAUCACAUAGCAACCAACCACGGUAAGAAGAGCGACAAGACUCCAUCUACUCCUAGCCUAGCCUCUGUCCCAAUGUUUGGUUAUGCGCCUCCACCGUAGGACGCACCCAUACAUGCAUCCCCAGCCAAUGCUCUGUGGACUAGGGGGGCCACUGGCAAGCCAGCCUCGAGCCCCUGGUUAGGCGAUCUCACACGACGCCAUGUUCGUGUUCUCCGACACUGAUCCGCUCAUGAAUGCAACGCUAACACAACCAUCACCACCGAUCACCACCCAAGCUGGCUCACUUCACAAUGCACACAUCAUGGUAGGUAAAGCCUGACAUCAGUCACCUAGCCAGUGACUGCCGACGGCCAUCAUCGAGGCCAGCUCAGACGCCAAGUCUGCGAACUGAGGAACUGGUCCGCAAGCCGGCAUAAUGUAUCCCUGACAACCACAGCCAUGAACCAUCACCGACGCUACAACGUGUGGAGGUGCCUCCCCCAACCUAGCUUCAAGCAUCCAGCUUGGCUUGAUCGGCAGUGACCUAGAGCCAAGAAACACUACUCCAUGACGACUAAGCAUCGAACCUCAUGUGAUGAGAAACCAACCCUGACAAGGACGACCAUAUCAAAAUCCAUGCCCGGUAGCUAGUCUGCCGACGUACGCACCCAGACAAGGCGGGCGCCGCCCCAUCAAGAGGGGNNNNNNNNNNNNNNNNNNNNNNNNNNNNNNNNNNNNNNNNNNNNNNNNNNNNNNNNNNNNNNNNNNNNNNNNNNNNNNNNNNNNNNNNNNNNNNNNNNNNNNNNNNNNNNNNNNNNNNNNNNNNNNNNNNNNNNNNNNNNNNNNNNNNNNNNNNNNNNNNNNNNNNNNNNNNNNNNNNNNNNNNNNNNNNNNNNNNNNNNNNNNNNNNNNNNNNNNNNNNNNNNNNNNNNNNNNNNNNNNNNNNNNNNNNNNNNNNNNNNNNNNNNNNNNNNNNNNNNNNNNNNNNNNNNNNNNNNNNNCAACUCCGGUCACUGGGCAGCUGCACCAAUGCCAACCCCGCCUCUCCAUUGACACCCCCCGCCUAGAUCCACCGCUGCCAGCCAAAACCAUGGCCACCACCCACCGCCCCUUGUCAUGCCUCCACGCGCGUGAGAGGGACUGUCGAAACCCACCAUCGCCAGCUGUCACACUCAGCAGAGAGAGAACCGCCACCAUCACCCGGUGCCGCUUGUCACAACCUGGCAGCCAGAUCCACACUGCCACAACCAUCACAAGCCCGCCUACACAGUAGGAUUUGCUAGCUUUUACAAUGUCUGCACAAUUCUUCUUUCCUGUUUUCUCCAAGAUGUUGUUUUUGAAAUUUGCGUGCAGGUUUAAGGAAAGGAGGAGAUCACUAUCACCACCACCUCGUGGAAGGGGACGUCAGCAUUAGUCAUCUUUACCAUCAUCCAUCGCCAUCCCAUUGUAAUACCAAACCCUUCUGGAUCCAUACAUGUAUUAUCUGUGUGUUUCAUACAUGUUUACCACCACUGUUUCCACUAUUCGCACGAUGUUUGUCGUCUCCAUGUGUGAUUUGUUUCCUCAGUUCUCAGGGAUAUGUACGAACCAUGGUAUUAUAGGAGCUGAAAUGUUAAUUAGGGAAUGGGAUUCUCUAUGUUUAUUUUAAAAGAAUUCAUGAAUUUUGUGAAGGGGCCCCACUGAUCAUUUCCAUCGCGAGGCCACGAGGCAUAUUAUCGAGGUUGUAAAGUUUAGGAUGUUGAGGUCACUUGAGGUGAGAGUAAAAGACUCUCUACCUCACCUUUGCAACUGAUAGGGGCAUAAUAGAGAGCCCUCGAUAAGGCAACUUCCAUGGGGAAACCCUUAAUUACCGUAGUGAGAACUAGAGUGGGGAAGCUACAGUGAUGGCCUGCGGGGUAUGAAGUACACCUCGAGUAGAACAUAUUUUGCACCCGGAUAUGCCCAAUGAAAAAUAUUAAGAGUGACUCAAGUAUCUAGCUAAGAAUUGUGAAGUGGCAUAUGAUACCUUAGACACACUGCAAUGGGAAUUAUGGUGUCCCUGAGAACGUUUCAAUCCUCCACCGUUUAACAUCUUUAUUCGUUCUGCUAUGCUCUUUUAGUUCUUUUGCUAUAUUUACUUUUGUUCGCACUAAACUUAGAAGUCAAUAUAAUCUUCGCCGUUCACUUUUCUUUGUGUCGAAAACUAAGAUGCAGGCACAUUACAAUAAGUGUCUCUUACGGACAAAGUCCAAUUCAUGUAUUCCCUGUGGGAUUUAUACUCAUACUUAAAUAGGUGGAAAAAAACCAUGUGCACUUGCAGAUCAUCAAGCUUUUUCUGGCCCUAGGUGCGGAGUGCUUUUGGGCCUGUAUUACGUUUUAUUUUAUUUUGUGUUUAUGGGUGAUAAUGUGCGCCUCCACAAAUUGUUGUUUGACCGCGGCAAUGGUGGACUCCCUACGUAGGUGUGUAUCGAGUGGAGGGUUGAGGAAGCCCAUUAUGAUUUCAGUUGAUCGUAUGCAAAUUAAGAUUUUUGACUCAAGUUGAGGGGGUCAUUUUCCUUCAAAUUUAGAACCUUGUUUGAUGGGUCAUGAUUUGUGAGAGGAUACUUUUUGUCCUGCUAAGAUUGUUAUUGGAGAUAAUUGGUAGUUAAACUCAUUUUGUGAGUGGAACAUCAAAGGCGAAAAGUGCAUAAGUAAUCAAUUAUUCUCACUAUAAAUGAACAAUGAAAUCUGGGAUGGAGUUUGUCGAAAACAGAAACACCUAGUUUGAUUUAGAUCCAUGUCAGAUAAGAUGGUUGCAAACUCAUGUGGCUCACCAUUGAAGUGUUAAAUUGCAAUUACUCCUUACUUCCUAAUUAAUAGUACUUCAAUUUGAACCAAGUUUCACACACGUGAAGUAUGUUAUAUUGUUCAUAAUACUACACUUUAUAAAUAAGUAGAUAGCGCAUAACAUUGAGGUUGUAGCUAGGGAUGAAAAUCGAAAUAUGGCAUGAAUGUAACAAUUGCCAGCAAUAUGCUUUAGAAAAGAAGUUAUUUGUCUUUUAUUCCCAUGUUUGAACUAGUAUAGGCCGGGGUUACACAUGAUGGUCACAUCACUUUAUUUAUGAUUGUUACAUUAAAUGCUCCAUUGACUAACAACGAUGAUUCACCCGUCUCGUAUUACAUCUCUUCAUUUCAGUCCACCGAUACUUAUAACGUCGCUCCCAGUUGGUUGUUGGUGUGGGGAAGGUUGUUAUGAUUGCUCGGGGAAUGGUUGCUGGUGUGGGUAUGGUAUGGGAAAUUGUUGUUCGAGAAUUGUUGUUUCUGUUGCUAGGGAAAUCAUUGUUGUUGCGAUAAGUAUAUGUUCUUCCAUGAUCUAGAAAAUAAAAGACCUUGCUCUUACCGUCUCUGCAUGUCUGUCAUCAAACAUCAGUAAACUUGUUAAAAUUAAGUGAAAUGGUUCAACUUUUGGAUUACAGUUCUUGACGCCUUGAAGCGAAUUUGAUGAGUCGGGUCACUCUACGAAUUUCACUUCGUCUUAUCACUUUAGAAAACACAACAAAGUUGUUUCCAGAAAAAAAAAUCCAUGUGCAAAGCUUUACUAAUUAUCUUGUACAAACUUCAUAUACUUAGCUCUACACAAACUGUAGAAAGUUCCAAACCUCUGCCGCAAAAAAGAAUGAAACCUUGAUAAGGAUUUGACAUGUAAAGUGAAAAAGGUGAGUCAGUUUUUCCUCAAAAUAAAAUACCAAGCACCAUGCUUUCGUGACAAAUAUACGAUCUUUUGCACAGCUGACCAAACAUCUUUUGAUGAUCAAUACUAUAUUAAACUUGUGGCUAGUGCAACUUGAAAGAAUAUACAAAAUGAUCCAUUUCACAAGCAUGCAUGCAAAAAAAUUGGAAAAUGAAUGAAAAAAUUAACCUCUAGCUGGAAUUUUAUUCAAUCAUCCCAUCAAAGCUGGUACAACAACACUGACUGCAAGAUGUCCACAACCCAACACGUCCAAAACAAAAAUAGAAAAAAAAUGCAAAGACGGCAAGAGGUUAUGCCAUAAAUGGACUUGUGCCGCAUACUCAUCACAAGUACAAAACACAAAUAGAAACAUCAAAGACAUGUAGCAGUAGUCAAGAGAAAUUCACCAUAAAGACACAUCCCCAUCCUUUCCCUUACCGCCAUUGCACCGGCUAGCGCCAAUGAACAUCUCGAUGGCAGCAGGAUCAAUGCCAGUGAAAGGGUUUCACUGACUUCAUCUUGCUGAGGAAGUCCAUGAAAGGAAUCGACAUGAAAGAAAGUGUUUAGUUAGUUCAAAUAUGGAUAUAUAUCCUUAGAGCAUCCUAAUGAAUGAGAAAACCUAUCUUAGUCAUUCAUCAACAAAAGCCAUGUCAAUGCGCUUGGAUGGAUCACACAUUCAGGAACAAAAGGCCAAGGGGGUGACAUAUAUAUACAGUUUAUUUGCUUGGUAACUUUGGUUUAGCACUGUCUUUUUUCCUUAUCCUUGUCCAUUUUAUCCGUGCAGAAAAGAGCCAAACGAGGAAGCAAAGGGAAGUGUUUGAUUAGUUCUCCAUGAAACAAGAAUAAAUGAAUUUCGGACAAAGUAUGGUUGAGCUACGAAAUCCAAAGAUCAACCUAACUGAAUCGGGAAACCUGUCUCCAUCAUGCAGCAGACAAAAGCCAUACUGCUGAUACACUUGGCCCAUGCAACAUGCAUGCAUGAUCAUAAGGAGAACAACCAUUAUUCUCUAAUUUAAACGAUUAUCCGCCUCGCAGUAAACAAGGUCCAGAUAUAAUGUUCAUGCUCAACGCAGGCACUAAAUAACAAUUAUUCAGGUUCAUCACUAAUCCUGAUGGUAAUCGAAGAACGAGCGUGUCGAUGGCGAUAACAUCAACCUUGGAACCAUUUCCCACACGCAUCGUCAUUUCGUUCUUCGCCAGCCUCUGUCUAUUUCGUGGGUCCUGCUUUGUGUUGCAAAUGUGAGCAACCGAACCGGUAUCAAAUACCGAGGCACUACAAGAAGAGUUGGUAAGGUACACAUCGAUAACAUAUAUAUCAUAUAUAUCUUGUUUGGCGUUGGCCCCUUCUUGUCGGCCAGGCUUGGGGCAAUUCCGCUUCCACUGGCUAGUCUCGUUGCAAUAGAAGGACUCAACUUCCAACUUGGGCCCAGCCUUUGGUUUAUUCAAGGGAGGGUCAACUACUUUGCCACUCUUCUUGGAGUUACCAUUCUUUCCCUAGCCAUUCUUCUUGAAACUAGUGGUUUUAUUGACCAUCAACACUUGAUGCUCUUUCUGGAUGUCUAACUCAGCGACUUUCAGCAUCGCAAACAGCUCGGAGACUGACUUGUUCAUCCCUUGCAUGUUAUAGUUUAGCACAAAGCUCUUGUAGCUAGGUGGUAGUGAUUGAAGAACUUUGUCAGUGAUCGCUUCUGGUGGGAGCACAACUCCCAACUCAGCCAGACGGUUGUAAUACCCAGACAUUCUAAGUAUGUGUUCACUGACAGACCCGUUCUCCUCCAUCUUGCAAGCAAAGAACUUAUCAGAGGUCUCAUACCUCUCGAUCCGGGCAUUCCUUUCAAAAAAGAACAUCAACUCCUGGAACAUCUCAUAUGCCCCAUGACGUUCAAAACGUCUUUGAAGUCCCAGUUCUAAGCCAUACAACAUAGCACACUGAACUACUAAGUAGUCAUCCACAUGCACUUGACAGGCGUUCAUAACAUCCAUAGACGCCGGAGGGGGUUGCACACCAAGCGAUGCAUCAAGGACAUAAGCCUUUUGGGAAGCCGUGAGGAUAAUCGUCAGAUUACAGGCCCUGUCUACAAAGAUACUUCCAUCAUCUUUCAGCUCGGCUUUCUCUAGGAACGCAUUGAAAUUCAGGGAAGCUAUUGUGCGAGCCAUUGAUGUACAACAUAAAUUUGCAAAGUUAACUUAGACUAUUGUUCAUGAUAAAUGAGUUCAAAUAAUCAUAUUACUUAAACGACCCACUCAAAUUGACAUCCCUCUGGCCAUCCGAGUGUAAUAUGAUGCAAAUUCAUCAACCCAAGUCCGAUCAUCAUGUGAGAUGAGGUGGUUUCAAUGGUGAACAUCUCCAUGUUGAUCGUAUCUACUAUAUGGCUCAUGUUCGACCUUUCGGUCUCUUGUGUCCCGAGGCCAUGUCUGUACAUGCUAGGUUGGUCCAGUUUAACCCAAGUGUUUUGCAUGUGCAAAACUGGCUUGCACCCGUUGUAUGCGAAUGUAGAGUCUAUCACACCCUAUCAUCACAUGGUGCUUCGAAACGACAAUCUUUAGCAAUAGUGCACACUCGGGAGAACACAAUUUUAUCUUGAAAUUUUAGUGAGGGAUAACCUUAUAAUGCUACCAUCAUCAUAAGCAAAAUAAGAUGCAUAAAAGGAUUAACAUCACAUGCAAAUCAUAAGUAACAUGAUAUGACCACCAACUUGUCCUUUUUAUCUCCAUCUCCAAAGCACCGGCAUGAUCUCCAUCGUCACCGACAUCACACCAUGAUUUCCAUCAUCAUGAUAUCCAUCAUCAUGUUGCCAUCGAUGUUGUCACGCCAACCAUGCUUCUACUACUAUUUCUACCGUUUAGUGAUAAAGUAAAGCAUUACAUAGCGCUUAAUGAUUGACACACAGGUCAUACAAUAAUUUAAGACAACCCUAUGGCUCCUGCCGGUUGUCGUAUUCAUCGACAUGCAAGUCAACACAAACUAUUACAAGCAUGAUCAUCUCAUACAUCAAAUAUGUUCUAUCAUGUCUUUGGCCAUAUCACAUCACAACAUACCCUGCAAAAACAAGUUAGAUGUCGUCUAAUUUGUUGUUGCAUGUUAUACAUGGCUGCUAUGUGUAUCUAACAAGAAUGGUUCUUACCUAUGCCAAACCACAACGGUGAUAUGGAAGUUGCUAUUUAACCUUCUACAAGGACUGCCUUCAUCGAAUUCGAUUCAACUAAGGUGCGAGAGACAGACAUCAGCCAGCCAUCUUAUGCAACAAAGUCACAUGUCUGUCGAAUGAACCGGUCUCAUGUACGUGGACAUGUAAAGUUGGUCCGGGCCGCUUCAUCCCACAAUGCCGCUAAAUCAAGAAAAGACCAAGGAAGGAAGCAAUCUGAAUAUCAACACCGAUAAACUCCUUUGUGUUCUACUCGUGAUGUCAUCUGCUCAUAGACCUAGCUCUGGUACCACUGUUGUUGAACGUUGCAUGGGAAACAAAAAAAAUUCCUACACUCACCAAGAUCAAUCUAGGAGAUGAACAUCUACGAGAGGAGUGAUUGCAUCUACAUACCCUUGUAGAUCACUAACACUACAGGAAACAGGUAAUUUGCCGUCCGUGGAUCACAGACGGCAAAGACGUAAAUCCAGACGGCAAAGAGUUUGCCGUCAGGAAGUAGACGGCAAAGUCAGACGGCAAAGAUAAAUCGGCAAAGAAUACUCUGCCGUCUGCUAUUUUUUCUAGAUGACGGCAAAAACUUUGCCGACAGUCUAUACUGUUUGCCGUCAGCCAGCAAAAUCAAACGACAAAAAAUGGCAACAGACGGAACGGACGGACUGACGAACGGCGUUAGUGCUUUGCUGUCAGCCAGAAUCCAUCUUUGCCGUCAUCCUCAAAAAUCACAAACGGCAAAUAAUUUUUUUAUUUAAAAAAUGUAUUGUACAAAUAAUUGCACAGGCGACCAGGAACAAACUGAUGAAGAACUUCACAGUAUCCAUCAACACUGCUGUUCUAAGAAUCAAAUACGAACGAACGGAUUUCACAAGACAAAACAAAACUACUCUAUUUAACAAGAUAAAUGGAUUACACACGAACAGACUACACUAUGUUACAAUAGAUCAGUUGGAUCUAUACACCCACGCCUCGCUGGAGCAGCAGUUGCGCCUCUCUCCCUUCUCCUUCCUUUCAUCCUGCAUAUGAAGUUAAGAACACACAAACGUCCGAGGAGGCCAAGACGUCAGCUGCCGUGCCGGAGCUCGCCACCCUCAUCCGGGCGCUGGAUCCACUUGACCCCGCCAACUCUGUCAGCGCCAAGCCCCGCCGCCGGCAAAGGAGAGUAGAGGAGGCGGGGGCCCGUGGCGUGCGAAGGCGGGGGAGAAGGAGAGUACUCGGAGGCGGGCGGCUGCUGGUACUCGGAGGCGGGCGGCGUGUGAAGCCAGGCCUCGCGGAUGGGGAGGUGGGGCUGACCGGGCGGCGGCCGUUAGGCGGGGCCAGUUGGCGCAGGGUCGUCGAUGAGGAGGUGGGGCCGACAAGGCGGCGGCGGCGAGGCAGGGCCAUGCAGCGCGGGGUCGCGGAUGGGGAGGCGGGGCCGACCGGGCGGCGGCGGCGAGGCAAGACCAAUCGGCGGCGAUGCAGCACCGAUAGCAGAGAAGACGAGAUCGAGGGGGAGAGAUGGUGUCGGAGUGGGGGAGAGGUGGGUUCGAUGGAUGGGUGGGUGGGGGCAUGGGGAUAAGGUACAUGGGGAUGUGGUGGGAUGGGUGGGUGGGGUCGGGCGUGGUAGAUGGAAAGAGAGGCACCGCAGGUCAGAUCGUGCCAUGUCAUCGAUCCGUGGAUGGAUCCGCGAGGUGUGCUUCUUUGCUUUGCCAUCUGCAAAUACAAACUACAGACGGCAAAAUUCUUUGUCGUGUGCCUUUUUUAUUACAGACGGCAAAAUAUGAUCUUUGUCGUUUGUGUUUAUUUGUACAGACGGCAAAGACAUAUUUUGCAGUCUGUAAUAAAAAACACAGACGACAAAGAUCUUUGCCGUCUAUAGUUUGUUUUGUAGAUGGAAAAGUGAGCUCUUUGCCGUCUAAUUUUUUUCUACAAACGACAAAGUAUAUUUUGCCGAUAGUUUCUCUUUGUUGUCUGUUGAUGACGGCAAACCCUUUCUUUGCCGUGUGCCCCGAAAAAAUGCUGAUGGCAAAGACAAUACUGACGGCAAAUCUCCUGUUUCCCGUAGUGUAAUAGGAAGCGCUAAGAAACAUGGUUGAUGUAGUCAAACAUCUUCACGAUCCAAUCACGAUCCGUCCCACAAACUCCCGAUCUAGUGCCAAAUGGACGGCACCACUGCAUUCAACACGCGCACGACUUGAUGAUGCCUUCACCUCCUCGAUCCAGUGAGCAAUAGAGAAGUAGUAGUUUGAGUAGUCCGAUAGCAUGACAGCGUGGCGGCGGUGGUGGUGAAGGAAUUUCAGCAGAGCUUCGCUAAGCACUACGCGGAAGGAGAAGGACUACGAGGGAGAGGACAGACAGCGCCACGACACAGAUGGGUGUGUCUGCCCUACCUCUACCCCUACAUAUAUAGGGGAAAGCGAGGAGGUGGGAAUGCCCUAUGGGUUCCCUUAGGGGGCACGCCGGCCACCACAGAUGGUGGCGCCCCUAGGGAAACCCGAGGGUGGCUUGCCCCCCAAGCUAGGUGGAGGCAUCCCUAGGGGGUUGCCCCAACCCUUGUGUCAUCAUGGGAUUGGGUGUGGGGGCGCACAACCCCUUAGUGGGCUGGUGUGCUCCCUCCCCUUGGCCCAUGAGGCCCCCCAACACUUAUUGGGGCACCCUGAAACCCAUGUCCGUACUCCGUUGCUUCCAUCGGUACCCCUGGAACAAUUUCAGACUCCGAUACCCUUCGUCCUAUAUAUCAAUCUUCACCUCCAGACCAUUCUGGAGUUCCUCGUCAUGUUGGGGAUCUCAUACGGGACUCCGAACAACCUUCGGUAACCACCAUAAUGACUCAACUAUACUUAUAUCGUCACCAAACAUUAAGUGUGUAGACCCUCCGAGUUCGAGAACUAUGCAGACAUGACCGAGACACCUCUAUGGUCAAUGACCAAUAGCAUGACCUGGAUGCCCAUAUUGGUUCCUACAUAUUGUACGAAGAUCUUUAUUAGUCGAACCUCGAUGUCAAGGAUUCAGUCAAUCCCGUAUGGAGUUCCCUUUAUCCAUCGGUAUGUUAUUUGCCUGAGAUUCGAUCGUCGGUAUAUCCAUACCUAGUUCAAUCUGGUUACCGGCAAGUCUCUUUAUUCCGUAAUACAAGAUCCCGUGCCUAACUUCUUAGUCAUGUUUCUUGCAAGCUUAUUGUGAUGUUGUAUUACCAAGUGGGCCCUAAGAUACCUAUCCAUCAUAUGGAGUGAGAAAUCCCAGUCUCGAUCCAUGCCAACUGAACAGACACCCUUGGAGACACCUGUAGAGCAUCUUUAUAGUCACUUAGUUACAUUGCAACGUUUGAUACACACAAGGUACUCCUCCGGUGUAAGUGAGUUGUAUGAUCUCUUGGUCAUAGGAAUGGAUACUUGACAUGCAGAAUGAUAGCAAUAAACUUGACACGAUCAUAUGCUACAUUCAUAGUUUGGGUCUUGUCAAUCACAUCAUUCUCCUAAUGAUGUUAUCAUGUUAUCAAAUGACAACUCAUGUCCAUGUCCCGGAAACCAUGGCCAUCUUUGAUAACCGAGCUAGUCUGGUAGAGGCUCACUAUGGACACGUUGUUUGCCUAUGUACCCACACAUGUAUUUGAGUUUCCAAUCAAUACAAUUAUAGCAUGGAUAAUAAAUGAUUAUCAUGAACAAGGAAAUAUAAUAAUAACCAUUUUAUUAUUGCUUCCAGGGCGUAUUUCCAACACUUUCGAUGAUUUGUGAGUAGUUUACGACAACCCUUCGAGUCUAUAGCUAGAAUCUAGAUGGCUUCUUCUCUCUCUUUGAUCUUCAAUCCAAAGUUCUUCUCAAUGUUCUUGGAGUUCUAUCCAAUGUAAUCUUCUUUUGCGGUGUGUUUGCUGGGAUCUGAUAAAUUAUGAGAUUAUGAUCAGAUGAUUCAUGAGAAUAUUUGAGUCUUCUCUGAACUCUUUUAUGCGUGAUUAUUUUAGCUUUGUAUUUCUCUCCAAUCUAUCGAUUUGGUUUGGCCAACUAGAUUUGUUUAUCUUGCAAUGGGAGAGGUGCUUUGUGAUUGGUUAAAUCCUGUGUUGCUCAAUCCUAGUGACAGAAACGGACAUGGCACAUAUUUGUAUUGUUGACAUUAAGGAUAAAAAGAUGGGGGUUAAUCAUAUUGCUUGAAUUUACUUUGUCUACAUCAUGUCAUCUUGCUUAAGGCAUAACUCUAUUUUAUACCUAAAACUCUAGAUGCAUGCUGUAUAGCAGUCGAUGAGUGAAGUAUAGUAAUAGAUCACUACAAAAAAAGACACUUUUGGGCCGAUCAAAUUUUUUUUGUGUCAUACAUAUGACACUUCUAUGACGAUAAUUGUGACAAAACCCGGUAUCAUCAUAGAUGGUGGGCUCCUACUUCUAUGACAAAAAAUCAUGACAGCAAAUGGGCUUUUCAUCCUGGGCGGCCGGAGACGCAGCUACAUGACAUUCUUUGGGCCGUCCAUGACGGAAAAAACCAUGGUAGAAGCGAGGGCGGGGAAAAAUUCGGGGAGUUCCCGGUUACGGUGGGAGGUCGGAGGCCGAGCGAUGUGCGUUUCUCUUGUACACGUAUGCGCAUGUGUGCGAGGGGUUGGCUCUAACUGAACCCGAGCGAGGCGUUGGCUCUAACUGAACCCGAGCGAUUGCACUACAAGCUACACUUUACUGAACCCGAGGGAUCGAUCGAUGGUUGUUAACUGAACCCGACCGAGCGAUUGCUUCACUACUGCUGCUAACUGAAGUCGAUCGAUUGGAUGAACAGUGAGUGUUGCAGGGGGGGUGGAUGAACAGUGAGCGGUGGUGUUGCCUUUGGAUGAACAGGACCCCGUUGUGUGGAGGGCUGGAUGAACAAUAGACGAUGGAGGGGUGCCCAUGGAGGGGUGGAUGAACAGGACCCCAUGGUGUGGAGGGCUGGAUGUACAGUAGACGGUGGAGGGGUACCCGUGGAGGGGUGGAUGAAUAGGACCCCGUGGUGUGGAGGGCUGGAUGAACAGUAGAUGGUGGAGGGGUGACCGUGGAGGGGUGGUGGAACAGUAGCCGGUGGAGUAGCGCACGGUGGAGGCUGGAUGAACAGGAGCCCGUGGAGGCCGGAGGAGGUCGACGGUAGCCCGUGGAGGCUGGAGGAGGUCGACGGUGGAGAUGACCAGUAUCCCGUGGAGUCCCAUUUUGCGGUACGCCACACCCCUCCCGAUGAACAGGAUCCCCUUUUCUACUGUAGCGCUCCAACACAAGUCUAUUUUGUCCGUUUUGCGAUACGCCACAACCCUCCCGAUCAACAGGACCCCCGUUUCGACCUUAGGAGGUUCAUUUCCUCCGUUUUGCGGUACGCCACACCCCUCCCGAUCAAUAGGACCCCCGUUUUAACCAUAGGAGGUCCGUUUCCUCCGUUUUGCGGUACGCCAGACCCCUCCCGAUGAACAAGAUCUCGUUUCGAACGUGUCCGGUCGAACACAAGGCCGUUUCCAUCGUUCUGCGGUAUGCCAGGCCUCGUUUCCAUCUCCUGUUCCGUCCAAGCCCUCUCGAUGAACACGACCACACAUUCCGUUCUGACCGAGCUGGUGGGCUCCCUAUGAACACGAUGACGACGCUAUUUCUCCGUUCCGACCCAGCCAAUGUACACGAGCCCUGGACGUACGUAUAUAUGCGCGAGUAGGCAUUCGAGACCCCGCCCGUAUGUACACAUACGUGGCCGUAUUUUAUUUCUUACACCCCGGCCGCUGUACGUACGUGUACAUGCUAUGUGCGCGCCUCUACUACGACACGUGCGCGCCUCUACAUCCACCAAUAUAUAUGUACAUACACAUUCGCGACCAGAAUGACAAUGCUACAUACGCUUUGACCAGGUGGGUCCGGACUGUCAGGCACUUCCUUGCGUGCAAAGAUGUAGCUGGUGGGUCCCAACAGUCAGGGGGAAACAUUUUUUCGUGAAAUACGGUGGCCUGUCCGGUGGGUCCUUGCUGUCAGGUGGAGGAAUAAUUAUUUUGCACUUAAUAAGGAGGCACUUCCUUGCUGCGGCCGUGGACCCAGCUGUCAGCCUCUCCACGUACAGUUCACGUCCGAUGGAAGCCGUUCCUUGACCAUGUUGACCACGCCGCGCCGAGAGCACCAGGGCGGUGGACGACGGCGAGGCCUAGGAAGGGGACGACGCGGAGCCGGGGAAGACGCGGCAGUGGAUGCCCACGCGUAGAGAAGUAUGAGGGUUCACUCGUUCGCUGCGGUGUGAGGUUGCCGUCGCCGCAGAAUAACAGGGGGUGUGGGUGAGUAGAGGGAUGGCCUGGCCAGCAGUGGGAGUAGUAGGGGGCGGUGAGGCAUCCGCGGCAUCACAGCCGGCCACGGGAGGCAGGAGCAUGCGGCACGACCGACGCUGCUUUGGGCGGCUGGAGCACGAAGACCAGAGGUUGAAGAAGCACUACGACCGUUGGAUGGACAUCGUACGGUCACUGGAGCUAGAAUCGUUCAUAUUGACUAAGUUGACAAAGCCCUCCGUCCCCGUAAACUUAGUAGGCCCACAAGUCAGCCUCCCACCAAGGUGAGUCCCAGCUAGCAGGGUGAGUAUUCAUUUUUUGUGCGUAAUAAGGAGCAUUUCCAGUGGGUCCGAGCUGACAGCGAGCGGAACGUUUUUUUCGCGAAAUAUAGAGACCGUUCCGGUGGGUCCCAGCUAUCAGGUGGAGGAAUCAUUAUUUUGCGCAUAAUAAGGAGGCAUUUUCCUAUGUGGGCCCCUACUGUCAGCCUCUUCCGAUGGCUGUUGUUUGUUGACCAUGUUGACCUCGCCGCGUCGAGAGCACAAACGUGGUGGACGAGGGCGAGGCCCAGGAAGAGAACCACGCGGAGCCGGCAAAGCCACCACAGCGGAUGCCCACGCUGAGGGGAGAACGAGCGCUUAUUGGUCGGCUGCGGGGUGAGGCUGACAUCGUCGGAAAAUAACAAGAUGUGUGGGUGGUUGCAGGGAUGGCCUGGCGGCAGGAUAGUCAGCCACGGGAGGAGGGACCAGGUAGUCCCACUGGCGCUGGUUUGGGCGGCUGGGGCAAGAAGAUCAGAGAUUGAAAAAGUAUGACGGCCGUUGGAUGGAAAUCCAACAGUCACUGCUGUGUGUUGACUAAGUUGACAAAGCCUUGCGUACGCGUCAAAAAAAAUUUAGGACAGUGUCAUCGUCAACCUGGUCAUUGACAAAGCCAUAUUCUUUUUAUUAGCAUUACAGACCAUAUAUUCUGGGCACUGCUCAAAAAUUGAACGAAAUUUUGCAUAUUUCGGUGGGGUCCGAAGUCUUUUAAUCACGAAAUUUCGAGUCAUGUUAAAAAUAAUUUUCAAAAAAUUAUAUCAAUAUAAAAUUCAAAAAACAAUUCUCCGCAAAAAAAAUGAAUGAAAUUUAGAAUAUUAACUAGCAAGAUGCCCGUUCGUUGCACAGAACAUGAAGAUGCAUUUGUGUGAGUAGUUUAUCUUGUGGGAGAAAAGAUGGUAUUUUAAUGUAAUUGCCAGUUGGCUUUGGUUUUUAUAAUAGUAGAGAGUCGAGAAAUCCUGAAAAAAAUAAUAUUUUAAUGCAAUUGCCGGUUUGCUUUGGUUUAAAAAUUUACAAGCUUAUAGCCCAUUUUCUGGGGAAGCCCAUUUCUUACUACUUACAUCCCUCCUCGUCUUGAAAGAUUUGCAGCCCAGCAGGGCUGAGAAAAGCAAGUAGGCCGCGCUUUGUUAUUCUUCAAAAAAAGAACUGGGCUAGCCAAUUUCAGAAAGAAAAAAUAUAUCAACUGGGCUCGUCAUGUGUUUAAUAAAAGUGUAAGCAUGGUCUAGACGGGGCACAGCCCCCGCACAACACGCAGUUGAGCUCCGUCUCUGAAACUGAAAAACAACUGGGAGAGCUGCUGGGUCCCUGGUGUUAUCCGCUCGUUGUGUAAUUUUCUCGUUUAUUGACUACAUUGACAAUGGCCUGGAACCUAGUUGUCAAACAAUUAGGAGGAAGUAUUUUUUUGGCUUGUAAUAACGAGGCACCUGCUUGCGAAAUGCAAUGACCCUGGUGGGUCCCUACUGUCAGCCUCUCCACGUACAGUCAUCUCUUGAUUCCUCUUGGUUGUUGACCAUGUUGACAACACCAGACGGCGGCGGGCACAGCGAGCUAACCAAGGCGAAGAACGAUGGCAAGGCCUCAGACGGGAACGAACAGCAGCAAUGGAAGAUGCGACAGUGUAGUGGCAAGUGGAGGGGAGUACGAGGGCAACAACAUGCAAGUCAAGCAUACAAAUGGUACAAAAAGCCCAAGGAUUAAUUGUUCAUCAAAUUUUUAGACAAAACCCAGAUUGAACAUGACAGUAACAUCUAACCCAACAACUCUUUUUUGCAGUCACAAACAAAUGGAUCAGUCUGAUCCAUAAAAUCAACAUCCUGUGCAAUUUUUUUUAUUUCAGGAUGUCUACAACUUAUUGUAAAUAGAAGCCGAGAACUUUUAGAAGCCCAUUUGUCCACCUGAAACUUCUUUUUUUGCUGUUCAAUAUGUUCGUCCGUGAGAAAUCUCUUGCUGUAAAAAUUAAGCCUCAUGGACAAUAGUAACCUCGCAUUCAACAGGAAGAAUGUGACAAAGCUUCUGUUUGCCUGGUUGGAUGCAUAUCGUCCCAUCAUUAUUGUCCUCAAACGAAUGUCAUGAGAACUGAGAAAAUCCUUGUGCUUAUUACGCCAACCAUUGGUUACAUGUUUUUAUCCAUGUGGUUCUGCCUAAGUAGACAUGAAGAUUGAAAACAGUUAAGGUCUGAAAAAAGAGUAAGUCGAAAUAAUGGCAGCUAAACAGUUAAUUCUAGUACAAUAUAUACGACUUUCAAUAUGCAUGAAAUCGUCACCUCUAUGUAUAAAUUCUCCAGAGAUCAAAAGCAUAGCAGCAAGCCAAUAAUUAUGUCCAAAUCAAAACUAUACAUACUAAUAUAUAUGAUCUUGACAGAAUCCAGCAGUAUUGAUAGGCUGUCAAUGGACGAACUCUUCAUUGAGCAUAUAACAUAAUAUUAGUACCCAAAGUGUACUCCAAGAUUAUAUAAAACUUAUGCGCACAAAUGAAAAAUGCAGCAUAUGAUUACAAAUGUGUAGAUGAUAAUAUACGGUACCUGAAAAAGUGAGGAUCCAAACACCCACUCCUUGUCAUUAUUAAACGGGUCAUGAAUUACACCCAAGGUCUCCAGUUUGGGCGCAGAGACGAUAGUUAUUUCUGAAGGUGUAUAACAAUUACGAAGGAGCAACCUUUCAAGUGAAGGGGCAUCUUCGAUGAUGAGUCGUUGUCCUUUAAAACAAAUUCCAAUGCUUUUAAGGUGAGGCGACUUUAUUUGGAGACAACUGAUACCGAUUUCUAUUCCCAAAACAAUCAGCAAGCGUUCCAGGGCAGGGAAACUAGAGUGGAUGAUGUUGUGCAGUGAGGCCACUGACAGAUAAACCACCACAAGCGAAAGUUCUUUUAUUAGUGGGAGUCGAAGCAUUUGUACCAGAUCGUCUGGUAGAUGGCAUCGGGCAAAGGUGGCGGUGUGGAGAGAGGAGGAAAACUGCAAGAUGGAGAACGGUGGUGUGGGCACAAAUUCUUGGUAUGUUCGUGGUAUGAAACUUUCAUGGUAAUGGUAGAACUAAAACUGCUGGAGUUUUACGAAUUUAGGGGAUGUCAGCCAAGCAUCCACCUUGCCGGGUAUGGACAGCAUGUAGCUUGUCGGGAUGCCGAUGCAUUGAACGGGGCCUUGCUGGUGAGAAGAGACGAUGGCUCUGAGGAGAUCAAAUUCAGGAAGGACAGAUAUCUGACGACAUUCGAGAUUGAGGGGCGCGGUGCGCCAUAGAAGGUGCCACCAAGUUGUGAGGACUUGUGUGCGGCAGCAAUCCUUGGUGGGGAGAAGCGAGAUGAUCUCCUCAAGGAUGACGCCCGGGAGAUCGCUGAUGCGGUCCAUCGGAGAGUCUACAGGUUCCUCAGAUCCGGGUGGGGGGGGGGCUCGCCGCUUCUCCCCGGCGCUAACGGGUGCGGGAUCUACAACCGGCGUUGCUGCUAGCGGGAGCCUCGUCUUCUUGGCGCUGGGGCCAGCCAACUCCAUUUUCCUUGUGGGCGUCGCGCCGAGCUCACGGGUUUGAGCAGAGUAGCCAGAGACGAGCCUAGUGGUAGUGCGAGUGGGGAAGAAGGAGGGCUGGGGAUUUCUGUAGGAGUGGAAGAAGAGGAGCAGGCGUUUUCUGUACGAGUGAGGAAGAAGGUGAGCGGGGUUUUCUGGACGAGUGAGGAAGAUUGGGGAGCGGGGGGAAUUGGGUGGGGAGACGAAGCGGGAGAGCGAGCUGUUCGUGUUUAUAAGGCCCGCUACACUAACUACUCGCUUUUUUCCAAGGCCCGCUCUCUUCUUUUGUGUUGCUGCAUUGGAGCUGGCGCAUGGGCUUGGCUGACUGGCCAUGCAUGUAGGAUGCAUGUGCCCGCCGACCACUGCAUGCAUCUGGUUUGUUACUAGGCCUAUUUAAUAGGGUGGUAAUGGAGUAAAUUAAGGAGAUUUAUUUUCUCUGUGUGCGUCCACCAAAUUAGAGGAUGCGGUACUGGAUGCAGACACUCAGAUUAAACUAACAUUUAGAAGAAAAAAAGUUCAGCAUGUCUAUGCAUCUCAAUGAUUCACCAUACUAUAACCAAUAUACAAAGCUGUGAGAAGGUGUGGAAAUAAAGAAAAUCGGUUGAUGCUUCUCUGAGCAAAGGGCCUCCCCGCGCACGCGUUAAUUUCCUGGGCAUGCUUGUUUCUUCUCAAUGUUGCGAGCACUUUGAGCAUGUUGGCAACUCCACAGUUAGCUAGCUGCCUCAUCUUGCAAUUGAUGCUGACACAUUUGCAAAAAACACAUGAGGCAAUAGAGAUGACUCAACAUGGGUCCAUAUUGUGCAGUUCCCCUGAUAUCAUAUUCAUUGUCCUGAAUCUGAAAAGAUAGGAAAACAGUAGCUAUACUUAAACGGGGUUGCAAAAAAGUAGCACAUAUCAAUAGCUCGACAUGACAAAACACGAUCAUCUGGAUGAAGGGGAUACUGACCUGCCUGAGGAAGAUUACAUAUAAUUUCAUAAGUCCUUGGUUGAUUUCCACCUUGGGCUGCACUGCUUGUUUGCUCCUCCACACAUGUCAGGAUCGUUCCGCACUGCAUUCAGCAAGUCAACGUACGAAUAAGCUAAUUUCAUCUUGCGGUAGUCAUUGUACCUAGUUACGAAUGUAGGAAUACCUGGAGUACCAUGAGGUUAGCUGACAGCAGGUAGAUGCAGCCAUAUAAAUUUUGUGCGGUGCUACCAAAAUUGAGGUUUGUAUCCCUUCCCGUUAUGAGAAUUCUUCUUGAAGUUGGUAGAAUGUGACGGCUUGUUCUUUGCAUCAAACUUGCCUUUCCCCUGAGAUUUGUUCUUGUUGUUUUGGGGCUGGUUGGGCUGGAAGUUCUUCUCGUGUACCAUGUGGGCACUAGAAGCUCCCUUAGCGACCCGAGCACGUGUGUCAUUUGCUCUCGCCUUCUCCUCAAAAUGAAGAGUGCUAAUGAGAUCCAAAAAGGAAAACUCAUGUCUCUUGUUUUUCAGAGAAGUAGCAAAAUCGUUCCACGAAGGUGGAAGCUUGGCAAUGAUGUUCCCAGCAAAAAAUUUGUCUGGCAACACACACUUAAAGUACUCAAGUUCCUUAGAGAGAGACUGUAUCUCAUGACUCUGCUGAACAACAGAGCGCUCAUCAGUCAUCUUGUAGUCACAUAAUUGCUCCAUGAUGUACAACUCGUUGCCAGCGCCAGAGGGCCCAAACGUGGCCUCGAGCGGAGCCCACAUGUCUUUGCCGCUGUCAAACGACCGAUAGAAUUGAAAACAGGGAUGAAGUGUGUGGCUGCGCGAUCGAUAAAGAGUGCCAUAAUAUUUGUGUUUGCCCACGUCAAAGAUACAGGGCGGCUGGCCUACUGGAAUUUGAGAGGGCAGAGGUGACUUCUCCGUGGCAUGGAUACCUACCUACAACGUUCGACUAUCGGUGUGUGUGGGUGGGGGGGUAGAGACCGGUCAACUAGUAUAUGUGUGGGGAAGGAGAAAGACCUAGCUAUGUAUUGAGGGAGAUCAAUCGACAUCCGUGUAUAUGUGUAGUAGAGGAAUAACGUUGGGAAAAAGACAAAGGUAGAGCGUCGGAGGGUUGGUGGUGGAGUGGCGUCUCACAAAUGGUGGGAGAGGCCUGCUAGACAAACGGAGGGUAUGAGUGCAAUAUCAAUAAGACAGGGCGGGGGAUGUCUGUCUGUCUAUGCAUGUGCGUGUGAGAGACGGGUCGGGAGGUAUUCAAGGAUGAUGAGGGGAGAAGAUAUGGUUGUGGUAAGCAUGCGUAACUACACAGGAAGAUCAACUGUCGUGUGUCCGAGAAAAGGAGUGACAUAACUAGCGAGGUAAGUGUGUCGGUGCUUGGUGAAAACAAAUUAUAGUUGACCCGGCUAUAUGUAGGGAGAGCAGUUCAUAUACACGCUUGCAUGUGUUAGAAGCAAAUAAGGUUCGGAGAGGCAGACAGGGGGAGAGGGUGUGGCUAGGAGGUGGUGCGAGAGGCCUACCUUGUCGAGGGGGGAGGAGUGUGCGAGCAUGUGAUAAAUGAAAAGAGGGGCGGGAGUGUGCACCUGUGUGGAAUCGUAUUGGACAUAUGGGGGCAUGGACGGUGAGAAGAGAAGAGGGGAAGUAUAUAUGUCUUUGUUGUAGGCACACUUGGCUAGAGAGGUAUAUCGACCGGUGUGUGCUAGAAAGGAGCCGGGGGCCUACAGACACCGCUAGUGGACAACCUAAAGAGAAAUAAUGAACGUGCGCGAUGGAGGGGACGCUAAGGGUGUGUGAGGGGGCGGGCGCGUGCAUGCACGAUAGAAAGUUAGCGCUAGCUAGCUACAAAUAGAAGAGGAUCAUGAAGGUGUAAAAGACGAACAAAGAUCAUAAUUCAUUAUAAAAAAGUGGAUAUGGAUACUUGAAGAAUAUAUCAUAAUGUAGAACAUUGAUUAUAAUUUGGGCUAAUGUGUGGCUUUUGUAACUCAGGUCUAAAUACUCGGGUCGAUAUAUGUAGGGAGAUCAGUUCAUAUACACGCCUGCAUGUGUUAGAAGCAAAUAAGGUCCGGAGAGGCAGACAGGGGGAGAGUGUGUGGCUAGGAGGUGGUGCGAGAGGCCUACCAUGUCGAGGGGGGAGGAGUGUGCGAGCAUGUGACUAAUGAAAAGAGGGGCGGGAGUGUGCACCUGCGUGGAAUCGUAUUGGACAUGUGGGGGCAUGGACGGUGAGAAGAGAAGAGGGGAAGUAUAUAUGUGUUUGUUGUAGGCACAUUUGGCUAGGGAGGUAUAUCGACCGUGUGUGCCAGAAAGAAGGAAACGGGGGCCUACACACACCGCUGGUGGACGACCUAAAGAGAAAUAAUGAACGUGCACGAUGGAGGGGACGCUAAGGGUGUGUGAGGGGGGCGGGCGUGUGCAUGCAUGAUAGAAAGUUAGCGCUAGCUAGCUACAAAUAUAAGAGGAUCGUGAAGGUGUAAAAGACGAACAAAGAUCAUAAUUCAUUAUAAAAAGAUGGAUACAGAUACUUGAAGAAGAUAUCAUAAUGUACAACAUUGAUUAUAAUUUGGGCUAAUGUGUGGCUUUUGCAAGUCAGGUCUAAAUACUUGUCAUAAUGUAGGGGGCGGGGCACUAUACUUUGUGUGAUAAACACGGUGUACGUAUGGAAGAUGGUUUAGAUUAUGAAUAUAUAGUUAGUACAUCAAAUGUACUAUUAUUUGGAAUCAACAUCAAGUGUAUUCAAAAAAUAGAAUUCGAGUUCAUGUAGUACACAUAGUUCAUAUCUAUCUCUAUAGUAAUGAUGUGGUGUGUUAUUAAGGUAAUACACAAAUGAUGGUUCAAGUUGGCAACAAUCAUGAUUGCAGAUACUUAUUGAAAUAGAGAACGAAUUCAAAUUUAGUUCGAAUUGCAGCGGUAGUAUAGACAUUUGGAAUGCACUAAAAUGUUGGUAUGAGUAGGUUACAUGCAUUAUCCAGCAAGCGAACAAAAUUAAUCGGACAUAACAUCGAUUCAUACUCCCUCCUUCCAUCUAUAUAGGGCGUAAUGAGAUUUUUAAGACCGCCUUUGACUAUUGACAGGAUUAAUAGUACAUGACAUGCACAAUGUGAAAAUUAUAUCAUUGAAAGAACCUUUCACCGACGAAUUUAACGGUGUGCUUUGUGUAAGUUGCAUGUCAUAUAUCAUUGUUCUAAUAUUUGGUCAAAGUUAGCAUCGAAAAACGCAUUAGGCCCUAUAUAGAUGGAAGGAGGGAGUAGCUUUGAAUAGGAUUUGUAUAGUAAGACGGGGCAAGACUCUCUCUUUGUGUGGUGUGAAUAGUUUUUUUUUCAUUUUCUUUUUGGUUGAGGGAAGUGCGAAUUGAUUUGGUACGUACAAGUACAAUAUUACUAAACGUUAGGCUUGUCCCUAAAAUUCAACUCGCGUCUUGUUAUAUCUCGAAAAUUCAAAUAUCGUGCUCUCAAAACUAGCGCUUUCACAACCCGCGCCUUGCUAUCCCGAAAUUAUAACGCGUGCAAAAACUCCCUCCAGCUGCCAAAUCCCGACACACGAAAUCCCCCUUCUAAACCUGAGCCAAAAGGGCCACUAGUUCAAAUCGGUGGGGAGUACUUUUGUAACACACCCUACAUUUUGGACAAGCGCGUCCCUAAGUCAUGCUUCACCCCCUCCCAUCACCCCCUUUUCGCCAUUCGAAAUCCCAGGCCCCAUAACCUCUCCGCUUCAGCCGCGAAACCCCACACUCCUCCGUCCGCCACGUCACCGCUGCCCAGCCGGAGCCUCUUCCCCGAUGACAUUGUCCACCGCAACAGCUCGACGUGCCUCGUCCACCUCCCCGGAUGAGGAUCCGACGUCCAUCUCGCCGUCCCGCUGGUUCAGCCGCCCCGUCCUCCACCUCCAGGGAGAUGCUCCAACGAUCGCCUCGUCUAUCGUGGCUGCUCCAUCCCCACAGUGCCGCCUUAACCUGCUCCAUCGGAACCGCAGCAUCCUCACCGACUCCUCGGACGAAGCCGAGGCCUACUCGGCAACACCAAAGAGGUUGUACACUGAUUGCAUCGCACCUUCUCCUUAACUCGACCUCCCGGCGCCGACAGUGCUCCAUCCAGCACCCCCAUGGAGCGGCUAUCUUGAAGCCGGCGCCGCGGGCGACAUCUCCACGGCGGCUCUCCCCCAGUGCAAGGCCCCUUCGGCGGCUGCGUCCAUACCAGCCGGAUCUGCUGCUGCUGCUCCGGCUCUCACUUGCUCGCUCGCGCUGCCGCUGCUCCGACUCUCGCUCCAUCGCUUGCUCGCCCAGCUGCUGCUGCUGCUCCCCCCUUGCUCAUGUUGCUGCUCUGCUCCGAUUAAGACACACUUCAGUCGACUGAAUCGACUUUUGGGUCAGUCGAUUUUCAGGGGUUGGAGGGGCUCGCCAGAGUUAAGGAAGAACCACCCGCAGCGGGGACGGGGGCCGCCGGAGAGGUACCCCACUAUCUUUCUUAGGGUUCAGGGCGGGGGGUGGGGACCUAUAGGGUUGGCCAAGGCGGCGGUGGCGAGUUGCUUCGGGGCGGCGAGGCGACGCUGGGGCCGGCGGUUCGGCCGGUGGUGGCUGGUGGCUCAGGGGGGGGUGCAGGUUGAAGAUGAACUGCAGGCCCUCCCUAAACUACAUGUCAAGUGCCUCUCUGCUACCAUUGCGUUCAGUUUCGACAGUAGCAUUCAGAUUCCACAAUAAAUUUCAGUUUUGACAGUUAAGUUCAGAGUCAACAGUUUUUACCUCAUCUGUUGUAGUUAGGUGGUUUUUGGUGAUGUUAAUUUUACAUCCAUUUUUCAUCAUCUACUGGAGAUGCUAUUAGAAUCCCACUUGAGAUUGACGAUGUCUGUUUUGUGCUGCUUCAGCAUUGACGUCCUAUGGCUAACCGGAGCUGCUCCAACAACAGAACGAUCCAUCACAAUAGAGCAGUGCCCUGGACACCGUCUAUAGAUUCCUCAGAUCUUCCUCCACACCUCCGAUAGCCACCUCUGCCUCAACUGCUUCAGUGACCGACCCAAUGAUGCUGAGGUCGACACGGCUACGGCAAAGAGGUUGUACACUUGUUGCAUCACUUAUUACUAUACAUUCACGUCGAUCCAUUAGGGCUAUUUUGAUUCAAAGGAAAAACAUAGCAAUAGGGAAUUUUCCAAUGGCACUCUACUAUUCAAUUAUUCAUGCAUUUUGUUGAAAGUAAUGAAGCAAAACAUCCACCUAGACCUACUUUUCAAAAUCCUAUGCAUGAAAACAAGACCAAGUGCAUUAGUGCCAGAAUAACAUUCUAACUGUACACGCUUUCAUAUGGUUUCACUUUAUUUUGGCGAGGUUUCUUUGCAUUCCUCUGCUCUUCCAAUUCUUGUAAACCAAACACCCAAGUUGACAGAAAUCCUGUGUUUACAAAUGCUCCAUUUACCAUGUGCAUUUUCCUGUCCUAUUCCGGUGUUUUUCCUAUCCCUGCACUUUAAGAAUCAUGCAAGCUAAAUCAGCUCUUGCAGAAUUACUUCAGUUACAGGUACGUGUCGAAGGGAACUUUGUGUGGUUUGUCCUGCUCCUGCCGCGAUGUCGUCCACCUCACCUGAGCUGCUCCAUCGACAGAGGCAUCCGCCAAACCAUACAUCACGACCCCUGUCCGUCUUUCGCCGCCUCAAAUCUCCUUCCCUGCCGCUGGCACCCACCACAACGACAUCAGCAUCAUCGACUCAGCAGAUGAACCUGAGGAGUACACGGGUCCACAAGAGAGGUCGCACUCUUUUGUUUCUGCUUAUGUUAUGCAUUUCUUAAACUUACCUGCUACUUUAUCGUCCUGUUCAGCUCUUGGACUCCCAAGUCAGGUCCAAAUUAAUACUCAAACUUGAGUUCUAAAUUAGUUGUGGGGCAAAUAUCGAGGCAACAAUCAAUAGUAUGUCCGUCUAAUAUCUGGUUCACCUAGGGUAUGCUAUGUUGUUCAUCUUGGGUGGGAAAUAAAUAGUAAAGCAAUCAUCAUUUGUCUUUUUAUUAAUUUAAAGCAAUCAUCAACCUGCUAUCAUUAUUUUUGGAUCCAUCCACUGGUUAUUACAAUCACUCUAAAUUUCUGCAUGCUCUCCUUACAUAAUCUCACCAUAGUUUUUCAUAUGCAUGUCAAAUAUUGUACACAGUCAUGUUGAACAUGUAGAGAAAUAGAGAAGAGUUUUACGCGGCAAUACAAUGUCAUGCAGACAUCGGUCCAUUGUGGGUUCAAUGGCAAACCCUCCCCACCCCUCUCCAGAUUGUAAUCCAGAGGAAGAUAUCUGUUCUGAGGCGGAUUCGGACGCCGCUGACCACUCCUAUUUACCCCCCAAGGUGUUUGCUCUACCUUGGCAUGAUAAAGUUAGUCAUAUCAUGCAUAUGUUGCCUUGCAGUGCCUACUUUUGACAUCAUAUAUGUCAUCUGCUUAGUUUAGACAUGUUCGGUAAUGCCACCUGUUUAGUUUCUAUAUCAUAUAUGGGAAUUAUGCAGUCUCAUGUCUUUUAGCCAGCCAUAAUAUAUGUGAAAUGUGCAAUGCCAUCGUGUUUAACCAGGAAUCAUAUAUUUGAAUGAUAUCUUGCCCAUCCUUUUCUUCAUUACAUUUCCAUUUGUCGACAAUGUUUGUACAUUAAACUACUCUUCCUGUGAACCAGCCAUUUGGGUGGGAGAUGGCAACAUCUGGUGUGAAAACAAGGCCUUCAGAGCAAACAGUGCUACCUGUCGAAGCAGAUCUCUUAUUGGGUCCGAUAGCUCCUCAGAGAUGGAUUUAGAGACAGAUGACCAGUCCUAUUCCCCCACUGAGGUGUAUGCUCUAACUUGGCAUGGUUAUACUGCUCAUAUCAUGCAUAUGGUGUCUUGCAUUGCAUAGUUUAGACAUCCUAUACACAAUAUUCAACACAAUGUUCUUAGUUCAGACAUCAUAUCGAAUGCCCUCUGUUUAGCAUAUAGAUCACAUAGUGAAUUAAAUGAUGCGAUCCUGAUUACUUAGAUAACAUGUAGGUGAAUUAUGUCAUGCGAUCCUAUUUAGUUAUUCGUCAUAUCUUUGAAUUAUGUUAUGCUAUGCUAUCCAGUUUAGAUAGACAUCAUAUAUGUGAAAUCAUGUCAUGCUAUCCAUUUUAGUUAAACAAUAUACAUGUCAACUUUUUCAUGCCCUCUAUUUUCCACACUAUCUAUUGCAUCUGUCUCUCAUACAAUGUCUGUACAUUCAACUAUGUUUCCUGUUUAUCAGCCAUUUGAAUUGGAGUGGGUGAUGCCAGUAUAUAGCGGACUAAAAACACGGUCUUCAAAUAAAACAAUGCUACCUCUUAGUGGAGAUAGCACCCCGGUUGUACAUGCACAAGAACCAGCCCUACCACACAUAACCCAAACUCUCGCAGAUUGUACCCCUACUGCGAUGGACAGAGAACCAGCUUCACCCAAUCUAACCCCAACCCCAGCCGAUAGUAACCCAGUUCCUGUUGACACAGCACCAUCUCCACCACAGAGCUCCCAAACAAGAGCAGUUAGUAAGGCAGCUCCAGUGCCCAAAGGGCCACUACUAUCAUGGCGAACCCCAACUCCACCAGUUAGUACGCCUAUUCCCGUGGAGGAAGCACAACCAGCUAGCCGUAGUUUAGCAUCUAUCGCAUUUGAUGUUGUUAAAUCGUAUGUGUGUAUCUUCCCAUCUUGGAAAUAUUAUACUGAAGAUGAAGGAAAAUGCCAGUUGUAGGUGUUUGUCCUGGAGUUAUGUGUAAGUAAUGUUAUUCAUGGCAGUUACUUUGCUUCGUCCCAUACAUACUACCUCCAUGAUGGUUAUAAUACAACAAAUUUUCCCAUUUUUCUCUAUAGAGAAGGACCGAUUUGGAAACUCAGGAUGAGGUAACCUGUGCUAAUACCUCUGCUAUCUUCAAGAAUGCUUCGUGGAAGUAUCGGAAUUACCUGAAGAAAAGGUACUUCGCCGACAAAGAAACUCAUCAAAUUCCCUUUCGUUCUCCUGAGACACAUUUACUGGACGAUGACUGGGAACGCCUUGUUUUGUACUGGUCCCGAACCAAGAAUGUGGUAAGGUCUAUGAGCUCAUUUUCUAUUUUUAAGUAUUAUAUCCUUGUGUCUUGCUGUACUCUGUUCAUGUAGAACAAGUGCCUAAACCUGAAGAACAACUGUUCUAAUUUAAGAUUCCAUUACUAUCAUAGUUCAAAAAAGCGCUAGGCAUUAAUUGUGCGUUUUGCCACCGCCUUGCGCUUUACUGGCCAAAGCACAUGCUUAUGCACAGUUAUGCACAGAUUAAGCGUAGUUAUGCGCAAUGCGUUUUGCCAACGCCUAGAGCCUAGGCGCACUGAAGCGCUCGCUUAGGCGCGCCUUUUUUAACUAUGAUCGCUUUGCUCUUGUAUCACUGUAUUUACUCAUACAAACUUAUUUUUAAAUUGAAGGAUCCAAUCGAAACUCCAAUGGCACAGCAGGUAUGUUCACGCAUGUUUCUUUAACAGGUUUGCUCUUAUCAAUAGCUCUUUUGAUUUCAAUUUCAAUUGUGUAUACAGUUGACUUUCAAUAGCAUCACAACAGAGCCAAUAGUGUUGUUGUACAUGUAGACCCGUGGUACCCAUCUAAAAUCUUGUUGUGCCGUGUAGUUUCCCAUGCUUUGUAUUCUUUCACUGCUGCUUUGUCUUGAACUGAUAUGAUUUGAACCGUGUCUCUAUUUUGAUUUGGCAAGAUAAUACAAUGACCAUAGGACAUAGAUAUAUGUUUGUUUGAUGCUUUUAUUAUGUACUAGUACUUGACAAUAGAAGACUUGGUAGUUUAUGUUGGGGAACGUAGUAAUUUCAAAAAAAUUCCUACGCACACGCAAGAUCAUGGUGAUGACAUAGCAACGAGAGGGGAGAGUGUUGUCCACGUACCCUCGUAGACACUAAGCGGAAGCGUUAGCACAACGCGGUUGAUGUAGUCGUACGUCUUCACGAUCCGAUCGAUCCAAGCACCGAACAUACGACACCUCCGAGUUCAGCACACGUUCAGCUCGAUGACGAUCCCCUUGCUCUGAUACAGCAAAGCUUCGGGGAUGAGUUCCGUCAGCACGACGGCAUGGUGACGAUGAUGAUGUUCAACCGGCGCAGGGCUUCGCCUAAACUACGUGACGAUAUGACCGAGGUGAAAUAUGGUGGAGGGGGGCACCGCACACGGCUAAGGAACGAUCCGUAGAUCAACUUAUGUGUUAUGGGGUGCCCCCUUGCCCCCGUAUAUAAAGGAGGGAGGGGGAGGUGCGGCCGGCCCCCUUGGGGUGCGCCUGGAGGAGUCCUACUCCCACCAGGAGUAGGACUCCCCCCUCUUGCCUUGGUGGAGAAGGAAAGGGGGGAGGGGAAAGAGGAAAGGGGGGUGCCGCCCCCCCCCUUCCUUGUCCUAUUCGGACUAGGGGGGGAGGGGGCGCGCGGCCUACCCUGGCCGGCCCUCCUCUUCUCCCUCAUGGCCCACUAAGGCCCAUUAACCCCCGGGAGGGUUCCGGUAACCCCCCGGUGUUCCGGUUAAAUCCUGAUUUCAUCCGGAACCUUUCCGAUGUCCAAACAUAGGCUUCGAAUAUAUCAAUCUUUAUGUCUCGACCAUUUCGAGACUCCUCGUUACGUCCGUGAUCACAUCCGGGACUCCGAACAAACUUCGGUACAUCAAAACUUAUAAACUCAUAAUAAAACUGUCAUCGUAACGUUAAGCGUGCGGACCCUACGGGUUCGAGAACUAUGUAGACAUGACCUAGAACUAUUCUCGGUCAAUAACCAAUAGCGGAACCUGGAUGCCCAUAUUGGUUCCUACAUAUUCUACGAAGAUCUUUAUUGGUCAAACCGCAUAACAACAUACGUUGUUCCCUUUAUCAUCGGUAUGUUACUUGCCCGAGAUUUGAUCGUCGGUAUCCAAUACCUAGUUCAAUCUCGUUACGGCAAGUCUCUUUAAUCAUUACGUAAUGCAUCAUCCCGUAACCAACUCAUUGGUCACAUUGCUUGCAAGGCUUGUAGUGAUGUGCAUUACCGAGAGGGCCCAGAGAUACCUCUCCGACAAUCGGAGUGACAAAACCUAAUCUCGAAAUACACCAACUCAACAUGUACCUUUGGAGACACCUGUAGUACUCCUUUAUAGUCACACAGUUACGUUGUGACGUUUGGUAGCACCCAAAGUGUUCCUCCGAUAAACGGGAGUUGCAUAAUCUCAUAGUUACAGGAACAUGUAUAAGUCAUGAAGAAAGCAAUAGCAACAUACUAAACGAUCAAGUGCUAGGCUAACGGAAUGGGUCAUGUCAAUCACAUCAUUCUCCUAAUGAUGUGAUCCCGUUAAUCAAAUGACAACUCUUUUGUCCAUGGCUAGGAAACUUAACCAUCUUUGAUUCAACGAGCUAGUCAAGUAGAGGCAUACUAGUGACAUUAUGUUUGUCUAUGUAUUCACACAUGUAUUAUGUUUCCGGUUAAUACAAUUCUAGCAUGAAUAAUAAACAUUUAUCAUGAUAUAAGGAAAUAAUUAAUAACUUUAUUAUUGCCUCUAGGGCAUAUUUCCUUCAGUCUCCCACUUGCACUAGAGUCAAUAAUCUAGUUCACAUCACCAUGUGAUUUAACACCAAUAUUCACAUCUGUAUGUGAUUAAACCCAUAGUUCACAUCUUCAUGUGACCAAAAACCCAAAGGGUUUACUAGAGUCAAUAAUCUAGUUCACAUUGCUAUGUGAUUAACACCCAAAGAGUACAAAGGUAUGAUCAUGUUUUGCUCGUGAGAGAAGCUUAGUCAACGGUUCUGUCACAUUCAGAGCCGCAUGUAUUUUGCAAAUAUUCUAUGUCUACAAUGCUCUGCACGGAGCUACUAUAGCUAAUUGCUCCCACUUUCAACAUGUAUCCAGAUUGAGACUUAUAGUCAUCUGGAUCAGUGUAAAAGCUUGCACUGUUGUAACUCUUUACGACGGGCUCUUUUAUCACCUCCAUAAUCGAGAAAUAUUUCUUUAGUCCUCACUAAGGAUAUUCUUGACCGUUGUCCAGUGAUCUACUAUUAGAUAAAAAUUGUAUUCCUUUGCCAAACUCAGAGCAAGGUAUAUAAUAGGUCUGGUUCACAGCAUAGCAUACUUUAUAGAACCUAUGACUGAGGCAUAGGGAAUGACUUUUCAUUCUCUUUCUAUUUUCUGCAAUGGUCGGGUCUUGAGUCUUACUCAACUUCACACCUUGUAACACAGGCAAGAACUCCUUCUUUGACUGUUCCAUUUUAAACUAUUUCAAAAAUUUAUCAAGGUAUGUACUCAUUGAAAAAUCUUAUCAAGCGUCUUGAUCUAUCUAUAUAGAUCUUGAUGCUCAAUGUGUAAGCAGCUUCACCGAGGUCUUGCUUUGAAAAACUCUUAUUCAAGUAUCCUUUCAUGCUAUCUAGAAUUUCCAUAUCAUUUCCAAUUAACAAUAUGUCAUCCACAUAUAAUAUUAGAAAUGCUACAGAGCUCCCACUCACUUUCUUGUAAAUACAGGCUUCUUCAAAAGUCUGUAUAAAACCAUAUGCUUUGAUCAACUCAUCAAAGCAUAUAUUCCAACUCCGAGAUGCUUGCACCAGUCCAUAGAUGGAUCGCUGGAGCUUGCACAAUUUGUUAGCACUUUUAGGAUUGACAAAACCUUUUGGUUGCAUCAUAUACAACUCUUUUUAAGAAAACCAUUAAGGAAUGCAAUUUUGACAUCCAUUUGCCAGAUUUCAUAAAAUGUGGCAAUUGCUAACAUGAUUCGGACAGACUUAAGCAUCGCUACAGUUGAGAAAAUCUCAUUGUAGUCAACACCUUGAACUUGUCAAAAACCUUUCGCAACAAGUCGAGCUUAGUAGAUAGUAACACUACUAUCAGUGUUCGUCUUCCUCUUGAAGAUCCAUUUAUUUUCUAUGGCUUGCCGAUCAUCGGGCAAGUCAAUCAAAGUCCACACUUUGUUCUUAUAUAUGGAUCCUAUCUCAAAUUUCAUGGCCUCAAGCCAUUUUGCGGAAUCUGGGCUCACCAUCGCUUCUUCAUAGUUCUUAGGUUCGUCAUGGUCUAGUAACAUAACUUCCAGAACAGGAUUACCGUACCACUUUGGUGCAGAUCUUACUCUGUAAGACCUACGAGGUUCUGUAGUAACUUAAUCUGAAGUUUCAUGAUCAUCAUCAUUAACUUCCUCACUAAUUGGUGUAGUAGUCACAGGAACAGAUUUCUGUGAUGAACUAAUUUCCAAUAAGGGAGCAGGUACAGUUACCUCAUCAAGUUCUACUUUCCUCCCACUCACUUCUUUCGAGAGAAACUUCUUCUCUAGAAAGGAUCCAUUCUUGGCAACGAAUGUUUUGCCUUCAGAUCUAUGAUUGAAGGUGUACCCAACAGUUUCCUUUGGGUAUUCUAUGAAGACGCACUUCUCCGAUUUGGGUUUGAGCUUAUCAGGAUCAAACUUUUCAUAUAAGCAUCGUAGCCCUAAACGACAACUUGGGUUUUCUUGCUAAACCACAGUUCAUAUAGUGUCGUCUCAACGGAUUUAGAUGGUGCCCUUUUAAUGUGAAUGCAGCUGUCUCUAAUGCAUAACCCCAAAACGAUAAUGGUAAAUCAAUAAGAGACAUCAUAGAUCGCACCAAAAUAAAGUGCGGUUACGACGCUCGGACACACCAUAACAUUGUGGUGUUCUAGGUGGCGUGAGCUGUGAAACUAUUCCACAUUGUUUUAAUUGAAGACCAAAAUCGUAACUCAAAUAUUCGCCUCUGCGAUCAGAUCGCAGAAACUUUAUUUUCUUGUUACGAUGAUUUUUCCACUUCACUCUGAAAUUCUUUGAACCUUUGAACUAUUUCAGACUUAUGUUUCAUCAAGUAGAUAUACUCAUAUCUGCUCAAAUCAUCUUGUGAAGGUCAGAAAAUAACGAUACUUGCCACGAGCAUCAACACUCAUUGGAUCGCAUACAUCGGUAUGUAUUAUUUCCAAUAAGUCAGUAGCUCAUUCCAUUGUUCUGGAGAACGGAGUUUUAGUCAUCUUGCCUAAAAGGCACGGUUCGCAAGCAUCAAAUGAUUCAUAACCAAGUGAUUCCGAAAAUCCAUCUUUAUGGAGUUUCUUCAUGCGCUUUACACCGAUAUGACCCAAACAGCAGUGCCACAAAUAAGUUACACUAUCAUUAUUAAGUUUGCAUCUUUUGGCAUCAAUAUUAUGAAUAUGUGUAUCACUAUGAUCGAGAUCCAACAAACUAUUGUCAUUGGGUGUAUAACCAUUGAAGGACUUAUUCAUGUAAACAGAAUAACAAUUAUUCUUUAACUUCAAAUGAAUAACUGUAUCGCAAUAAACAUGAUCAAAUCAUAUUCAUGCUCAACGCAAACGCUAAAUAACAUUUAUUUAGGUUUAACACUAAUCCCGACAGUAUAGGGAGUGUGUGAUGAUGAUCAUAUCAAUCUUGGAACUAUUUCCAACACUUAUCAUCACUUCCCCUCAACUAGUCUCUGUUUAUUCUGUAACUCCUGUUUCGAGUUACUAAUCUUAGUGACCGAACAAGUAUCAAAUACUCAGGGGCUACUAUAAACACUAGUAAGGCAUACAUCAAUAACCUGUAUAUCAAAUACACCCUUGUUCACUUUGCCAUCCUUCUUAUCCACCAAAUAUUCAGGGCAUUUCCGCUUCCAGUGACCAUUUCCUUUGCAGUGUAAGCACUCAGUUUCAGGCUUUGGUCCAGCUUUGGUCUUCUUCACGGGAGUGACAACUUGCUUGCCAUUCUGCUUGAAGUUCCCUUUCUUUCCCUUUGCCCUUUUCUUGAAACUAGUGGUCUUGUCAAUCAUCAACACUUGAUGCUCUUUCUUGAUUUCUACCUUCGUCGAUUUCAGCAUCACGAAGAGCUUGGGAAUCGUUUUCGUCAUCCCUUGCAUUAUAGUUCAUCACGAAGUUCUACUAACUUGGUGGUGGUGACUAGAGAAUUCUGUCAAUCACUAUCUUAUCUGGAAGAUUAACUCCCACUUGAUUCAAGCGAUUGUAGUACCCAGACAAUCUGAGCACAUGCUCACUAGUUGAGCGAUUCUCCUCCAUCUUUUAGCUAUAGAACUUGUUGGAGACUUCAUAGCUCUCAACUCGGGUAUUUGCUUGAAAUAUUAACUUCAACUCAUGGAAUAUCUCAUAUGGUCCAUGAUGUUCAAAACGUUUUUGAAGUCCCGAUUCUAAGCCAUAAAGCAUGGUGCACAAAACUAUCAAGUAGUAAUCAUAUUGAGCUAGCCAAACGUUCAUAACGUCUGCAUCUGCUCCUAUAAUAGGUCUGUCACCUAGCGGUGCAUUAAGGACAUAAUUCUUCUGUGCAGCAAUGAGGAUAAACCUUAGAUCACGGAUCCAAUCCGCAUCAUUGCUACUAACAUCUUUCAACACAAUUUUCUCUAGGAACAUAUAAAAAUAAACAUAUGAAAGCAACAACGCAAGCUAUUGAUCUACAACAUAAUUUCCAAAAUACUACCAGGACUAAGUUCAUGAUAAAUUUAAGUUCAAUUAAUCAUAUUACUUAAGAACUCCCACUUAGACAGACAUCUCUCUAGUCAUCUAUGUGAUCACGUGAUCCAAAUCAACUAAACCAUGUCCGAUCAUCACGUGAGAUGGAGUAGUUUCAAUGGUGAACAUCACUAUGUUGAUCAUAUCUACUAUAUGAUUCACGCUCGACCUUUCGGUCUCCGUGUUCCAAGGCCAUAUCUGUAUAUGCUAGGCUCGUCAAGUAUGACCUGAGUAUUCCGCGUGUGCAACUGUUUUGCACCCGUUGUAUUUGAACGUAGAGCCUAUCACACCCGAUCAUCACGUGGUGUCUCAGCACGAAGAACUUUCACAACGGUGCAUACUUAGGGAGAACACUUCUUGAUUAUUAGUGAGAGAUCAUCUUAAAAUGCUACCGUCAAUCAAAGCAAGAUAAGAUGCAUAAAGGAUAAACAUCACAUGCAAUCAAUAUAAGUGAUAUGAUAUGGCCAUCAUCAUCUUGUGCUUGUGAUCUCCAUCUUCGAAGCACCGUCGUGAUCACCAUCGUCACCGGCGUGACACCUUCAUCUCCAUCGUAGCAUCGUUGUCGUUACGCCAUCUAUUGCUUCUACGACUAUCGCUACCACUUAGAGAUAAAGUAAAGCAAUUACAGGGCGUUUGCAUCUCAUACAAUAAAGCGACAACCAUAUGGCUCCUGCCAGUUGCCGAUAACUUCGGUUACAAAACAUGAUCAUCUCAUACAGAUAUAAUAUAGCAUCACGUCUUGACCAUAUCACAUCACAACAUGCCCUGCAAAAACAAGUUAGACAUCCUCUACUUUGUUGUUGCAAAUUUUACGUGGCUGCUACGGGCUUUAGCAAGAACCGUUCUUACCUGCGCAUAAAAACCACAACGAUAGUUCGUCAAAUUGGUGCUGUUUUAACCUUCGCAAGGACCGGGCGUAGCCACACUCGAUUCAGCUAAAGUGAGAGAGACAGACACCCGCCAGCCACCUUUAAGCACGAGUGCUCCUAAUGGUGAAACCAGUCUCGCGUAAGCGUACGCGUAAUGUCGGUCCGGCCCGCUUCAUCUCACAAUACCGCCGAACCAAAGUAUGACAUGCUGGUAAGCAGUAUGACUUGUAUCACCCACAACUCACUUGUGUUCUACUCGUGCAUAUAACAUCAACGCAUAAAACCUAGGCUCGGAUGCCACUGUUGGGGAACGUAGUAAUUUCAAAAAAAUUCCUACACACACGCAAGAUCAUGGUGAUGACAUAGCAACAAGAGGGGAGAGUGUUGUCCACGUACCCUCUUAGACCGUAAGCGGAAGCGUUAGCACAACGCGGUUGAUGUAGUCGUACGUCUUCAUGAUCCGACCGAUCCAAGCACCGAACGUACGGCACCUCCGAGUUCAGCACACGUUCAGCUCGAUGACGAUCCCCGGGCUUCGAUCCAGCAAAGCUUCGGGGAUGAGUUCCGUCAGCACGACGGCGUGGUGACGAUGAUGAUGUUCUACUGGCGCAGGGCUUCGCCUAAACUCCGCGACGAUAUGACCGAGGUGGAAUAUGGUGGAGGGGGGCACCGCACACGGCUAAGGAACGAUUCGUAGAUCAACUUAUGUGUUAUGGGGUGCCCCCUUGCCCCCGUAUAUAAAGGAGGGAGGGGGAGGUGCGGCCGGCCCCCUUGGGGUGCGCCUGGAGGAGUCCUACUCCCACCGGGAGUAGGACUCCCCCCUCUUGCCUUGGUGGAGAAGGAAAGGGGGGAGGGGAAAGAGGAAAGGGGGGCGUCGCCCCCCUUCCUUGUCCUAUUCGGACUAGAGGGGGAGGGGGCGCGCGGCCUGCCCUGGCCGGCCCUCCUCUUCUCCCUCAUGGCCCACUAAGGCCCAUUAACCCCCGGGAGGGUUCCGGUAACCCCCCGGUGUUCCGGUAAAAUCCCGAUUUCAUCCGGAACCUUUCCGAUGUCCAAACAUAGGCUUCCAAUAUAUCAAUCUUUAUGUCUCGACCAUUUCGAGACUCCUCGUUACGUCCGUGAUCACAUCCGGGACUCCGAACAAACUUCGGUACAUCAAAACUUAUAAACUCAUAAUAAAACUGUCAUCGUAACGUUAAGCGUGCGGACCCUACGGGUUCGAGAACUAUGUAGACAUGACCUAGAACUAUUCUCGGUCAAUAACCAAUAGCGGAACCUGGAUGCCCAUAUUGGUUCCUACAUAUUCUAUGAAGAUCUUUAUCGGUCAAACCGCAUAACAACAUACGUUGUUCCCUUUGUCAUCGGUAUGUUACUUGCCCGAGAUUUGAUCGUCGGUAUCCAAUACCUAGUUCAAUCUCGUUACCAGCAAGUCUCUUUACUCGUUACAUAAUGCAUCAUCGCGUAACCAACUCAUUGGUAACAUUGAUUGCAAGGCUUGUAGUGAUGUGCAUUACCGAGAGGGCCCAGAGAUACCUCUCCGACAAUCGGAGUGACAAAACCUAAUCUCGAAAUAUGCCAACUCAACAUGUACCUUUGGAGACACCUGUAGUGGUCCUUUAUAAUCACCCAGUUACGUUGUGAUGUUUGGUAGCACCCAAAGUGUUUCUCCGAACGGGAGUUGCAUAAUCUCAUAGUUACAGGAACAUGUAUAAGUCAUGAAGAAAGCAAUAGCAACAUACUAAACGAUCAAGUGCUAGGCUAAUGGAAUGGGUCAUGUCAAUCACAUCAUUCUCCUAAUGAUGUGAUCCCGUUAAUCAAAUGACAACUCUUUUGUCCAUGGCUAGGAAACUUAACCAUCUUUGAUUCAACGAGCUAGUCAAGUAGAGGCAUACUAGUGACACUAUGUUUGUCUAUGUAUUCACACAUGUAUUAUGUUUCUGGUUAAUACAAUUCUAGCAUGAAUAAUAAACAUUUAUCAUGAUAUAAGGAAAUAAAUAAUAACUUUAUUAUUGCCUCUAGGGCAUAUUUCCUUCAGUUUAAUCCUGUCCACCUUACUAAUGAACUGGUUCACCGAAAUGAGUUUCAUAUACUAGUACAUGCUAAACUUGUUAUUUGUCUGCUUGUUUCUUGUUUUAGAAUGCUGACAGAAUAUUGGGAAAAGUGCCUUAUUAAGCAAUGGUAUAGGAGGUAAUGCAGAUAAGGUUUAGGAUAGUGACACAUCCUUGUUGGUCUCCAACAAAGCUGAUAAAACAGCUAAGGAAGACUAUCUUGAAGACAGCGAGACAACCCCAAAGUCCUGUCUUGGUUUAGUGUUCGAGUUACUGGCCACUACCGCUUGCACAAGCUAUUCAAACUCACUGUCUGAAUCAGUUCAGUUUCUUGAGUCUCAACUACAAGCUGAAAGACAUCGAUCAGCUGUGGUGCAACAAGAAGCGGAAGGAGUGCGGAAGUCCCUGGAGCAUUCAGAUGCAUACUUUCUGGUGCAACAGCAAGCGUUGGAGGAUUUUAGCGCCAAACAGGACAAAGCUAAUCAGCUUGCUAAGCUUAUUGCCACCAUAGUGGAUACCCAGGAUAACGUUUCUUGAGCUCUUCUGAAGUUGUUUCAGUUAUGCUGUUGUUUUGCUGUCGCGUUUAUUUGCACUGGUGGCCAAUUUUGACGGCCAGUGUAUGUAGUGUGCUGCUUUAUUCCCAAUAUUUGCACUGGUGGCGAACUUUGAUGCCCAGUGGAUGUAAUAUGUGUAAUAGCGGUAAUAGGCUAGCGUUAAUUGCUUGCUUAUUUAUUUCCUUAUUGUCUUGUUUUGUUGUUUGAUUGUAGUCACUGCAGUUCUUUUUCUGUGUUUUUGUAGUGGCCACAAUAGCCUAUUUUUGGUAACUAGGCCAAAAUUAUCAUGGCAACACACGGACUGUUCUAACCAUGGGCCUCCUGCAGGCCGUAUGAUCCAUGGGCCUUCUUCCGACCGUAGGUUCCAUCAGCCUUCUAUACGGGCCUUAGGGUCCAUGGGCCUUCUACGGGCCGUAGGGUCCAUGGGCCUUCUGCGGGCCGCAGGGUCCAUGGGCCUUCUACGGGCCGUACGUUCCAUGGGCCUCAUACGGGCCAUAGGAUCCAUGGGCCUUCUACGGGGCGUAUCAUCAUUUCACCAAUCCUGGGCCGUACUAUUCAUGGACCAUAACGGGCCGUUAAUAGGUCGUAUUUGAUAACUCUAUGAAAACAGCCCAACGGGUUUUUUUUGACAUGAAAACGACCCAACGUAUUAAUGGUCCGCAAAUGGGCCAACUGUAACGACGGGCUGAAUUUGGCCGACAAGCAGAAAAUCACAGUAACGGGCCGUAUGUAACCGAAUGCUGCAAAUGAGCCCAAGAAUCAAUGGGCCCUGAGAAGGCCGAAAGAUAACUUGGGCUGGAAAUGGCCCAAUGGAAUAACGGGUCGUUAAUGGGUAUAACGUGAUACACUGUUCAUUACAGGCCAGUUUCACCACGGGCUGUUAAUGGGCCAAGAUUUACAAAGGGCCUCAUAUGGGCCGAAAGAAGUCAUGGGCCACACAUGGGCCGGAAGUUAAAAUGGGCUGGAAUCAUAUUGGACGGCCCAGAUGAUGCUACUGGGCCUAAUUCGGAUAGGGCGUAACGGGCCCUGGGUUAGCGGGCUGUAAAUGGACUAUAUGCGAACAGGUCGUUAACAGGCUUUCCGUGGGCCGGCCCGCCACCUUUUGACCAAGUCAAACGGGCCGGCCUUUUCACAGGAAUGGGCCUCUGUUGGGCCGUGCCACGUGUUGCCGUAUCAUAGGUGCCUUCGGUCCAAUGAGCGGAUGACAUCUGUCCCAGCGGUGAGCCGACACGUGUUUCCUCCAGCCAAUGAUGAUUUUACACGUUGAAAAUCCCCAUUGGUCGGGGCUGUUAAUGGGUUAAAGGAUCCAAAACCCGACCCGAUAGCUUAACGGCGUUCCGUUACGGUGGAUGCCACAUGUCGGUCACCCUUGAUGAAAGCACUUCUGUGAUGCGCGAUUUAUCGUCAUGGGAGUGGACACUUCCGUGAUGAUAAUUUUGGUAAUGUCAUCGAACACUUCUAUGACAACACAGGUAUGACUAUCUUGAUCCUGUCAUAAAUUUGUCAUGGAUGUACAUGCAUGACAAAAAAUGCGACCUACUAUGACAAACACGUAUCAUCACGGAAGUGUAUUUUUUUGUAGUGGAUGCAGGCAGGAGUUGGUCUACUUGCAUCGAAUGUGAUGCCUAUAUGCAUGAUCAUUGCCAUGAAUCCAUCAUAAUUAUUUGCUUUUCUAUCAAUUGCCCAACAACAAUUUGUUUACCCACCGUAUGUUCUGCAAUCAAGAGAGAAGCAUCUAGUAAAAACUAUGGCCCCUUGGUGUACUUUUAUCAUAUAUAAAAACACAAAAAUACCUAGCUGCAAUUUAUUUACUUUUAUUUUAUUUUGUAUUUUACUUUAUCCAUCUAUCACUAUCAGAAUUAGUCAUUGCAAAUAACCGCUACGAGGAUUGACAAGCCUAUUAUUUGCGUUGGGUGCAAGUGUUUGGUUUUGUGUGUGCAGGUGCUGCUAACAAUGUUUUGUGUGGUUCACCUAAUGGAUUCAUAACCUUGAUUCUUAACUGAGUGAAAUACUUAUUUGUACUAUACUGCAUCAUCCUCUCCUCCUUGGGAAUUAACAACAUAGUCUACAAGUAGCACUCUCCGUUGAAAUGUUAAAUUGUAAUUAGUCCUUACUCCCGAAUUAAUAGUACUUCAAUUUGAAACAAGUUUCGGACAUGUUAAUUAUGUUAUGUUCAUAAUACUACAGUUCAUAUAUAAGUAAACGUCGCAUAACAUUGAGAUUGUAGUUAGGGAUGGAAAUCAAAAUAUGGCAUGAAUGUAACAAUUGCUAGCAAUGUGCUUCAGAAAAGAACUUAUUUGACUUUUAUUCCCAUGUUUGGACUAGUACAGGUCGGGGUUACACAUGAUGGUGCACAUCACUUUCUUUAUCACCGUUACAUUAUGCUCCAUUGACUAACAACGAUGAUUCACCCGUCUAGUAUUACAUCUAUUCAUUUCAUAGGCCACUGAUACUUAUAACGUCGCUCCCAGAUGGUUGUUGUUGUGGAUAUUGUUGGUAUGGGGAAGGUUCUUGUGAUUGCUGGGGUGGGUAUGGUAUUGGAAAUUGUUUUUGGGGGGAUUGUUGUGGUGGUUGCAGGGGGAAUUGUUGUUGGGGGAAUUGUUGUUGUUCAGGGGAUUGUUGUNNNNNNNNNNNNNNNNNNNNNNNNNNNNNNNNNNNNNNNNNNNNNNNNNNNNNNNNNNNNNNNNNNNNNNNNNNNNNNNNNNNNNNNNNNNNNNNNNNNNNNNNNNNNNNNNNNNNNNNNNNNNNNNNNNNNNNNNNNNNNNNNNNNNNNNNNNNNNNNNNNNNNNNNNNNNNNNNNNNNNNNNNNNNNNNNNNNNNNNNNNNNNNNNNNNNNNNNNNNNNNNNNNNNNNNNNNNNNNNNNNNNNNNNNNNNNNNNNNNNNNNNNNNNNNNNNNNNNNNNNNNNNNNNNNNNNNNNNNNNNNNNNNNNNNNNNNNNNNNNNNNNNNNNNNNNNNNNNNNNNNNNNNNNNNNNNNNNNNNNNNNNNNNNNNNNNNNNNNNNNNNNNNNNNNNNNNNNNNNNNNNNNNNNNNNNNNNNNNNNNNNNNNNNNNNNNNNNNNNNNNNNNNNNNNNNNNNNNNNNNNNNNNNNNNNNNNNNNNNNNNNNNNNNNNNNNNNNNNNNNNNNNNNNNNNNNNNNNNNNNNNNNNNNNNNNNNNNNNNNNNNNNNNNNNNNNNNNNNNNNNNNNNNNNNNNNNNNNNNNNNNNNNNNNNNNNNNNNNNNNNNNNNNNNNNNNNNNNNNNNNNNNNNNNNNNNNNNNNNNNNNNNNNNNNNNNNNNNNNNNNNNNNNNNNNNNNNNNNNNNNNNNNNNNNNNNNNNNNNNNNNNNNNNNNNNNNNNNNNNNNNNNNNNNNNNNNNNNNNNNNNNNNNNNNNNNNNNNNNNNNNNNNNNNNGGGGAGUUGUUCUGGUUGCUGGGGGAUUUGAUGUUGUUGGGGGAUUUGUUGUUGGGAGAAUUGUUGUGGUUGGGGGACUUGUUGUUGUUGGGGGAAUUGUUCUUGUGGAGUAUUGCACUACUAGGAAAAGGGCUACUAGUGGCGCACCAGAUUUGCCUACUAGUGGCGCAUCACUUGUGCGCCAUUAGUAUCACGCCACUAGAAUUUUUUUCUAAUGGCGCACCACUGGUGCGCCAUUAGUAUCUGGUAUACUAAUGGCGCACCAGGCAGUGCGCCAUUAGUUUUGCCCAUGGUGCGCCACUAGUGUCUGCUAUACUAAUGGCGCACCACACUGUAAUGCGCCAUUAGUAACAAUUUUUUUAAUUUUUUUUUCUUAAUCUCAGGUCACUAUUUCACCUAUGAGAUAUCCAACACAUAUAUAUAUACAACAAGCAUCCAUAUAUAAAUACAUAGCCAACACACAAGUUCCAUCAUAUAUACAUACAUAGCCAACACACAAGUUCCAUCGUUACAUAUUACAAAAGUUUCACAUUGUUCAUCCAACACCGUUAUCCAUCAAUUCACAAAAGUUUCACAUUGAUACAAAAUAAAAACACAAAUGGAAAAGAAGCACUCCAUCCAUGCAAGCUUCCGUGAAUUAAAUCAAAUAUGCAAAAUGAUAAACAAGAAGUUAGAAGAAGAAAAAGAAGAAGACUAGAAGAAUACUAGAAGAAGAAGAACACUAGAAGAAGAAUAAGAAGAAUUUUGGAAAAGAAAUAAGAAGAAGACUAUAAGCUUAUUAUGUAAACUUGAUCAUUUUGUGCUAACAUAAGUUAUUUUGGAGCUAACCUAUAGGAAACUAAGCAUAUAAGCUCUAAGUUAGUAUAUUAGAGCCAACUUAGGUAAAAUGAAGCUAACCUAUGUCAUUUUGGAAAAGAAGAAGAAUAAGAAAAAGACAAUAAGCUUAUUAUGUAAACUUGAUCAUUUUGUGCUAACAUAAGUUAUUUUGGAGCUAACCUAUAGGAAACUAAGCAUAUAAGCUCUAAGUUAGCAUAUUAGAGCCAAUUUAGGUAAAAUGAAGCUAACCUAUAGGAAACUAAGCAUAUUAGAGAUAACAUAGGUAACUAAGUAUAUAUAUAUAUAUCAUUUUGGAGAUCUGACAUGCCUGACAAAGUUCAGUUCUCAUGCAUUGUUCUUCUCCUUCUCCUUCCUCAGUCUGAUGUGCCAAGAGCGGCAAGGCGGUGGAGGCGGUGGAGGCAGUGGGAUGUAGUCUUCUACCUCAAUUGGCGUGGUCAUGUUGCCCAGCUGUGGGAUCGCCGGCGCCACCACCGGUGCGUGGUCAUUGUCAGGCACCACCACCAUCGCGAGGCCACCUUCAGGCAUGACCAUCACUAGGUCAUCCUCAGCCACCUCCAUCUCUUGCCCAUGGUCAGCCAGCACCAUCUCUUGCCCAUGGUCAGCCACCACCAUCUCUUGCCCAUGUUCAGCCACCACCAUCUCUUGUCCUUGGUCAGCCACCACCAGCGCUAGGUCAUCCUCAGCCUGAUGCCCAUCGUCAUCCUGCAGCUCCUCAUCCCCACUCUGCUCCUCUUCUCCCGCACUCCAGUCCGGAUCAUCCUUCUUGUUGUCUAUGCUGCUGCCAGAAUCGUUGCUGCUUUCGCUACAACCAGAAUCGCUGCUGCUUUCGCUACAGCCAUGGUCGCUGCUGCUUUCGCUAUAGCCAUGGUCGCUACUGCUUUAUCUGUAGCCAUUGUCGCUGCUGCUGCUCCCAUUACCUGUCCAAAUGCAACAAUGACCGUUAACAAUCGAUGUGAGACAAAGCCAAAUGUAGAGGAAUAAGAAGAGGCGGAACCUACCGGCAUCAUAAUCUUCAGCGUAGCGCAUGCGACACAUAGUCGUGUUGAACACCUUCACGAUGAGCAUGGUGGCGUCGUCGUCGUAACUGAAGAGAAGGAAGUACCCUAGCCGCAGGUCGUAGGCACGGUAGAACUUCUCCCACCCACGAGACAAGUACAUGUGGCCCUUCUUGAUCACCAACUCCGCAUCCCACAGCCUGUGAAACCCGCUGCCGGCCUGUCGCACCUUCACAUUAUUUGGCGGAUCUUCACCCAUCAGCAUGUUCUUAAAACUGUCAGGCAGCCUCUGUAGUUUGGGACAAUAAGUGAUGUAGGCAAACAACAGAUAUCAUAAUGAGAUGGGUGAAGCUAGGGGAGAUCUCUCAUUUUAUAUACCUGCGUCAUGGAUGAUACUGAAGUCCCAAGUAUGAUAGUGAAGAACUCGGAAGCAUCCAACUCGUACUGCGGUGUCGCAGAGCGGCGGUGGCUGCUUCCCGCCAUCUCUAAUAAUUAAGCAGCAGAAGAGACCAAUUAGUACCCUUACAACCGAACAAGGCAAGGCAAGGUAUUAAGACAGAUGUGAACACAUGAGAUAAAAUCUAGAGACGUGAACACAUGAGAACUACUCGUCAUCAUCACCAAUAUUGUGACCAGUGUGAUCUUCAUCAUCACUACCAUAUUGCAUUGUAGUUUCAUCGUGGUCAUCCUCCAAUAAUUCAAACUGAUUGUAUGAUAAGAUAGCAGAGAGAUACAUUCCAAACUGUGAAUGUGGUAUGGCAAUGGACUUGUAAUCAUAUCGUUGUUCAUAGCUAAAAUAACACCUUGUAUAAGACGAAAUCAUGAUCUGGCAAACAUAUAGAUUUACCAGCAAACUUGUGUGCCUAACUAUCUAUAUCUAGGAAAUCAAAGUUAUUUCAACUUUGAUGUUUGGAAUAUACCUAGAGAAACAUGAUUUAUUUAUUUUACUUCACACUCACAACUAAACAGCUUGAGCAAAAAGGACUCGAUAAAAGGUAUCACUAUGCAUAAUUAUUUGUAGCUACAAACAAUACAUGUAAUGAGCUAGAAAAGCCACCUUACCAUCAUUAACAGUACUCAUAAGUCAUAACCCACUUUCCAAAUUUAAUUGGGAACCCUUUCAUAACCAUCACCUUUUCUAAAAAUCCUAGCAGGACAAAGUUGACUACCUUGAAGAGACGUACUAUGUAUUAUUACCGAGGUAGAGUGUGAGGUAUGCCUUUCAAGUUUGUGUCCGUCGUAGUUGAGGUGACCAACUGUUUUUGUUUACUAGCAUAUGUGUGCACGCCUGACGACUUUGCUGGUUAGUGUCUGGUGUGCAAGCUUAAUAUACGGGCGUGCACGUGCAUGCAUAUGCGAUAUGCCGUGCCGGUUUUCAAAAUAAUUCAGUGCCACCGGCCAGAUUUGAACAGCCAAAAAGUAGUGCGGGUGGAGGCGCUGCCAGGUAUGCACAAAUAAACAAAGCAAAAGCAUACUGGACGGUAAUAAAUUUCUCUUAGGUUUUGCAAGUGGCCAACAGAGAUAAAAAUUCAACGACAACAGGGCGGCCCUGACGUGUAACAGGGCACCUCAGCCAGUAACUUAUCAGUUCAUCACACAAAAGAAUUGCACAAAGUGGUGCAACUUGCAAUCAUAUACCAUCGCGGGGUCGAAAGCAACAACAUAGAUUAUCAGAUGAGAUUAUCAGGAACAAAAGUGAAGUGGCACACCAAGAAUACCAAGAAAGCACCAGCAUUCUCAGGUGACAUCAUAACGACCGCAAGUGAAUUGACAUUGCAAGUUUGCAACAAACACACCAGCACUAUCCAGUGAGAUUUAUAUGAGCCCAUAUGGCAUAGCAACUGCAGCUUCAGAAACUACGGUUCGCCAGGUUAACCAUCUGCGAAUAUGCAAGGAGCAGAUGACGAAUAAUAAAUUUGCGCAAUGUCCAAACGCUGGAAAGAGGAAACGAAACCCCUGGACCAUUAGCCAUCAAGAAAACAAGGCAAUUCAUUUACGAAUGACUUCAGUAUCUUGUUAAAGCAGUUUAAAGGAACAUUGACCAAACAUAUAGGCCUAUAUCUUUGGAUCAUCGUUCCAAUAGGCAACAAAGUAAUAAUGCCAUAGUUAAGUCUUCCUACGUCCAACUUUCCAUUAAAAUAAAUCAUGAAACAGAGGCAUCAAAUCAUAGUUAAUGUUCCAUCCUUUCAACUUUUUUCUCACUACUCUAACUCUAUUUUGCCACUUUUUUCUCAUAGUUAUCCAACUUUCCAAAAUUUUCUUCUAUUUUCUAUAAAAACUUUCAUAGUUGUAUCAAAAUGAAAUGCAUUCCAAACUUUGCUGGCCACCUCACUUAGAUGCUCUCUAAGAAACUANNNNNNNNNNNNNNNNNNNNNNNNNNNNNNNNNNNNNNNNNNNNNNNNNNNNNNNNNNNNNNNNNNNNNNNNNNNNNNNNNNNNNNNNNNNNNNNNNNNNNNNNNNNNNNNNNNNNNNNNNNNNNNNNNNNNNNNNNNNNNNNNNNNNNNNNNNNNNNNNNNNNNNNNNNNNNNNNNNNNNNNNNNNNNNNNNNNNNNNNNNNNNNNNNNNNNNNNNNNNNNNNNNNNNNNNNNNNNNNNNNNNNNNNNNNNNNNNNNNNNNNNNNNNNNNNNNNNNNNNNNNNNNNNNNNNNNNNNNNNNNNNNNNNNNNNNNNNNNNNNNNNNNNNNNNNNNNNNNNNNNNNNNNNNNNNNNNNNNNNNNNNNNNNNNNNNNNNNNNNNNNNNNNNNNNNNNNNNNNNNNNNNNNNNNNNNNNNNNNNNNNNNNNNNNNNNNNNNNNNNNNNNNNNNNNNNNNNNNNNNNNNNNNNNNNNNNNNNNNNNNNNNNNNNNNNNNNNNNNNNNNNNNNNNNNNNNNNNNNNNNNNNNNNNNNNNNNNNNNNNNNNNNNNNNNNNNNNNNNNNNNNNNNNNNNNNNNNNNNNNNNNNNNNNNNNNGGGAAGAAGUGGGCGCGGGGGCGGGGGUCGGGGCGGUGGCGCCAGGGGACGGAGGGGGCGUGGGGGCGCGGGGGCGCGGCGGCGGCGUAUGGUUGGGGCGGAGGGGGCGUACUGAGUGGGGAGGAAGGGAGGGAGAGGGAAUAAGUUUUUUGCCAAAAAGUAAAAAAUAAAUAAAUUUACUGACGCACUCUGUCUCUAGUGCGCCAUUAGUAGUUCUAACUACUAAUGGCGCACUUUGCCCGGAUGCGCCAUUAGAAUGUUUGAAAAAAUGAAAAAAAAUUGUUUUACUAGUGGCGCACCUUCUGCCUGGUGCGCCAUUAGUGUAUUCCACACUAAUGGCGUAUCUCCACCAGGUGCGCCAUUAGUAUAUAGUAGUGGCGCACCACUUCUCUGGUGCGCCAUUAGUGUCAGUCCUAUCUUUAGCCCUUUUCCUAGUACUGUUGAAUUCCUUGCCUCUAGGGCUUAACUGCCUACUGGCACUGGCGAUGUUCAUCGCCAUGGCAAGGAGGACAAAUAUGAUGAAGGUCUUCAUGUUUGAUUUGUGUUUACUAUUGCUCACUUGGCUUUGAUGUUUCAGCUCUAGGUGCUUGAAGGUUAGAUGAUGGAAGAGACCCUCAUGGUGUAGUCAUAUUUAUAGCUGGCAUCGCACAUUUUUUUUGAUCUUCACACUCAUUUCUUGAAAAAGUGCUCUUAAGCUUAUCGACCUAAUAAUUAGGUAUGUUGUGUUUGAUGGCACUACUUACUAGGGUGACUUUGGAUUGUUCAUCAUAGUUGAUUCUUCUUUCUCAUAUCAUCUGGGUGUAUCAAAUGCUUGAUAACGAAUAAUGAAUCAUCGUAUUCACUUUACACUUCAAAUAUCGAUCUAGAUUUUGUCCGUCUUUCUGAUUUAGCUUGUGCUGUUCUGCAUGUUGUUGUUGGAAAUAUGCCCUAGAGGCAAUAAUAAAAUGGCUAUUAUUGUAUUUCCUUGUUCAUGAUAAUUGUCUAUUAUUCAUGCUAUAAUUGUAUUGACCGGAAACCGCAAUACAUGUGUGAAUACAUAGACCACAACAUGUCCCUAGUGAGACUCUAGUUGACUAGCUCGUUGAUCAACAGAUGGUCAUGGUUUCCUCACCAUGGACAUUGGAUGUCAUUGAUAACGGGAUCACAUCAUUAGGAGAAUGAUGUGAUGGACAAGACCCAAUCCUAAGCCUCGCACAAGAUCGUGUAGUUCGUAUGCUAAAGUUUUUCUAAAUGUCAAGUGUCUUUUCCUUAGACCAUGAGAUUAUGCAACUCCCGGAUACCAUAGGAAUGCUUUCGCUGUACCAAACGUCACAACGUAACUGGGUGGCUAUAAAGGUGCACUACGGGUAUCUCCGAAAGUGUCUGUUGGGUUGGCACGAAUCGAGACUGGGAUUUGUCACUCUGUGUGACGGAGAGGUAUCUCUGGGCCCACUCGGUAGGACAUCAUCAUAAUGUGCACAAUGUGAUCAAGGAGUUGAUCACGGGAUGAUGUGUUACGGAACGAGUAAAGAGACUUGCCGGUAACGAGAUUGCACAAGGUAUCGGCAUACCGACGAUCGAAUCUCGGGCAAGUACUAUACCGGUAUACAAAGGGAAUUGUAUACGGGAAUGAUUGAAUCCUUGACAUCAUGGUUCAUCUGAUGUGAUCAUCGUGGAACAUGUGGGAGCCAACAUGGGUAUCCAGAUCCCGCUGUUGGUUAUUGGCCGGAGAGUUGUCUCGGUCAUGUCUGCAUGGUUCCCGAACCCGUAGGGUCUACACAGUUAAGGUUCGAUGACGCUAGGGUUAUAGGGAAGGUAUGUAUGCGGUUACCGAAUGUUGUUCGGAGUCCCAGAUGAUAUCCCGGACAUCACGAGGAGUCCCAGAAUGGUCCGGAGGUGAAGAUUGAUAUAUUGGACGAAGGGUUUUGGAGUCCGGAAGUGUUCCGGAGGUACCGGGUGAUGACCAGCAUGACCGAAAGGUGUUUCGGGAGCCCCGGCAAGUGUUGGGGGGGAUUCAUGGGCCAAGGGGAGGGGGCAAACCAGCCCACUAAGGGGCUGUGCGCCCCCCCCCCCUCACCUAUUCCCACGUGACCGGGUGGUUUGGGGCGCCCCAUCUAGGGUUCCCACCUCCUGGCUUGGGGGCCAAGUCACCCAAAGGGGAGAUCCCAUCUGCCCUGGCCCCCCCCUAGGGAAACCCUAGGGCGCCUCCCCCUCUCCCUUCCCCCUAUAUAUAAUGGAGAUUUUGGGGCUGCCCAACACAUGAGUCUAUCUCUCCCAAGGUGCAGCCCUACCUCUCUCCCUCCUCGUCUCUCGUAGUGCUUGGUGAAGCCCUGCUGGAGUACCGCGCUCCUCCACCACCACCACGCCGUCGUGCUACUGCUGGACGGAGUCUUCCCCAACCUCUCCCUCUCUCCUUGCUGGAUCAAGGCAUGGGAGACGUCACCGGGUUGCACGUGUGUUGAGCGUGGAGGCGCCGUUGUUCGACACUUAGAUCGGAAUCGACCGCGAUCUGAAUCGCCACGAGUACGACUACCUCAUCCGCGUUCUUGUAACGCUUCGGCUUAGCGAUCUACAAGGGUAUAUAGAUGCACUCCCCUCUCUCUUUUGUUGCUAGAAUCUCCAUAGAUUGAUCUUGGUGAUGCGUAGAUAAUUUUGAAUUUCUGCUACGUUCCCCAACAGUGGCAUCAUGAGCAAGGUCUAUUGCGUAGAUUCUAUGCACGAGUAGAACACAAGUUGUUGUGGCGUUGAUUUUGUUCAAUAUGCUUACUGUUACUAGUCCUAUCUUGUUUCGACUGUAUUUUGGGAUGAAGCAGCCCGGACCGACCUUACAUGUACACUUACGUGAGACAGGUUCCACCGAAUGACAUGCACUUGUUGCAUAAGGUGGCUAGCGGGUGCCAGUCUCUCCCACUUUAGUCGGAUCGGAUUCAAUGAAAAGGGUCCUUAUGAAGGGUAAAUAGCAAUUGGCAUAUCACGUUGUGGCUUCUACGUAGGUAAGAAAUGUUCUUGCUAGAAACCCAUAGCAGCCACGUAAAACAUGCAAACAACAAUUAGAGGGCGUCUAACUUGUUUUAGCAGGGUAUGCUAUGUGAUGUGAUAUGGCCAAAAGAAUGUGAUCAAUGAUAUGUGAUGUAUGAGAUUGAUCAUGUUCUUGUAAUAGGAAUCACGACUUGCAUGUCGAUGAGUAUGACAACCGGCAGGAGCCAUAGGAGUUGUCUUUAUUUAUUGUAUGACCUGCGUGUCACUGAAUAACGCCAUGUAAUUACUUUACUUCAUUGCUAAACCGUUAGCCAUAGUAGUAGAAGUAAUAGUUGGCGAGACAACUUCAUGGAGACACGAUGAUGGAGAUCAUGAUGAUGGAGAUCAUGGUGUCAUGCCGGUGACGAUGAUGAUCAUGGAGCCCCGAAGAUGGAGAUCAGAAGGUGAAAAAUGAUAUUGGCCAUAUCAUGUCACCUUUUGAUUGCAUAUGAUGUUUAUCAUGUUUAUGCAUCUUAUUUUCUUAGAGCGAUGGUAGUAAAUUAGAUGAUCCCUCAUAAUAAUUUCAAGAAAGUGUUCCCCCUAACUAUGCACCGUUGCGAAAGUUCGUUGUUUCAAAGCACCACGUGAUGAUUGGUUGUGAUAGAUUCUAACGUUCAGAUACAACGGGUGUAAGCCAGAUUUACACACGCGAAACACUUAGGUUGACUUGCUGAGCCUAGCAUGUACAGACAUGGCCUCGGAACACAAGAGACUCAAAGGUCGAACAUGAGUCUUAUAGUGGAUACGAUCAACAUGAAGAUGUUCACCGAUGAUGACUAGUCUGUCUCCCGUGAUGAUCAGACACGGCCUAGUUGACUCAGAUCAUGUAUCACUUAGAUGACUAGAGGGAUGUCUAUCUGAGUGGGAGUUCAUAAGAUGAACUUAAUUAUGCUGAACAUAGUCAAAAGGUUUUUGAAAAUUAUGCCGUAGCUCGCGCUUUAAUUCUGUUGUUUUAGAUAUGUUCCUCGAGAAAAUUUAGUUGAAAAUUGAUAGUAGCAAUUAUGAGGACUCGGUCUGUAAACUGAGGAUUGUCCUCAUUGCUGCGUAGAAGGCUUAUGUCCUUAAUGCAUCACUCGGUGUGCUGAACCUCGAACGUCGUUUGUGGAUGUUGCGAACAUCUGACAUACACGUUUUGAUGGCUACGUGAUAGUUUAGUGGGUAAUGUUAAAUGGUUUAGAAUUGAGGCACCGAAGACAUUUUUGAAAUGUCGCAGAACAUAUGAGAUGUUCCAAGAGCUGAAAUUGGGAUUUCAGGCUCGUGCCCACGUCAAGAGGUAUAAGACCUCCGACGAGCUUCUUAGCCUACAAACUAAGGGAGAAAAGCUCAAUCGUUGAGCUUGUACUCAGAUUUUCUGGGUACAACAAUCACUUGAAUCGAGUGGGACUUAAUCUUCCAGAUGAGAUAGUGAUGUUUCUCCAAAGACAUUGCCACCAAGCUACUAGAGCUUCGUGAUGAACUAUAACAUAACGGGGAUAGAUAUGAUGAUCCUUGAGCUAUUCGCGAUGUUCGACACCGCGAAAGUAGAAAUCAAGUAGGAGCAUCAAUUGCUGAUGGUUAGUAAAACCACUAGUUUCAAGAAGGGCAAGGGCAAGAAGGGAUACUUCAUGAAACAGCAAAACAGUUGCUGCUCUAGUGAAAGACCCAAGGUUGAACCCAAACCCGAGACUAAGUGCUUCUGUAAUGAGAGGAACGGACACUAAAGCAGAACCACCCUAGAUACUUGGUAGAUAAGAAGGCAGGCAAGGUCGACGGAAGUAUAUUGGAUAUACAUCAUAUUAUUGUGUACUCUACUAGUACUCCUAGUAGCACCAUGAUAAUAGAUACCGGUUCAGUUGCUAAGUGCUAGUAACUCGAAAUAAAAGGCUACGGAAUAAACGGAGACUAGCUAAAGGUGAGAUAACGAUGUGUGUUGGAAGUGUUUCCAAGGUUGAUGUGAUCAAACAUCGCACGCUCUCUCUACCAUCGGGAUCGGUGUUAAACCUACAUAAUUGUUAUUUGGUGUUUGCGUUGAGCAUAGACAUGAUUGGAUUAUGUCUAUCGCAAUAAGGUUAUUCAUUUCAGGAGAAUAAUGGUUAAUCUAUUUAUUUGAAUAAUACCUUCAAUGGUCUUGCACCUAAAAUGAAUGGUUUAUUGAAUCUCGAUCGUAGUGAUACACAUGUUCAUGCCAAAAGAUAUAAGAUAGUAAUGAUAGUACCACCUAAUUGCGGCACUGCCAUGUAAGUCAUAUUGGUAUAAAACGCAUGAAGAAGCUCCAUGUUGAUGGAUCUUUGGACUCACUCGUUUCCGAAAACUUUGAGACAUGUGAACCAUGUCUAUUGGUAUGUGCGCAUGAAGAAACUCCAUGCAGAUGGAUCAUUUGGACUCACUUGAUUCUAAAUCACUUGAGACAUGCAAAUCAUACCACAUGGGCAAGAUGACUGAAAAGCCUUGUUUUCAGUAAGAUGGAACAACAGAGCAACUUGUUGGAAGUAAUACAUUUUGAUGUGUGAUGUCCAAUGAAUGCCGAGGCACGCAGUGGAUAUCGUUAUGUUCUUACUUCACAGAUGUUUUGAGUAGAUGCUAAGUAUAUUUACUUGAUGAAACACAAGUCUGAAUUAUUGAAAGGUUCAAGUAAUUUCAGAGUGAAGUUGAAGAUCGUCGUGACAAGUGGAUAAAAUGUCUAUGAUAUGAUCAUAGAGAUGAAUAUCUGAGUUGCGAGUUUGGUACACAAUUAAGACAUUGUGGAAAUUGUUUCACAACUAACACCGCCUGGAACACCAUAGUGUGAUGGUGUGUCCGAACAUCAUAACUGCACCCUAUUUGAUAUGGUGCAUGCCAUGAUGUCUCUUAUCGAAUUACCACUAUCGUUUAUGGGUCAAGCAUUAGAGACAACCACAUUCACUUUAAAUAGGGCACCACGUAAUUCCGUUGAGACGACAUCGUAUGAACUAUGGUUUAGAGAAACCUAAGCUGUCAUUUCUUAAAAGUUUGGGGCUGCGACGCUUAUGUGAAAAGGUUUCAGCCAGAUAAGCUCGAACCCAAAGCGGAUAAAUACAUCUUCAUAGGACACCCCAAAACAGUUGGGUAUAACUCCUAUUUCAGAUCCGGAAGCAAAAGUGAUUGUUUCUAGAAACGGGUCCUUUCUCGAGGAAAAGUUUCUCUCGAAAGAAUUGAGUGGGAGGAUGGUGGAGACUUGAUGAGGUUAUUGAACCGUCACUUCAACUAGUGUGUAGCAGGGCACGGGAAGUUGUUCCUGUGGCGCCUACACCAAUUGAAGUGGAAGCUGAUGAUAUUGAUCAUGAAACUUCGGAUCAAGUCACUACCAAAACUCAUAGGUUGACAAGGAUACAUACUACUUCGGAGUGGUACGUAAUCCUGUCUUGGAGGUCAUGUUGCUAGACAAAAAUGAACCUAUGAGCUAUGAAAGAAGCGAUGGUGGGCCCGGAUUCCGAUGAAUGGCUCGAGGCCAUAAAAUCCGAGAGAAGAUCCAUGUAUGAAAACAAAGUAUAGACUUUGUAAGAACUACUUGAUGGUCGUAAGGCUGUUGGGUACAGAUGGAUUUUAAAAGAAAGACGGACAAUGAUGGUAAGUAUCACCAUUAAGAAAGCUCGACUUGUCUUUAAGAUGUUUUCCGACAAGUUCAAGGAGUUGACUGCAAUGAGACUUUCUCAUUUGUAGCGAUGGUAAGAGUCUGUUGGAACUAUAUUAGCAAUUACUGCAUGAUUUAUGAAAUCUUGCAGAUAGGGUGUCAAAACAGUGUUUCCUCGACAAUAUUCUUGAGGAAAGGUUGUAUGUGAUACAACCAGAAGGUUUUGUCAAUCCUGAAAGAUGCUAACAAGUGUGCAAAGCUCCAGCAAUCCUUCUAGGGACUGGAGUAAGCAUCUCGGAGUUGGAAUAUACACUUUGAUGAGAUGAUCAAAGAUUUUGGGUUUAUACAAAGUUUAUGAGAAACUUGUAUUUCCAAAGAAGUGAGUGGGAGCACUAUAGCAUUUCUGAUGAGUAUAUGUUGUUGACAUAUUGUUGAUCGGAAAUGAUGUAGAAUUUCUGGAAAGCAUAUAGGGUUAUUUGAAAAGUGUUUUUCAAUGGAAAACCUAGAUUAAGCUACUUGAACAUUGAGCAUCAAGAUCUAUAAUGAUAGAUCAAAACGCUUAAUAGUACUUUCAAAUGAAUACAUACAGUGACAAGAUUUUGAAGGAGUUCAAAAUAGAUCAGCAAAGAAGGAGUUCUUGGCUGUGUUAUAUGGUGUGAGUAUUGAGUAAGACUCAAGACAUGACCAUGGCAGAAGAGAGAGAAAGGACGAAGGUCGUCCCCUAUGCUUCAGACGUAGGCUCUAUAGUAUGCUAUGCUGUGUACCGCACCGGAAGUGUGCCUUGCCAUGAGUCAGUCAACGGGUACAAGAGUGAUCCAGGAAUGGAUCACAGGACAGUGGUCAAACUUAUCCUUAGUAACUAGUGGACUAAGGAAUUUUCUUGAUUAUGGAGGUGGUAAAAGAGUUCAUCGUAAAGGGUUACGCCGAUGCAAACUUUGACACUAAUCCAUAUUAUUCUGAGUAGUACACCGGAUUCGUAUAGUAGAACAGUUAUUUGGAAUAGCUCCAAAUAGAGCGUGGUAGCUGCAUCUAGGAGAUGACAUAGAGAUUUGCAAAGCACACAUGGAUCUGAAAGGUUCAGAUCCGUUGACUAAUAACCUCUCUCACAAGCGAGAUAUGAUCAAACCCCAUGGGUGUCGAUGCAUUACAAUCACAUAGUGAUGUGAACUAGAUUAUUGACUCUAGUGCAAGUUGGAGACUGUUGGAAAUAUGCCCUAGAGGCAAUAAUAAAAUGGUUAUUAUUGUAUUUCCUUGUUCAUGAUAAUUGUCUAUUAUUCAUGCUAUAAUUGUAUUGACCGGAAACCGCAAUACAUGUGUGAAUACAUAGACCACAACAUGUCCCUAGUGAGCCUCUAGUUGACUAGCUUGUUGAUCAACAGAUGGUCAUGGUUUCCUGACCAUGGACAUUGGAUGUCAUUGAUAACGGGAUCACAUCAUUAGGAUAAUGAUGUGAUGGACAAGACCCAAUCCUAAGCCUAGCACAAGAUCGUGUAGUUCGUAUGCUAAAGCUUUUCUAAAUGUCAAGUAUCUUUUCCUUAGACCAUGAGAUUGUGCAACUCCCGGAUACCGUAGGAAUGCUUUGGGUGUACCAAACGUCACAACGUAACUGGGUGGCUAUAAAGGUGCACGACGGGUAUCUCCGAAAGUGUCUGUUGGGUUGGCACGAAUUGAGACUGGGAUUUGUCACUCCGAGUGACGGAGAGGUAUCUUUGGGCCCACUCGGUAGGACAUCAUCAUAUUGUGCACAAUGUGAUCAAGGAGUUGAUCAUGGGAUGAUGUGUUACGAAACGAGUAAAGAGACUUGCCGGUAACGAGAUUGCACAAGGUAUCGGCAUACCGACGAUCGAAUCUCGGGCAAGUACUAUACCGGUAUACAAAGGGAAUUGUAUACGGGAAUGAUUGAAUCCUUGACAUCAUGGUUCAUCUGAUGUGAUCAUCGUGGAACAUGUGGGAGCCAACAUGGGUAUCCAGAUCCCGAUGUUGGUUAUUGGCCGGAGAGUUGUCUCGGUCAUGUCUGCAUGGUUCCCGAACCCGUAGGGUCUACACAGUUAAGGUUCGAUGACGCUAGGGUUAUAGGGAAGGUAUGUAUGCGGUUACCGAAUGUUGUUCGGAGUCCCAGAUGAGAUCCCGGACGUCACGAGGUGUCCCGAAAUGGUACGGAGGUGAAGAUUGAUAUAUUGGACGAAGGGUUUUGGAGUCCGGAAGUGUUCCGGAGGUACCGGGUGAUGACCAGCAUGACCGAAAAGUGUUUCGGGAGCCCCGACAAGUGUUGGGGGGGCUUCAUGGGCCAAGGGGAGGGGGCAAACCAGCCCACUAAGGGGCUGUGCGCCCCCCUCACCUAUUCCCACGUGACCAGGGGGUUUGGGGCGCCCCAUCUAGGGUUCCCACCUCCUGGCUUGGGGGCCAAGUCACCCAAAGGGGAGAUCCCAUCUGCCCUGGCCGCCGCCCCACUAGGGAAACCCUAGGGCGCCUCCCCCUCUCCCUUCCCCCUAUAUAUAGUGGAGGUUUUGGGGCUGCCCAACACAUGAGUCUAUCUCUCCCAAGGCGCAGCCCUACCUCUCUACCUCCUCGUCUCUCGUAGUGCUUGGUGAAGCCCUGCUGGAGUACCGCGGUCCUCCACCACCACCACGCCAUCGUGCUGCUGCUGGAUGCAGUAUUCCCCAACCUCUCCCUCUCUCCUUGCUGGAUCAAGGCAUGGGAGACGUCACCAGGCUACACGUGUGUUGAACGCGGAGGCGCCGUUGUUCGGCGCUUAGAUCGGAAUCGACCGCGAUCUGAAUCGCCACGAGUAUGAUUACUUAAUCCGCGCUCUUGUAACGCUUUCGCUUAGAGAUCUACAAGGGUAUGUAGAUGCACUCCCCUCUCUCUCUUGUUGUUAGGUAUAUCCAGAUUGGCAUAACUUAAGGGAACUAAGUUUGUAAUCUUCACACUCACUUCUUGAAAAAGUGCGCUUAAGCUUAUCGAUUACCUAAUAAUUUGGUGUGUUGUGUUUCAUGGCACUACUUACUAGUGUGAUUUUGGAUUGUUCUUGCACAUAUCAUCUAGGUGUAUGGAAUGCUUGAUAAUGACAAAUGACUCAUCGUAUUCACUUUACACUUCAAACAUUGAUCUAGAUUUUGUCCCUUGCUCUGAGUUAGUUUGUCAUGUUCUACAUGUUGUUAGGCGUAUCCAGAUUGGCAUACUUGAGGGAACAAAGUUUUUAAUCUUGUGUGUGUCAUUGAGAUACAUCACACUAUUAAUGCGAAGAUUGUUCUAUACACAAUUUUUUCUGAACUAACUUUAUACUUUUUGCACAAUAUAUAUGUAAGAUGGAUAAGCAUACAUGACUCAUCGUAUUACCUUUUCAUAUGGAGCGGUUGUAUUGUCAUAUGAGUUACAAAUACAAAACAAAGUAUUAGGGCUUUGCGCGGCUUGAUUGAUUCACUCCACGUAGACAUGAACAUUUCUUUUGUAUUUCAUUCGUUAGUUAAUCUAAGUUUGUACAUAUUGUUUCAAGUUGUUCAUAUAGUUUCCAGGUUUCUUUUAUUGAAUUUAUUACCACCAGUAUAGGAAGCUAUUAGUACUAUGAUUGUUGAUACUAAUACAGAACAAAGAGGAAAGACAGAGCGAUAUAAAGUUGAUUUUGUCUGGUAAUUAUAUAAGUGUCUUUUUUUCUAUUUUCUUGUAAGCAAGGAACCUACAAAAAAGAAAUGAAAUUAGUUCUCCUUCUACACGAUACGUGAAUAAAUAAUUUAGGACAUAGCAUGCCUGACUGAAUGGGAACUGGCCUGUCGCCAUCAUGUAGCAAACACAAGCCAUAAUGCCGAUACACUUGGCUCAUGCAACAUGCACACGUGAAAAAAAGAAGAGCCUAUCAGUAUAUUUAUAUUUUUUUACUUCUCUUAUCCUUGGCCAUAUUAUUCAUACAUAUGGUUGCAUCAAAUUAAUUGACUUGUCAAUGCCAUGGACCAGCUAGCAUACUACUGUUUUUGUGUGUGUGGCUUUAGGUGUUGCAAAUCCUCUACAUAUGUUUUUUUCAUUCCUUUACCCUCUACCACUUAUUUUCAGAUUGAUGGAAAGCGAAGUUUCAGACAAGGAAACAAAACAUGAUUACAUCCUCCUCCAUGCAGCUUCGUGGUAAUUGAAACUCCUGUUAAUCGCACUGGAUGUCAUGCCAGAUUCGUGCAGAAUUUGCCGGAUCGAUUGACUAGGACUUGACCCUUGGAUUUUUAACCUUGUACGUCGUAAUUUUUGUUGUACAUGGAUUAGUAAAGGUAUAGUCGAUCCACCAUCAUCACUAUGAAUUAGUAUUACAGAUUCAGAACAGGUCUUUGUCAGAGAAGGAAGUAGGAGUAGCCAAUGAUACAGGAAAAAGCCAGAGAGACCUGCCUGCCUGGCUGUGAACAGUUCUUCUCCUUCUCCUUGCUAUUAAUGUUGUGUUGAAAUACCUAACUAGCUAGCUAGCAAAUCAUAGGUUGUCCUUCUCUAAAAGAACUGUAGAAAGUUCUUUGAAUCUAGUUAAUUAAACAAGUGAAAUUUUAAAAGAAAAGUUAUUUUGAAGUUGUUCGUUUGUUUGUUGUUGCUAUUGUUUUCGUUGUUCUCGAAACAGGCUUUCACACUUCUUUAUAAAUAAAGCAAUAUCCAAAGAUAUACAUGGCCAAACUAUAAAAUAUGGUGAGGUAGCCCCUACAAAGCCGAUCUUGACAUAUCAGGCACACGCGCACACGACUACGCUACCAGCAACAAGCACCGAAAGAACUAAACAUCCUCACGCUACAAACUAGCACACCAAAGCUCCACGAGAAUGCCCCCAAGAGGGAGAAUGGCAUAGGGCGUCGCCGCUGCUAAGUCCAUACCGGACAAAGGUCUACACCUGGAGACCUCACACGGAGAGAAGAAGCACAAAAACGUCUUCAAGAAGAGCGCGACACCCAUGAGUGUCGUCGAUGGUGGUGCCCAGGCACGGAGCUUUCGCUUGGCAACUCACCCAUGCCACCAUGAGGUCCUCAAGAGUAGUGCCGCGAUGUUUAAUCGCAAGAUCUUGAUUAGGACGUUGCCCCUCCGAGAGAGAGGGCAUGUCUGAGCUACUAACCGCAACACCUACCGUUGCCCACACAACCCGGGAGGGGAGACACCACAACCGGAAUAAUGCCCGCCAAAGAGCAACCAUGCGGCCCGCCAUCAGGGGCCGCCAACCCAGUAUCCCUGACGCGAGAUACCAUACACCACUCACAUCACAAUGCAACCAACCACGGUAGGAAGAGCGACAACACUCCACUACUCCUAGCCUAGCCUCUGUCCUAAUGUUUGGUUAGGCGCCUCCACCAUAGGACGCACCCACACCUGCAUCCCCAGCCAAUGCUCUAUGGACUAGGGGGGCCACCAGCGAGCCAACCUCCAGCCCUUGGUCAGGCGAGCUCACAUGAUGCCAUGUCCGUGUUCUCCGACACUGGUCCGCUCAUGAAUGCAACACUAACACAACUAUCACCACCGAGCACCACCCAAGCUGUCUCGCUUCGCAAUGCACAAAUCAUGGCAGAUAAAGCCCGUCAUCAGUCACCUAGCCAGUGACUGCUACCGGCCAUUGUCGAGGACAGCUCAGACGCCAAGUCUGCGAACUGAGGCACUGGUCCGCCAGCCGACACAACGUAGCCCUGGCCACCACAUCCAUGAACCAUCACCGACGCUACAAUGUGUGGAGGUGCCUCCCCCAACCUAGCUUCAAGCAUCCACCUUGGCUUGACCGGCAGCGACCCAGAGCCGAGAAACCUUAGGCCAAGGCGACUAAGCACCGAAGCUCAUGUGAUGAGCAACCAACCCCGACAAGGACGACCAUUUCAAAAUCCAUGUCCGGUGGCUAGUCUGCGUCACCAGCCCGCUACCUACAUACGCACUCAGACAAGGCGGGAGCCGCCCCAUCAAGAGGGGGGGGGCGCUUAGAGUAGCUGGCAACUCCGGUCGCUGAGCAGCUGCACCAAUGCUAACCCCACCUCUCCAUUGACACCCACCGCCUAUAUCCACCGCCACCAGCCAAAACCAUGGCCACCACCCACCGCCUCUUGUCAUGCCUCCACGCCCGUGAGAGAGACCGUCGAAACCCACAAUCACUAGCUGCCGCGCUCAGAAGAGGGAGAACUGCCACCACCUCCUUGUGCCGCUUGUCACAACUUGGCAGCCAGAUCCACACUGCCAUAGCUAUCACAUGCCUGCCUACACAGUAGGAUUUGCUAGGCUUUACCAUGUCUGCACAAUUCUUUUUUCCUGUUUUCUCCAAGAUGUUGUUUUUAAAAUUUGCUUGCAGGUUUAAGGAAAGGAGAAGUUCACUAUCACCACCACCUCGUGCAAGGGGAUGUCAGCAUCAGUCAUCUUUACCAUCAUCCACCUCCAUCCCAUUGUAAUACCAAACCCAUGUGGAUCCAUACAUGUAUUAUCGGUGUGUUUCAUCCAAUGUUUACCACCACUAUUUCCACUAUUCGCACGAUAUUUGUCGUCUCCAUGUGUGAUUUGUUUCCUCAGUUCUCAGGGAUAUGGACGAACCAUGGUAUGUAUAGGAGCUGAAAUGUUAAUUAGGGUAUGAGAUUCUCUACUGAAUGUUUGUUUUAAAAGCAUUCAUGAAUUUUGUGAAGGGGCCCCACUCACCAUUUCCAUCGCAAGGCCACGAGGCAUAUCAUCGAGGUUGUAAAGGUUAGGAUGUUCAGGUAACUUGAGGUGAGAGUAAAAGACUCUCUACCUCGCCUUUGCAACUGCUAGGGGAAUAAUAGAGAUCCCUCAAUAAGGCAGCUUCCACAGGGAAACCCUUAAUUACCGUAGUGAGAACUAGAGUGGGGAAGCUAAAGUGAUGGCCUGCGUGGUAUGGAGUACACCUUGAGUAGAACUUAUUUUGUACCCGGAUACGCCCAAUGACAAAUAUUAAGAGUGACUCAAGUAUCUAGCUUAGAAUUACAAAGUGGCAUAUGAUACCUUAGGCACACUUCAAUGGGAAUUAUGGUGUCCCUGAGAACGCCUCAAUCCUCCACUGUUUCACAUCUUUAUUCAUUCUGCUAUGCUCUUUUAGUUCUUUUGGGUUAUUUACUUUUGUUCGCACUAAACUUAGAAGUCAAUAUAAUCUUCGCCAUUCACUUGCUUUGUGUCGAAAACUAAGAUGCAGCCACAUUACAAUAAGUGUCUCUUAGGUACAAAGUCCAAUUCAUGUAUUCCCUAUGGGAUUUAUACUCAUACUUAAAUAGGUGAAAAAUAAACCAUGUGGACUUGCAGAUCAUCAAGCUUUUUCUGGCCCUAGGAGCGGAGUGCUUUUGGGCCUGUAUUGUGUUUUGUUUUAUUUCAUGUUUAUGGGUGAUAAUGUCUGCCUCCACAACUUGUUGUUUGACUCGGCAAUGGUGGACUCCCGGUGUAGGUGUGUAUCGAGUGGAGGGCUGAGGAAGCCCAUUAUGAUUUCAGUUGAUUGUAAGCAAAUUAUGAUUUUUGACUCAAGUUGAGGGGGUCAUUUUCCUUCAAAUUUAGAACCUUGUUUGAUGGGUCAUGAUUUGUGAGAGGAUACUUUUUGUCCCGCUAAGAUUGUUAUUGGAUAUAAUUGGUACUUAAACUCAUUUUGUGAAUGGAACAUCAAAGGCGAAAAGUGCAUAAGUUAUCAAUUAUUCUCACUAUAAAUGAACAAUGAAAUCUGGCAUGGAGUUCGUGGAAAGCAUAAACACCUAGUUUGAUGUAGAUCCAUGUCAGAUAAGAUGGUUACAAACUCAUGGGGCUCUCCACUGAAGUGUUAUAUAGCAAUUACUCCUUACUCCCUAACUAAUAGUACUUCAAUUUGGACCAAGUUUCACACACGUUAAGUAUGUUAUGUUCAUAAUACUACACUUCAAAAAUAAGUAGAUAGCGCAUAACAUUGAGAUUGUAGCUAGGGAUGAAAAUCGAAAUAUGGCAUGAAUGUAACAAUUGCCAGCAAUAUGCUUUAGAAAAGAACUUAUUUGCCUUUUAUUCCCAUGUUUGAACUAGUAUAGUUCGGGGUUACACAUGAUGGUCACAUCACUUUAUUUAUCAUUGUUACAUUAAAUACUCCAUUGACUUACAACGAUGAUUCCCCCGUCUAGUAUUACAUCUCUUCAUUUCAUCGUCCAGUGAUACUUAUAACAUCGCUCCCAGUUGGUUGUUGGUGUGGGGAAGGUUUUUAUGAUUGCUGGGGGAAUGGUUGCUGUUGUGGGUAUGGUAUGGGAAAUUGUUGUUCGGGGAAUUGUUUUUUGUUUUGCUAGGGAAAUUGUUGUUGUUGUGGCAAUUGUUGUUGCGGUAAUUAUAUGCUCUUCCAUGAUCUAGAAAAUAAAAGACCUCACUCUUACCGUCUCUGCAUGUUUGUCAUCAAACAUCCGUAAACUCAUUAAAAUUAAUGAAAUGGUUCAACUUUUGGAGUACAGUUCUUGUCGCCUUGAAGAGAAUUUGACGGGUUGUGUCACUCUAUCAAUUCCACUUCGUCUUAUCACUUCAGAAAACACAACAAAGUUGAUUCCAGAAAAAAUAAACUCCAUGUGUAAAGCUUUACUAAUUAUCUUGUACAAAGUUCACAUACUUAGCUCUACACAAACUGUAGAAAGUUCCAACCCUCUGCCGCAAAAAAGAAUGAAACCUUGAUAAGGAUUUGACAUGGAAAGUGAAAAAGGUGAGUCAGUUUUUUCUCAAAAUAAAAUACCAAGCACCAUGCUUUCGUGACAACCAUACGAUCUUUUGCACAACUAGCCAAAAAAAUUUUGAUGAUCAAUCCUAUAUUAAACUUGUGGCUAGUGCAACCUGACAGAAUAUACAAAAUGAUCCAUUUCAUAAGCAUGCAUGCAAAAAAAUUGGAAAAUGAAUGAAAAAAUUAAUCGCUAGCUGGAAUUUCAUUCAAUCAUCCCAUCCAAGCUGGUACAACCACACUGACUGCAAUCCGACAUCUACAUAACAAGAUGUCCACAACCCAACACGUCCAAAACAAAAAGAUAAAAAAAUGCAAAGACGGCAAGAGGUUAUGCCAUAAAUGGACUUCUGCCGCAAAGAUCAUCACAAGUACAAAACAUAAAUAGAAACAGCAAAGACAAGUAGGAGCAGUCAAGAGCAAUUCACCAUAAAGACACAUCCCCAACCUUUCCCUCACCACCAUUGCAUCGGCCAGCGCCAAUGAACAGCUCGAGGGCAGCAGGAUCAAUGCUAGUGAAAGCGUUUCACCGACAUCAUUUUGCUGAGGAAGUCCAUGCAAUGAAUCGACAUGAAAGAAAGUGUUUAGUUAGUUCAAAUACAGAUAUCCUGAGAGCAGCCUAAUGAAUGAGAAAUCCUAUUUCGGUCAUUCAUCAACAAAAUCCAUGUCAACGCACUUGGAUGGAUCAUGCAUUUAGGAACAAAAGUCCAAGGGGGCGACCUAUAUAUACAGUUUAUUUGCAUGGUAACUCUGGUUUAGCACUAUCUUUUUUCCUUAUCCUUGUCCAUUUUAUCCCUGCAGAAUAGAGCCAAAUGAGGAAGCAAAGGGAAGUGUUUGAUUAGUUCUCCAUGAAAUGAGAAUAAAUGAAUUUCGUACAAAGUAUGGCUGAACUACGAAAUCCAUAGAUUGGCCUAACUGAAUCGGGAAACUUGUCUCCAUCAUGCAGCCGACAAAAGCCAUACUGCUGAUACACUUGGCCCAUGCAACAUGCAUGCAUGAUUAUAAGGAGAACAUCCAUUAUUCUAUAAUUUAAAUGAGUAACAGUCUCGCAGUAAACAAGAUCCAGAUAUAGUGUUCAUGCUCGACGCAUGCACUAAAUAACAAUUAUUCAGGUUCAUCACUAAUCCCGAUGGUAAUCGAAAAGCGAGCGUGCCGACGGUGAUCACAUCAACCUUGGAACCAUUUCCCACACGCAUCAUCACUUCGUUCGUCACCAGCCUCCGUCUAUUUCGUAGUUCCUGCUUUGGGUUGCAAAUGUGAGCAACCAAACAGGUGUCAAAUACCGAGGCACUACAACAAGAGUUGGUAAGGAACACAUCAAUAAUAUAUAUAUAUAUCAUAUAUAUCUUGUUUGGCGUUGGCCCCUUCUUGUCGGCCAGGCUUGGGGAAAUUCCGCUUUCAGUGGCCAAUCUCGUUGCAAUAGAAGCACUCAUUUUCUGGCUUGGGCGCAGCCUUGGGUUUCUUCACGGGAUAGGAAACUACUUUGCCACUCUUCUUGGAGUUACCAUUCUUGCCCUAGCCAUUCUUCUUGAAACUAGUGGUUUUAUUGACCAUCAACACGUGAUACUCUUUCUGGAUGUCUAACUCAGCGACUUUCAGCAUCGCAAACAGCUCGGAGACUGACUUGUUCAUCCCUUGCAUGUUAUAGUUUAGCACAAAGCUCUUGUAGCUAGGUGGUACUGAUUGAAGAACUUUGUCAGUGAUCGCUUCUGAUGGGAGCACAACUCCCAACUUAGCCAGACGGUUGUAAGACCCAGACAUUCUAAGUAUGUGUUCACUGACAUACCCGUUCUCGUCCAUCUUGUAAGCAAAGAACUUAUCGGAGGUCUCAUACCUCUUGAUCCGGUCAUUCCUUUCAAAAAUGAACAUCAACUCCUCGAACAUCUCAUAUGCUCCAUGGCGUUCAAGAUGUCUUUGAAGUCCCAGUUCUAAGCCAUGCAACAUAGCACACUAAACUACUGAGUAGUGAUCCACAUGCGCUUGCCAGGUGUUCAUAACAUCCAUAGAUGCCGGAGGGGGUUGCACACCAAGCGAUGCAUGAAGGACAUAAGCCUUUUGUGCAGCCGUGAGGAUAAUUCUUAGAGUACAGGCCAAGUCUACAAAGUUACUUCCAUCAUCAUUCAGCUUGGCUUUCUCUAGGAACGCAUUGAAAUUCAGGGAAGCUAUUGUGCGAGCCAUUGAUCUACAACAUAAAUUUGCAAAGUCAACUUAGACUAUUGUUCAUGAUAAAUGAGUUCAAAUAAUCAUAUUACUUAAAACUCCCACUCAAAUUUACAUCCCUGCGGUCAUCCGUGUGUAACAUGAUGAAAAUUCACCAACCCAAGUCUGAUCAUAAUGUGAGAUGAAGUGGUUUCAAUGGUGAAGAUCUCCAUGUUGAUCAUAUCUACUAUAUGGCUCAUGUUCGACCUUUCUGUAUGUUGUGUUCCGAGGCCAUGUCUGUAGAUGCUAGGCUCGUCAAGUUUAACCCGAGUGUUUCACAUGUGCAAAAAUGGCUUGCACCCGUUGUAUGUGAAUGUAAAGUCUAUCACACCCGAUCAUAACGUGGUGCUUAGAAAUGACAAACUUCCGCAAUGGUUCACACUCAGGGAGAACACAAUUUUGUUUUGAAAUUUUAGUGAGGGAUAACUUAUAAUGCUACCAUCAUCCUAAGAAAAAUAAGAUGCAGAAAAGGAUUAACAUCACAUGCAAAUCAUAUGUGACAUGAUAUGACCACCAACUUGUGCUUUUGAUCUCCAUCUCCAAAGCAUCGGCAUGAUCUCCAUCGUCACCGGCAUCACACCAUGAUUUCCAUCAUCAUGAUCUCCAUCAUCGUGUUGCCAUCAAGGUUGUCACGCCAACCAUGCUUCUACUACUAUUGCUAUUGUUUAGUGAUAAAAUAAAGCAUUACAUAGCGCUUAAUGAUUGACACGCAGGUCAUACAAUAAUUCAAGACAACCCUAUGGCUCCUUCCGGUUGUCGUAUUCAUCGACAUGCAAGUCAACACAAACUAUUACAAACAUGAUCAUCUCAUACAUCAAAUAUAUUUCAACAUGUCUUUGGCCAUAUCACAUCACAACAUACCCUGCAAAAACAAGUUAGACGUCGUCUAAUUUGUUGUUGCAUAUUUUACAUGGCUGCUAUGUGUAUCCAACAAGAAUGGUUCUUACCUAUGCAAAACCACAACUGUGAUAUGGAAGUUUCUAUUUAACCUUCUACAAGGAAUGCCUUCAUCGAAUUCGAUUCAACUAAGGUGCAAGAGACAGACACCAGCCAACCAUCUUAUGCAAUAAAGUCACAUCUCUAUUGAAUGAACCGGUCUCAUGUACGUGGACAUGUAAAGUUGGUCCAGGCCGCUUCAUCCCACAAUUCCGCUAAAUCAAGAAAAGACCAAGGAAGGAAGCAAUUUGAAUAUCAAUUCUGAUAAACUCCUUUGUGUUCUACUCAUGAUGUCAUCUGCGCAUAGCCCUAGCUCUGGUACCACUGUUGUUGGAAGUUGCAUGGGAAAGAAAAAAGAUCCUACACUCACCAAGAUCAAUCUAGGAGAUGAACAUCUAUGAGAGGAGAGACUGCAUCUACAUACCGUUGUAGAUCACUAAGAGGAGGCGCUAAGAAAUAUGGUUGAUGUAGUCAAACGUCUUCGCGAUCCAAUCAUGAUACGUCCCACAAACUCCCGAUCUAGUGCCAAAAGGACGGCACCUAUGCAUUCAACACGCGCACGGCUUGAUGAUGCCUUCACCUCCUUGAUCCAGCAAGAAAUGGAGAAGUAGUAGUUCAAGACCUCCAACAACACGAUAUCAUGGCGGCGGUGGUGGUGGAGGAAUUUCAGCAGAGCUGCGCUAAGCACUACGCAGAAGGAGAAGGACUACGAGGGAGAGGAAAGGCAGCGACACAACACAGAUGUGUCUGUCUGCCCUCCUUCUACCCCUAUAUAUAUAGGGGGAAGGGAGGAGGUGGGGAUGCCCUAUGGGUUCCCUUAGGGGGCGGCGGCCACCAUAGAUGAGGGCGCCCCUAGGGAAACCCUAGGGUGGCUUUCCCCCCAAGCUAGGUGGAGGCAGCCCUAGGGGGUUGCCCCAACCCUUCUGUCAUGGUGGGAUUGAGUGUGGGGGGCGCACAACCCCUUAGUGGGCCGGUGUGCUCCCUCCCCUUGUCCCAUGAAGCGCCCAACACUUACCUGGCCCCCCAGAAACCCCUUUUCGUACUCCGUCGAUUCCCGCGGUACCCCUGGAACAAUUCCGGACUCCUAUACCCUUCGUCCUAUAUAUCAAUCUUCACCUCCAGACCAUUCUGGAGUUCCUCGUCAUGUCGGGGAUCUCAUCCGGGAAUCCGAACAACCUUCGGUAACCACCAUAUGACCCAACUAUACUUAUAUCGUCAACAAACGUUAAGUGUGUAGACCUUGCGGGUUCGAGAACUAUGCACACAUGACCGAUACACCUCUACGGUCAAUGACCAAUAGCAUGACCUGGAUGCCCAUGUUGGUUCCUACAUAUUCUACGAAUAUCUUUAUCAGUCGAACCUCGAUGUCAAGGUUUCAGGCAAUCCCGUAUGAAGUUCCCUUUUUCCAUUGGUAUGUUACUUGCCUGAGAUUUGAUCAUUGGUAUCUCCAUACCUAGUGCAAUCUCGUUACCGGCAAGUCUCUCUAUUUCGUAAUACAAGAUCCCGUGGCUGACUUCUUAGUCACAUUGAUUGCAAGCUUAUUGUGAUGUUGUAUUACCGAGUGGGCCCUGAGAUACCUCUCCAUCAUACGGAGUGACAAAUCCCAGUCUCGAUCCAUGCCAACUCAAUAGACACCCUUGGAGACACCUGUAGAGCAUCUUUAUAGUCACCCAGUUACGUUGUGAUGUUUGAUACACACAAGGCACUCCUCCGGUGUCAGUGACUUGCAUGAUCUCAUGGUCAUAGGAACAUAUAAUUGACAUGUAGAAAACGAUAGCAAUAAACUUGACAAGAUCAUAUGCGACAUUCAUAGUUUGGGUCUUGUAAAUCACAUCAUUCUCCUAAUGAUGUGAUCACGUUAUCAAAUGACAACUCAUGUCCAUGACCCGGAAACCAUGGCCAUCUUUGAUCAACGAGCUAGUCUGGUAGAGGCUCACUAUGGACACGUUGUUUGUCUAUGUACCCACACAGGUAUUUUAAUUUCCAAUCAAUACAAUUAUAGCAUGGAUAAUAAACGAUUAUCAUGAACAAGGAAACAAAAUAAUGACCAUUUUAUUAUUGCCUCCAGGGCGUAUUUCCAACACUUCCGAUGAUUUUGUGAGUAGUUUACGACAGCCCUUCGGGUCUAUAGCUAGAAUCUAGAUGGCUUCUUCUCUCUCUUUGAUCUUCAAUCCAAAGUUCUUCUCAAUGUUCUUGGAGUUCUAUCCAAUGUAAUCUCCUUUUGCGGUGUGUUUGCUGGGACCUGAUAAAUUAUGAGUUUAUGAUCAGAUGAUUCAUGAGAAUAUUUGAUUCUUCUUUGGACUCUUUUAUGUGUGAUUAUUUUAGCUUUGUAUUUCUCUCCAAUCUAUCGAUUUGGUUUGGCCAACUAGAUUGGUUUAUCUUGCAGUGGGAGAGGUGCUUUGUGAUGGGUUCAAUCCUGUGUUGCUCAAUCCUAGUGACAGAAACAGACAUGGCACAUAUUUGUAUUGUUGACAUUAAGGAUAAAAAUAUGGGGGUUAAUCAUAUUGCUUGAAUUUACUUUGUCUACAUCAUGUCAUCUUGCUUAAGGCGUAACUCUAUUUUAUACCUAAAACUCUAGAUGCAUGCUGGAUAGCGGUCGAUGGGUGAAGAAUAGAUGCAGGCAGGAGUCGGUCUACUUGCAUCGAAUGUGAUGCCUAUAUACAUGAUCAUUGCCAUGAAUCCUUCAUAAUUAUUUGCUUUUCUAUCAAUUGCCCAACAGCAAUUUGUUUACCCACCGUAUGUUCUACGAUCAAGAGAGAAGCAUCUAGUAAAAACUAUGGCCCCUGGGUGUACUUUUAUCAUAUAUAAAAAAAACACAAAAAUACCUAGCUGCAAUUUAUUUACUUUUAUUUUAUUUUGUAUUUUACUUUAUCCAUCUAUCACUACCAGAAUUAAUCAUUGCAAAUAACGUCUACGAGGAUUGACAAGCCUCUUAUUUGCGUUAGGUGUCAGUGUUUGCUUUUGUGUGUGCAGGUGCUGUUAACAAGGUUUUGUGUGGUUCACCUACUGGAUUGAUAACCUUGAUUCUUAACUUAGUGAAAUACUUAUUUGUACUAUACUUCAUCAUCCUCUCCUCCUUGGGGAAUUAACAACACAGUCUACAAGUAGCACUCUCCAUUGAAAUGUUAAAUUGUAAUUAGUACUUACUCCCGAAUUAAUAGUACUUCAAUUUGAAACAAGUUUCGUACAUGUUAAUUAUGUUAUGUUCAUAUAAUACUACACUUCCUAAAUAAGUAGACGUCACAUAACAUUGAGAUUGUAGUUAGGGAUGGAAAUCAAAAUAGGGCAUGAAUGUAACAAUUGCGAGCAAUGUGCUUCAGAAAAGAACUUAUUUGUCUUUUAUUCCCAUGUUUGGACUAGUACAGGUCGGGGUUACACAUGAUGGUGCACAUCACUUUAUUUAUCAUCGUUACAUUAUGCUCCAUUGACUAACAACGAUGAUUCACCCGUCUAGUAUUACAUCUCUUCAUUUCAUAGGCCACUGAUACUUAUAACGUCGCUCCCAGAUGGUUGUUGUUGUGGAUAUUGUUGAUAUGGGGAAGGUUCUUGUGAUUGCUGGGGUGGGUAUGGUAUUGGAAAUUGUUGUUGGGGGAAUUGUUGUGGUGGUUGCUGGGGGAAUUGUUGUUGGGGGAAUUGUUGUUGUUCAGGGUAUUGUUGUGGCNNNNNNNNNNNNNNNNNNNNNNNNNNNNNNNNNNNNNNNNNNNNNNNNNNNNNNNNNNNNNNNNNNNNNNNNNNNNNNNNNNNNNNNNNNNNNNNNNNNNNNNNNNNNNNNNNNNNNNNNNNNNNNNNNNNNNNNNNNNNNNNNNNNNNNNNNNNNNNNNNNNNNNNNNNNNNNNNNNNNNNNNNNNNNNNNNNNNNNNNNNNNNNNNNNNNNNNNNNNNNNNNNNNNNNNNNNNNNNNNNNNNNNNNNNNNNNNNNNNNNNNNNNNNNNNNNNNNNNNNNNNNNNNNNNNNNNNNNNNNNNNNNNNNNNNNNNNNNNNNNNNNNNNNNNNNNNNNNNNNNNNNNNNNNNNNNNNNNNNNNNNNNNNNNNNNNNNNNNNNNNNNNNNNNNNNNNNNNNNNNNNNNNNNNNNNNNNNNNNNNNNNNNNNNNNNNNNNNNNNNNNNNNNNNNNNNNNNNNNNNNNNNNNNNNNNNNNNNNNNNNNNNNNNNNNNNNNNNNNNNNNNNNNNNNNNNNNNNNNNNNNNNNNNNNNNNNNNNNNNNNNNNNNNNNNNNNNNNNNNNNNNNNNNNNNNNNNNNNNNNNNNNNNNNNNNNNNNNNNNNNNNNNNNNNNNNNNNNNNNNNNNNNNNNNNNNNNNNNNNNNNNNNNNNNNNNNNNNNNNNNNNNNNNNNNNNNNNNNNNNNNNNNNNNNNNNNNNNNNNNNNNNNNNNNNNNNNNNNNNNNNNNNNNNNNNNNNNNNNNNNNNNNNNNNNNNNNNNNNNNNNNNNNNNNNNNNNNNNNNNNNNNNNNNNNNNNNNNNNNNNNNNNNNNNNNNNNNNNNNNNNNNNNNNNNNNNNNNNNNNNNNNNNNNNNNNNNNNNNNNNNNNNNNNNNNNNNNNNNNNNNNNNNNNNNNNNNNNNNNNNNNNNNNNNNNNNNNNNNNNNNNNNNNNNNNNNNNNNNNNNNNNNNNNNNNNNNNNNNNNNNNNNNNNNNNNNNNNNNNNNNNNNNNNNNNNNNNNNNNNNNNNNNNNNNNNNNNNNNNNNNNNNNNNNNNNNNNNNNNNNNNNNNNNNNNNNNNNNNNNNNNNNNNNNNNNNNNNNNNNNNNNNNNNNNNNNNNNNNNNNNNNNNNNNNNNNNNNNNNNNNNNNNNNNNNNNNNNNNNNNNNNNNNNNNNNNNNNNNNNNNNNNNNNNNNNNNNNNNNNNNNNNNNNNNNNNNNNNNNNNNNNNNNNNNNNNNNNNNNNNNNNNNNNNNNNNNNNNNNNNNNNNNNNNNNNNNNNNNNNNNNNAUUUGUUGUUGGGGGAAUUGUUGUGGUUGGGGGAAUUGUUGUUGUUGGGGGAAUUGUUCUUGUGGAGUAUGCAAUUCCUUGCCUCUAGGGCUUAGCAGCCUACUGGCACUGGCGAUGUUCAUCGCCAUGGCAAGGAGGACAAAUAUGAUGAAGGUCUUCAUGUUUGAUUUGUGUUUACUAUUGCUCACUUGGCUUUGGUGUUUCAACUCUAGGUCCUUGAAGGUUAGAUGAUGGAAGAGACCCUCAUGGUGUAGUCGUAUUUAUAGCUGGCAUCGCACAUUUGUUUUUGAUCUUCACACUCGUUUCUUGAAAAAGUGCUCUUAAGCUUAUCGACCUAAUAAUUUUGUAUGUUGUGUUUGAUGGCACUACUUACUAGCGUGACUUUGGAUUGUUCAUCAUAGUUGAUUGUUCUUUCUCAUAUCAUCUGGGUGUAUCAAAUGCUUGAUAACGCAUAAUGACUCAUCGUAUUCACUUUAUACUUCAAAUAUUGAUCUAGAUUUUGUCCGUCUUUCUGAUUUAGCUUGUGCUGUUCUGCAUGUUGUUAGGUAUAUCCAGAUUGGCAUAACUUAAGGGAACUAAGUUUGUAAUCUUCACACUCGCUUCUUGAAAAAGUGCUCUUAAGCUUAUCGAUUACCUAAUAAUUUGGUAUGUUGUGUUUCAUGGCACUACUUACUAGUGUGAUUUUGGAUUGUUCUUCAUAGUUGAUUGUUCUUGCACAUAUCAUCUAGGUGUAUGGAAUGCUUGAUAACGACAAAUGACUCAUCGUAUUCACUUUACACUUCAAACAUUGAUCUAGAUUUUGCCCCUUGCUCCGAGUUAGUUUGUCAUGUUCUAUAUGUUGUUAGGCGUAUCCAGAUUGGCAUACUUAAGGGAACAAAGUUUGUAAUCUUGUGUGUGUCAUUGAGAUAGAUCACACUAUUAAUGCGAAGAUUGUUCUAUACACAAUUUUUUCUGAACUAACUUUAUAUUUUUUGUACAAUAUAUAUGUAAGAUGGAUAAGCGUAGAUGACUCAUCGUAUUACCUUUUCAUAUGGAGCGGUUGUAUUGUCAUAUGAGUUACUAAUAGAAAACAAAGUAUUAGGGCUUUGCGUGGCUUGAUUGAUUCACUCCACGUAGACAUGAACAUUUCUUUUGUAUUUCAUUCGUUGGUUAAUCUAAGUUUGUACAUAUUGUUUCAAGUUGUUCAUAUAGUUUCUAGGUUUCUUUUAUUGAAUUUAUUACCACCAGUAUAGGAAGCUAUUAGUACUAUGAUUGUUGAUACUGAUAUAGAACAAAGAGGAAAGAUAGAGCAAUAUACAGUUGAUUUUGUCUGGUAAUUAUAUAAGUGUAUUUUUUUCUAUUUUCUUGUAAGGAAGGAACCUACAAAAAAGAAAUGAAAUAAGUUCUCCUUCUACACGAUAUGUGAAUAAAUGAAUUUAGGACAUAUCAUGCCUGACUGAAUGGGAACUGGCCUAUCGCCGUCAUGUAGCAAACACAAGCCAUAAUGCCGAUACACUUGGCUCAUGCAACAUGCACACGUGAACAAAAGAAGAGCCUAUCAGUAUAUUUAUAUUUUUUACUUCUCUUAUCCUUGGCCAUAUUAUUCAUACAUAUGGUUGCAUCGAAUCAAUUGACUUGUCAAUGCCAUGGACCAGCUAGCAUACUAAUGUUUAUGUGUGUGUGGCUUUAGCUGUUGCAAAACCUCUACAUAUGUUUUUUUCAUUCCUUUACCCUCUACCACUUAUUUUCAGAUUGAUGGAAAGUGAAGUUUCAGACAAGGAAACAAAACACGAUUACAUCCUCCUCCAUGCAGCUUCGUGGAGGCUAAUUAUAAUUGAAACUCCUGUUAAUCGCACUGGAUGUCAUGCCAGAUUCGUGUAGAAUUUGCCGGAUCGAUUGACUAGGGUUUGACCCUUGGAUUUUUAACCUUGUACGUCGUAAUUUUUGUUGUACAUGGAUUAGUAAAGGUCUAUAGUCGAUCCACCAUCAUCACUAUGAAUCAGUAUUACAGAUUCAGAACAGGUCUUUGUCAGAGAAGGAAGUAGGAGUAGCCACUGAUACAGGAAAAAGCCAGCGAGACCUGCCUGCCUGGCUGUGAACAGUUCAUCUCCUUCUCCUUGCUAUUAAUGUUGUGUUAAAAUACCUAACUAGCUAGCUAGCAAAUCAUAGGUUGUCCUUCUCUAAAAAAACUGUAGAAAGUUCUUUGAAUGUAGUUAAUUAAACAAGUGAAAUUUUAAAAGAAAAAUUAUUUUGAAGUUGUUGGUUUGUUUGUUGUUGCUAUUGUUUUCGUUGUUCUCGAAACAGGCUUUCACACUGCUUUAUAAAUAAAGCAAUAUCCAAAGAUGUACACGGCCGAACGAUACAAUAUGGUGAGGUAGCCCCUACAAAGCCGAUCUUGAGAUAUCACGCACACGCGCACACGACUACGCUACCAGCAACAAGCACCGAAAGAACUAAACAUCCUCACGCUACGAACUAGCACACCAAAGCUCCAGGAGAACGCCCCCAAGAGGGAGAAUGGCAUAGAGCAUCGCCGCUGCCAAGUCCAUACCGGACAAAGGUCUACACCUGGAGACCUGACACGGAGAGAAGAAGCACAACAACGUCUUCAAGAAGAGCGCGACACCCAUGAGUGUCGUCGGUGGCGGUGCCGAGGCAUGGAGCUUUCACUUGGCAACUCACCCGUGCCACCAUGAGGUCCUCAAGAGUAGCGCCGCGAUGUUCAAUCCCAUGAUCUUGAUUAGGACGCUGCCCCUCCGAAAGAGAAGGCACGUCUGAGCUUAUGACCGCAACACCUACCGUUGCCCACACAACCCGGGAGGGGAGCCACCACAACCGGAAUAAUGCCCGCCAAAGAGCAACCAUGUGGCCCGCCAUCAGGGGACGCCAACCCAGUAUCGCUGUCGCGAGAUACCAUACACCACUCACAUCACAAUGCGACCAACCAUGGUAGGAAGAGAGACAACACUCCAUCUACUCCUACCCUAGCCUAUGUCCCAAUGUUUGGUUAGGCGCCUCCACCAUAGGACGCACCCACACCUGCAUCCCCAGCCAAUGCUCCAUGGACUAGGGGGGCCACCGGCGAGCCAACCUCGAGCCCUUGGUCAGGCGAGCUCACACGACGCCAUGUCCGUGUUCUCUGACACUGAUCCGCUCAUGAAUGCAAUGCUAACACAACUAUCACCACCGAGCAGCACCCAAGCUGGCUCGCUUCGCAAUGCACAAAUCAUGGCAGGUAAAGCCCGGCAUCAGUCACCAGCCAGUGACUGCCGACGGCCAUUGUCGAGGCCAGCUCAGACGCCAAGUCUGUGAACUGAGGCACUGGUCCGCCAGCCGACACAAUGUAUGCCUGACCACCACAUCCAUGAACCAUCACCGACGCUACAACGUGUGGAGGUGCCUCCCCCAACCUAGCUUCAAGCAUCCACCUUGGCUUGACUGGCAGCGACCCAGAGCCGAGAAAUCCUACUCCAAGGCGACUACGCACCGAACCUCAUGUGAUGAGAAACCAACCCCGACAAGGACAACCAUAUCAAAAUCCAUGCCCGGUGGCUAGUCUGCGUCACCAGCCCGCUGCCUACAUACGCACCCAGACAAGGCGGGCGCCGCCCCAUCAAGAGGGGGGCCGCUUAGAGCAGCUGGCAACUCCGGUCGCUGAGCAGCUGCACCAAUGCUAACCCCACCUCUCCAUUGACACCCCCCGACUAGAUCCAUCGCCGCCAGCCAAAACCAUGGCCACCACCCAUCGCCUCUUGUCAUGCCUCCACGCCCGUGAGAGAGACUGCCGAAACCCACCAUCACCAGCUGUCGCGCUCAGAAGAGGGAGAACUGCCACCAUCGCCUUGUGCCGCUUGUCACAAGUUGGCAGCAGAUCCACACUGCCAUAGCUAUCACAUGCCUGCCUACACAGUAGGAUUUGCUAGGUUUUACCAUGUCUGCACAAUUCUUUUUUCCUAUUUUCUCCAAGAUGUUGUUUUUAAAAUUUUCUUGCAGGUUUAAGGAAAGGAGGAGUUCACUAUCACCACCACCUCGUGCAAGGAGAUGUCAGCAUCAGUCAUCUUUACCAUCAUCCACCUCCAUCCCAUUGUAAUACCAAACCCAUGUGGAUCCAUACAUGUAUUAUCCGUGUGUUUCAUCCAUGUUUACCACCACUAUUUCCACUGCAAAUUAUGAUUUUUGACUCAAGUUGAGGGGGUCAUUUUCCUUCAAAUUUAGAACCUUGUUUGAUGGGUCAUGAUUUGUGAGAGGAUACUUUUUGUCCCGCUAAGAUUGUUAUUGGAGAUAAUUGGUACUUAAACUCAUUUUGUGAAUGGAACAUCAAAGGCGAAAAGUGCAUAAGUAAUCAAUUAUUCUCACUAUAAAUGAACAAUGAAAUCUGGCAUGGAGUUCGUGGAAAACAUAAACACCUAGUUUGAUGUAGAUGCAUGUCAGAUAAGAUGGUUACAAACUCAUGGAGCUCUACAUUGAAGUGUUAUAUUGCAAUUACUCCUUACUCCCUAAUUAAUAGUACUUUAAUUCGGACCAAGUUUCACACACGUUUAGUAUGUUAUGUACAAAAUGAAUGAAACCUUGAUAAGGAUUUGACAUGGAAAGUGAAUAAGGUGAGUCAGUUUUUUCUCAAAAUAGAAUACCAAGCACCAUGCUUUCGUGACAACCAUACGAUCUUUUGCACAACUAGCCAAACAAAUUUUGAUGAUCAAUCCUAUAUUAAACCUGUGGCUAGUGCAACCUGACAGAAUAUACAAAAUGAUCCAUUUCAUAAGCAUGCAUGCAAAAAAAUUGGAAAAUGAAUGAAAAAAUUAAUCGCUAGCUGGAAUUUCAUUCAAUCAUCCCAUCCAAGCUGGUAGAACCACACUGACUGCAAUCCGACAUCUACAUAACAAGAUGUCCACAACCCAACACGUCCAAAACAAAAAGAUAAAAAAAUGCAAAGACGGCAAGAGGUUAUGCCAUAAAUGGACUUGUGCCGCAAAGAUCAUCACAAGUACAAAACACAAAUAGAAACAACAAAGACAAGUAGCAGCAGUCAAGAGCAAUUCACCACAAAGACACAUCCCCAUCCUUUCCCUCACCACCAUUGCAUUGGCUAGCGCCAAUGAACAGCUCGAGGGCAGCAGGAUCAAUGCUAGUGAAAGCAUUUCACCGACUUCAUUUUGCUGAGAAAGUCCAUGCAAUGAGUCGACAUGAAAGAAAGUGUUUAGUUAGUUCAAAUACAGAUAUCCUGAGAGCAGCCUUAUAAAUGAGAAAACCUGUGUCGGUCAUUCAUCACCAAAAUCCAUGUAAACGCACUUGGAUGGAUCGUGCAGUCAGGAACAAAAGUCCAAGGGGGCGACCUAUAUAUACAGUUUAUUUGCUUGGUAACUCUGGUUUAGCACUAUCUUUUUUCCUUAUCCUUGUCCAUUUUAUCCCUGCAGAAAAUAGCCAAAUGAGGAAGCAAAGGGAAGUGUUUGAUUAGUUCUCCAUGAAACGAGAAUAAAUGAAUUUCGGACAAAGUAUGGCUGAACUGCGAAAUCCAUAGAUUGGCCUAACUGAAUUGGGAAACUUGUCUCCAUCAUGCAGCUGACAAGAGCCAUACUGCUGAUACACUUGGCCCAUGCAACAUGCAUGCAUGAUUAUAAGGAGAACAUCCAUUAUUCUCUAAUUUAAAUGAGUAACAGUCUCGUAGUAAACAAGAUCCAGAUAUAAUGUUCAUGCUCGACGCAGGCACUAAAUAACAAUUAUUCAGGUCCAUCACUAAUCCCGAUGGUAAUCGAAGAGCGAGCGUGCCGACGGUGAUCACAUCAACCUUGGAACCAUUUCCCACACGCAUCAUCACUUCGUUUUUCACCAGCCUCCGUCUAUUUCGUAGUUCCUGCUUUGGGUUGCAAAUGUGAGCAACUGAACCGGUAUCAGAUACCCAGGCACUACAACAAGAGUUGGUAAGGAACACAUCUAUAACAUAUAUAUAUAUAUAUAUCAUAUAUAUCUUGUUUGGCGUUGGCCCCUUCUUGUCGGCCAGGCUUGGGGAAAUUCCGCUUCCAGUGGCCAGUCUCGUUGAAAUAGAAGCACUCAGUUUCCGGCUUGGGCCCAGCCUUGGGUUUCUUCACGGGAGAGGCAACUACUUUGCCACUCUUCUUGGAGUUACCAUUCUUGCCCUAGCCAUUCUUCUUGAAACUAGUGGUUUUAUUGACCAUCAACACUUGAUGCUCUUUCUGGAUGUCUAACUCAGUGACUUUCAGCAUCGCAAAUAGCUCGGAGACUGACUUGUUCAUCCCUUGCAUGUUAUAGUUUAGCAAAAAGCACUUGUAGCUAGGUGGUACUGAUUGAAGAACUUUGUCAGUGAUCGCUUCUGGUGGGAGCACAACUCCCAACUUAGCCAGACGGUUGUAAUACCCAGACAUUCUAAGUAUGUGUUCACUGACAUACCCGUUCUCGUCCAUCUUGUAAGCAAAGAACUUAUCGGAGGUCUCAUACCUCUCGAUCCGGGCAUUCCUUUCAAAAAUAAACAUCAACUCCUCGAACAUCUCAUAUGCUCCAUGGCAUUCAAGAUGUCUUUGAAGUCCCAGUUCUAAGCCAUGCAACAUAGCACACUAAACUAUUGAGUAGUGAUCCACAUGCGCUUGCUAGGUGUUCAUAACAUCCAUAGACGUCGGAGGGGGUUGCACACCAAGCGAUGCAUGAAGGACAUAAGCCUUUUGUGCAGCCAUGAGGAUAAUUCUCAGAGUACAGGCCCAGUCUACAAAGUUACUUCCAUCAUCUUUCAGCUUGGCUUUCUCUAGGAACGCAUUGAAAUUCAGGGAAGCUAUUGUGCGAGCCAUUGAUCUACAACAUAAAUUUGCAAAGUCAACUUAGACUAUUGUUCAUGAUAAAUGAGUUCAAAUAAUCAUAUUACUUAAAACUCCCACUCAAAUUGACAUCCCUCCGGUCAUCCGAGUAUAACAUGAUGAAAAUUCACCAACCCAAGUCCGAUCAUAAUGUGAGAUGAGGUGGUUUCAAUGGUGAACAUCUCCAUGUUGAUCAUAUCUACUAUAUGACUCAUGUUCGACCUUUCGGUCUGUUGUGUUCCGAGGCCGUAUCUGUACAUGCUAGGUUCGUCAAGUUUAACCCGAGUGUUUCGCAUGUGCAAAACUGGCUUGCACCCUUUGUAUGUGAAUGUAAAGUCUAUCACACCCGAUCAUAACGUGGUGCUUAGAAAUGACAAACUUCCGCAAUGGUGCACCCUCAGGGAGAACACAAUUUUGUCUUGAAAUUUUAGUGAGGGAUAACUUGUAAUGCUACCAUCGUCCUAAGAAAAAUAAGAUGCAUAAAAGGAUUAACAUCACAUGCAAAUCAUAAGUGACAUGAUAUGACCACCAACUUGUGCUUUUGAUCUCCAUCUCCAAAGCAUCGGCAUGAUCUCCAUCGUCACCGGCAUCACACCAUGAUUUCCAUCAUCAUGAUCUCCAUCAUCGUGUUGCCAUCGAGGUUGUCACGCCAACCAUGCUUCUAUUACUAUUGCUAUCGUUUAGUGAUAAAGUAAAGCAUUACAUAGCGCUUAAUGAUUGACACGCAGGUCAUACAAUAAUUUAAGACAACCCUAUGGCUCCUGCCGGUUGUCGUAUUCAUCGACAUGCAAGUCAACACAAACUAUUACAAACAUGAUCGUCUCAUACAUCAAAUAUAUUUCAACAUGCCUUUGGCCAUAUCCCAUCACAACAUACCCUGCAAAAACAAGUUAGACGUCGUCUAACUUGUUGUUGCAUGUUUUACAUGGCUGCUAUGUGUAUCCAACAAGAACGGUUCUUACCUAUGCAAAACAACAACUGUGAUAUGGAAGUUGCUAUUUAACCUUCUACAAGGACUGCCUUCAUCGAAUUCGAUUCAACUAAGGUGCGAGCGACAGACACCAGCCAACCAUCUUAUGCAACAAAGUCACAUGUCUAUCGAAUGAACCGGUCUCAUGUAUGUGGACAGGUAAAGUUGGUCUGGGCCGCUUCAUCCCACAAUUCUGCUAAAUCAAGAAAAGACCAAGGAAGGAAGCAAUCUGAAUAACAAUACCGAUAAACUCCUUUGUGUUCUACUCAUGAUGUCAUCUGCGCAUAGCCCUAGCUCUGGUACCACUGUUGUUGGAAGUUGCAUGGGAAAGAAAAAAAUUCCUACACUCACCAAGAUCAAUUUAGGAGAUGAACAUCUACGAGAGGAGAGAUUUACUCUACAUAAACUUGUAGAUCACUAAGAGGAAGCGCUAAGAAACAUGGUUGAUGUAGUCAAACAUCUUCGCGAUCCAAUCAUGAUACGUCUCGCAAACUCCUGAUCUAGUGCCAAACGGACGGCACCUAUGCGUUCAACACGCGCACGGCUAAUUGAUGCCUUCACCUCCUUGAUCCAACAAGAAAUGGAGAAGUAGUAUUUCAAGUCCUCCAACAACACGAUAUCGUGGCGGCGGUGGUGGUGGAGGAAUUUCAGCAGAGCUUUGCUAAGCACUACGCGGAAGGAGAAGGACUACGAGGGAGAAGACAGGCAGCGACACGACACAGAUGUGUCUGUCUGCCCUCCUUCUACCCCCAUAUAUAUAGGGGGAAGGGAGGAGGUGGGGAUGCCCUAUGGGUUCCCUUAGGAGGCGGCGGCCACCAUAGAUGGGGGCGCCCCUAGGGAAACCCUAGGGUGUCUUUCCCCCCAAGCUAGGUGGAGGCAGCCCUAGGGGAUUGCCCCAACCCUUCCGUCAUGGUGGGAUUGGGUGUGGGGGCGCACAACCCCUUAGUGGGCCGGUGUGCUCCCUCCCCUUGUCCCAUGAAGCGCCCAACACUUACCUGGCCCCCCAGAAACCCCUUUCUGUACUCCGUCGAUUCCCGCGGUACCCCUGGAACAAUUCCGGACUCCGAUACCCUUCGUCCUAUAUAUCAAUCUUCACCUCCAAACCAUUCUGGAGUUCCUCGUCAUGUCAGGGAUCUCAUUCGGGAAUCCGAACAAUCUUCGGUAACCACCAUAUGACCCAACUAUACUUAUAUCGUCAACAAACGUUAAGUGUGUAGACCCUGCGGGUUCGAGAACUAUGCACACAUGACCGAUACACCUCUACGGUCAAUGACCAAUAACAUGACCUGGAUGCCCAUGUUGGUUCCUACAUAUUCUACGAAGAUCUUUAUCAGUCGAACCUCGAUGUCAAGGUUUCAGGCAAUCCCGUAUGAAGUUCCCUUUUUCCAUUGGUAUGUUACUUGCCUGAGAUUCGAUCAUUGGUAUCUCCAUACCUAGUGCAAUCUCGUUACCGGCAAGUCUCUCUAUUUUGUAAUACAAGAUCCCGUGGCUAACUUCUUAGUCACAUUGAUUGCAAGCUUAUUGUGAUGUUGUAUUACCGAGUGGGCCCUGAGAUACCUCUCCAUCAUACGGAGUGACAAAUCCCAGUCUCGAUCCAUGCCAAUUCAAUAGACACCCUUGGAGACACCUGUAGAGCAUCUUUAUAGUCACCCAGUUACGUUGUGAUGUUUGAUACACACAAGGCACUCCUCCGGUGUUAGUGACUUGCAUGAUCUCAUGGUCAUAGGAACAUAUAAUUGACAUGCAGAAAACGAUAGCAAUAAACUUGACAAGAUCAUAUGCUACAUUCAUAGUUUGGGUCUUGUAAAUCACAUCAUUCUCCUAAUGAUGUGAUCACGUUAUCAAAUGACAACUCAUGUCCAUGACCCGGAAACCAUGGCCAUCUUUGAUCAACGAGCUAGUCUGGUAGAGGCUCACUAUGGACACGUUGUUUGUCUAUGUACCCACACAUGUAUUUUAAUUUCCAAUCAAUACAAUUAUAGCAUGGAUAAUAAACGAUUAUCAUGAACAAGGAAACAAAAUAAUGACCAUUUUAUUAUUGCCUCCAGGGCGUAUUUCCAACACUUCCGAUGAUUUUGUGAGUAGUUUACGAUAGCCCUUCGGGUCUAUAGCUAGAAUCUAGAUGGCUUCUUCUCUCUCUUUGAUCUUCAAUCCAAAGUUCUUCUCAAUGUUCUUGGAGUUCUAUCCAAUGUAAUCUCCUUUUGCGGUGUGUUUGCUGGGACCUGAUAAAUUAUGAGUUUAUGAUCAGAUGAUUCAUGAGAAUAUUUGAUUCUUCUUUGAACUCUUUUAUGUGUGAUUAUUUUAGCUUUGUAUUUCUCUCCAAUCUAUCGAUUUGGUUUGGCCAACUAGAUUGGUUUAUCUUGCAGUGGGAGAGGUGCUUUGUGAUGGGUUCAAUCCUGUGUUGCUCAAUCCUAGUGACAGAAACAGACAUGGCACAUAUUUGUAUUGUUGACAUUAAGGAUAAAAAUAUGGGGGUUAAUCAUAUUGCUUGAAUUUACUUUGUCUACAUCAUGUCAUCUUGCUUAAGGCGUAACUCUAUUUUAUACCUAAAACUCUAGAUGCAUGCUGGAUAGCAGUCGAUGGGUGAAGUAUAGUAAUAGAUGCAGGCAGGAGUCGGUCUACUUGCAUCGAAUGUGAUGCCUAUAUACAUGAUCAUUGCCAUGAAUCCUUCAUAAUUAUUUGCUUUUCUAUCAAUUGCCCAACAGCAAUUUGUUUACCCACCGUAUGUUCUACGAUCAAGAGAGAAGCAUCUAGUAAAAACUAUGGCCCCUGGGUGUACUUUUAUCAUAUAUAAAAAAACACAAAAAUACCUAGCUGCAAUUUAUUUACUUUUAUUUUAUUUUGUAUUUUACUUUAUCCAUCUAUCACUACCAGAAUUAAUCAUUGAAAAUAACGUCUACGAGGAUUGACAAGCCUCUUAUUUGCGUUAGGUGUCGGUGUUUGCUUUUGUGUGUGCAGGUGCUGUUAACAAGGUUUUGUGUGGUUCACCUACUGGAUUGAUAACCUUGAUUCUUAACUUAGUGAAAUACUUAUUUGUACUAUACUUCAUCAUCCUCUCCUCCUUGGGGAAUUAACAACACAGUCUACAAGUAGCACUCUCCAUUGAAAUGUUAAAUUGUAAUUAGUCCUUACUCCCGAAUUAAUAGUACUUCAAUUUGAAACAAGUUUCGUACAUGUUAAUUAUGUUAUGUUCAUAUAAUACUACACUUCCUAAAUAAGUAGACGUCACAUAACAUUGAGAUUGUAGUUAGGGAUGGAAAUCAAAAUAGGGCAUGAAUGUAACAAUUGCGAGCAAUGUGCUUCAGAAAAGAACUUAUUUGUCUUUUAUUCCCAUGUUUGGACUAGUACAGGUCGGGGUUACACAUGAUGGUGCACAUCACUUUAUUUAUCAUUGUUACAUUAUGCUCCAUUAACUAACAACGAUGAUUCACCCUUCUAGUAUUACAUCUCUUCAUUUCAUAGGCCACUGAUACUUAUAACGUCGCUCCCAGAUGGUUGUUGUUGUGGAUAUUGUUGGUAUGGGGAAGGUUCUUGUGAUUGCUGGGGUGGGUAUGGUAUUGGAAAUUGUUGUUGGGGGAAUUGUUGUGGUGGUUGCUGGGGGAAUUGUUGUUGGGGGAAUUGUUGUUGUUCAGGGGAUUGUUGUGACCGGGGGAAUUGUUGNNNNNNNNNNNNNNNNNNNNNNNNNNNNNNNNNNNNNNNNNNNNNNNNNNNNNNNNNNNNNNNNNNNNNNNNNNNNNNNNNNNNNNNNNNNNNNNNNNNNNNNNNNNNNNNNNNNNNNNNNNNNNNNNNNNNNNNNNNNNNNNNNNNNNNNNNNNNNNNNNNNNNNNNNNNNNNNNNNNNNNNNNNNNNNNNNNNNNNNNNNNNNNNNNNNNNNNNNNNNNNNNNNNNNNNNNNNNNNNNNNNNNNNNNNNNNNNNNNNNNNNNNNNNNNNNNNNNNNNNNNNNNNNNNNNNNNNNNNNNNNNNNNNNNNNNNNNNNNNNNNNNNNNNNNNNNNNNNNNNNNNNNNNNNNNNNNNNNNNNNNNNNNNNNNNNNNNNNNNNNNNNNNNNNNNNNNNNNNNNNNNNNNNNNNNNNNNNNNNNNNNNNNNNNNNNNNNNNNNNNNNNNNNNNNNNNNNNNNNNNNNNNNNNNNNNNNNNNNNNNNNNNNNNNNNNNNNNNNNNNNNNNNNNNNNNNNNNNNNNNNNNNNNNNNNNNNNNNNNNNNNNNNNNNNNNNNNNNNNNNNNNNNNNNNNNNNNNNNNNNNNNNNNNNNNNNNNNNNNNNNNNNNNNNNNNNNNNNNNNNNNNNNNNNNNNNNNNNNNNNNNNNNNNNNNNNNNNNNNNNNNNNNNNNNNNNNNNNNNNNNNNNNNNNNNNNNNNNNNNNNNNNNNNNNNNNNNNNNNNNNNNNNUUGUUGUUGCGGGGAUUGGUGUUGUUGGGGGAAUUGCUGUUGCUGGGGGAAUUGUUGUGGUUGCUGGGGGAUUUGAUGUUGUUGGGGGAUUUGUUGUUGCGGGAUUUGUUGUUGUUGGAGGAAUUGUUGUUGUUGGGGGAAUUGUUGUGGUUGCUGGGGGAUUUGAUGUUGUUGGGGGAUUUGUUGUUGGGGGAAUUGUUGUUGUUGGAGGAAUUGUUCUUGUGGAGUAUGCAAUUCCUUGCCUCUAGUGCUUAGCAGCCUACUGGCACUGGCGAUGUUCAUCGCCAUGGCAAGGAGGACAAAUAUGAUGAAGGUCUUCAUGUUUGAUUUGUGUUUACUAUUGCUCACUUGGCUUUGGUGUUUCAACUCUAGGUCCUUGAAGGUUAGAUGAUGGAAGAGACCCUCAUGGUGUAGUCGUAUUUAUAGCUGGCAUCGCACAUUUGUUUUUGAUCUUCACACUCGUUUCUUGAAAAAGUGCUCUUAAGCUUAUCGACCUAAUAAUUUUCUAUGUUGUGUUUGAUGGCACUACUUACUAGCGUGACUUUGGAUUGUUCAUCAUAGUUGAUUGUUCUUUCUCAUAUCAUCUGGGCGUAUCAAAUGCUUGAUAACGCAUAAUGACUCAUCGUAUUCACUUUACACUUCAAAUAUUGAUCUAGAUUGUGUCCGUCUUUCUGAUUUAGCUUGUGCUGUUCUGCAUGUUGUUAGGUAUAUCCAGAUUGGCAUAACUUAAGGGAACUAAGUUUGUAAUCUUCACACUCGCUUCUUGAAAAAGUGCUCUUAAGCUUAUCAAUUACCUAAUAAUUUGGUAUGUUGUGUUUCAUGGCACUACUUACUAGUGUGAUUUUGGAUUGUUCUUCAUAGUUGAUUGUUCUUGCACAUAUCAUCUAGGUGUAUGGAAUGCUUGAUAAUGACAAAUGACUCAUCGUAUUCACUUUACACUUCAAACAUUGAUCUAGAUUUUGUCCCUUGCUCCGAGUUAGUUUGUCAUGUUCUAUAUGUUGUUAGGCGUAUCCAGAUUGGCAAACUUAAGGGAACAAAGUUUGUAAUCUUGUGUGUGUCAUUGAGAUAGAUCACACUAUUAAUGCGAAGAUUGUUCUAUACACAAUUUUUUCUGAACUAACUUUAUAUUUUUUGUACAAUAUAUAUGUAAGAUGGAUAAGCAUAGAUGACUCAUCGUAUUACCUUUUCAUAUGGAGCGGUUGUAUUGUUAUAUGAGUUACUAAUAGAAAACAAAGUAUUAGGGCUUUGCGUGGCUUGAUUGAUUCACUCCACGUAGACAUGAACAUUUCUUUUGUAUUUCAUUCGUUGGUUAAUCUAAGUUUGUACAUAUUGUUUCAAGUUGUUCAUAUAGUUUCUAGGUUUCUUUUAUUGAAUUUAUUACCACCAGUAUAGGAAGCUAUUAGUACUAUGAUUGUUGAUACUGAUACAGAACAAAGAGGAAAGAUAGAGCAAUAUACAGUUGAUUUUGUCUGGUAAUUAUAUAAGUGUCUUUUUUUCUAUUUUCUUGUAAGCAAGGAACCUACAAAAAAGAAAUGAAAUAAGUUCUCCUUCUACACGAUACGUGAAUAAAUGAAUUUAGGACAUAUCAUGCCUGACUGAAUGGGAACUGGCCUAUCGCCGUCAUGUAGCAAACACAAGCCAUAAUGCCGAUACACUUGGCUCAUGCAACAUGCACACGUGAACAAAAGAAGAGCCUAUCAGUAUAUUUAUAUUUUUUACUUCUUUUAUCCUUGGCCAUAUUAUUCAUACAUAUGGUUGCAUCGAAUCAAUUGACUUGUCAAUGCCAUGGACCAGCUAGCAUACUAAUGUUUUUGUGUGUGUGGCUUUAGCUGUUGCAAAACCUCUACAUAUGUUUUUUUUCAUUCCUUUACCCUCUACCACUUAUUUUCAGAUUGAUGGAAAGUGAAGUUUGAGACAAGGAAACAAAACACGAUUACAUCCUCCUCCAUGCAGCUUCGUGGAGGCUAAUUAUAAUUGAAACUCCUGUUAAUCGCACUGGAUGUCAUGCCAGAUUCGUGUAGAAUUUGCCGGAUCGAUUGACUAGGGUUUGACCCUUGGAUUUUUAACCUUGUACGUCGUAAUUUUUGUUGUACAUGGAUUAGUAAAGGUCUAUAGUCGAUCCACCAUCAUCACUAUGAAUCAGUAUUACAGAUUCAGAACAGGUCUUUGUCAGAGAAGGAAGUAGGAGUAGCCAAUGAUACAGGAAAAAGCCAGCGAGACCUGCCUGCCUGGCUGUGAACAGUUCAUCUCCUUCUUGCUAUUAAUGUUGUGUUAAAAUACCUAACUAGCUAGCUAGCAAAUCAUAGGUUGUCCUUCUCUAAAAAAAACUGUAGAAAGUUCUUUAAAUGUAGUUAAUUAAACAAGUGAAAUUUUAAAAGAAAAAUUAUUUUGAAGUUGUUGGCUUGUUUGUUGUUGCUAUUGUUUUCGUUGUUCUCGAAACAGGCUUUCACACUGCUUUAUAAAUAAAGCAAUAUCCAAAGAUGUACACGGCCGAAUGAUACAAUAUGGUGAGGUAGCCCCUACAAAGCCGAUCUUGAGAUAUCACGCACACGCGCACACGACUACGCUACCAGCAACAAGCACCGAAAGAACUAAACAUCCUCACGCUACGAACUAGCACACCAAAGCUCCACGAGAACGCCCCCAAGAGGGAGAAUGGCAUAGAGCGUCGCCGCUGCCAAGUCCAUACCGGACAAAGGUCUACACUUGGAGACCUGACACGGAGAGAAGAAGCACAACAACGUCUUCAAGAAGAGCGCGACACCCAUGAGUGUCGUCGGUGGCGGUGCCCAGGCAUGGAGCUUUCGCUUGGCAACUCACCCGUGCCACCAUGAGGUCCUCAAGAGUAGCGCCGCGAUGUUCAAUCCCAUGAUCUUGAUUAGGACGCUGCCCCUCCGAAAGAGAAGGCACGUCUGAGCUUAUAACCGCAACACCUACCGUUGCCCACACAACCCGGGAGGGGAGCCACCACAACCGGAAUAAUGCCCGCCAAAGAGCAACCAUGUGGCCCGCCAUCAGGGGACGCCAACCCAGUAUCACUGUCGCGAGAUACCAUACACCACUCACAUUACAAUGCAACCAACCAUGGUAGGAAGAGAGACAACACUCCGUCUACUCCUACCCUAGCCUAUGUCCCAAUGUUUGGUUAGGCGCCUCCACCAUAGGACGCACCCACACCUGCAUCCCCAGCCAAUGCUCCAUGGACUAGGGGGGCCACCGGCGAGCCAACCUCGAGCCCUUGGUCAGGCGAGCUCACACGACGCCAUGUCCGUGUUCUCUGACACUGAUCCUCUCAUGAAUGCAAUGCUAACACAACUAUCACCACCGAGCAGCACCCAAGCUGGCUCGCUUCGCAAUGCACAAAUCAUGGCAGGUAAAGCCCGGCAUCAGUCACCAGCCAGUGACUGCCGACGGCCAUUGUUGAGGCCAGCUCAGACGCCAAGUCUGUGAACUGAGGCACUGGUCCGCCAGCCGACACAAUGUAUGCCUGACCACCACAUCCAUGAACCAUCACCGAUGCUACAACGUGUGGAGGUGCCUCCCCCAACCUAGCUUCAAGCAUCCACCUUGGCUUGACUGGCAGCGACCCAGUGCCGAGAAAUCCUACUACAAGGCGACUACGCACCGAACCUCAUGUGAUGAGAAACCAACCCCGACAAGGACGACCAUAUCAAAAUCCAUGCCCGGUGGCUAGUCUGCGUCACCAGCCCGCUGCCUACAUAUGCACCCAGACAAGGCGGGCGCCGCCCCAUCAAGAGGGGGGCCGCUUAGAGCAGCUGGCAACUCCGGUCGCUGAGCAGCUACACCAAUGCUAACCCCACCUCUCCAUUGACACCCCCCGCCUAGAUCCAUCGCCGCCAGCCAAAACCAUGGCCACCACCCAUCGCCUCUUGUCAUGCCUCCACGCCUGUGAGAGAGACUGCCGAAACCCACCAUCACCAGCUGUCGUGCUCAGAAGAGGGAGAACUGCCACCAUCGCCUUGUGCCGCUUGUCACAAGUUGGCAGCAGAUCCACACUGCCAUAGCUAUCACAUGCCUGCCUACACAGUAGGAUUUGCUAGGUUUUACCAUGUCUGUACAAUUCUUUUUUCCUAUUUUCUCCAAGAUGUUGUUUUUAAAAUUUGCUUGCAGGUUUAAGGAAAGGAGGAGUUCACUAUCACCACCACCUCGUGCAAGGGGAUGUCAGCAUCAGUCAUCUUUACCAUCAUCCACCUCCAUCCCAUUGUAAUACCAAACCCAUGUGGAUCCAUACAUGUAUUAUCCGUGUGUUUCAUCCAUGUUUACCACCACUAUUUCCACUGCAAAUUAUGAUUUUUGACUCAAGUUGAGGGGGUCAUUUUCCUUCAAAUUUAGAACCUUGUUUGAUGGGUCAUGAUUUGUGAGAGGAUACUUUUUGUCCCGCUAAGAUUGUUAUUGGAGAUAAUUGGUACUUAAACUCAUUUUGUGAAUGGAACAUCAAAGGCGAAAAGUGCAUAAGUAAUCAAUUAUUCUCACUAUAAAUGAACAAUGAAAUCUGGCAUGGAGUUCGUGGAAAACAUAAACACCUAGUUUGAUGUAGAUGCAUGUCAGAUAAGAUGGUUACAAACUCAUGGAGCUCUACAUUGAAGUGUUAUAUUUCAAUUACUCCUUACUCCCUAAUUAAUAGUACUUUAAUUUGGACCAAGUUUCACACACGUUAAGUAUGUUAUGUACAAAAUGAAUGAAACCUUGAUAAGGAUUUGACAUGGAAAGUGAAUAAGGUGCGUCAGUUUUUUCUCAAAAUAAAAUACCAAGCACCAUGCUUUCGUGACAACCAUACGAUCUUUUGCACAACUAGCCAAACAAAUUUUGAUGAUCAAUCCUAUAUUAAACUUGUGGCUAGUGCAACCUGACAGAAUAUACAAAAUGAUCCAUUUCAUAAGCAUGCAUGCAAAAAAAUUGGAAAAUGAAUGAAAAAAUUAAUCGCUAGCUGGAAUUUCAUUCAAUCAUCCCAUCCAAGCUGGUAGAACCACACUGACUGCAAUCCGACAUCUACAUAACAAGAUGUCCACAACCCAACACGUCCAAAACAAAAAGAUAAAAAAAUGCAAAGACGGCAAGAGGUUAUGCCAUAAAUGGACUUGUGCCGCAAAUAUCAUCACAAGUACAAAACACAAAUAGAAACAACAAAGACAAGUAGCAGCAGUCAAGAGCAAUUCACCACAAAGACACAUCCCCAUCCUUUCCCUCACCACCAUUGCAUCGGCUAGCGCCAAUGAACAGCUCGAGGGCAGCAGGAUCAAUGCUAGUGAAAGCAUUUCACCGACUUCAUUUUGCUAAGAAAGUCCAUGCAAUGAGUCGACAUGAAAGAAAGUGUUUAGUUAGUUCAAAUACAGAUAUCCUGAGAGCAGCCUAAUAAAUGAGAAAACCUGUGUCGGUCAUUCAUCACCAAAAUCCAUGUAAACGCACUUGGAUGGAUCGUGCAGUCAGGAACAAAAGUCCAAGGGGGCGACCUAUAUAUACAGUUUAUUUGCUUGGUAACUCUGGUUUAGCACUAUCUUUUUUCCUUAUCCUUGUCCAUUUUAUCCCUGCAGAAAAUAGCCAAAUGAGGAAGCAAAGGGAAGUGUUUGAUUAGUUCUCCAUGAAACGAGAAUAAAUGAAUUUCGGACAAAGUAUGGCUGAACUGCGAAAUCCAUAGAUUGGCCUAACUGAAUUGGGAAACUUGUCUCCAUCAUGCAGCUGACAAGAGCCAUACUGCUGAUACACUUGGCCCAUGCAACAUGCAUGCAUGAUUAUAAGGAGAACAUCCAUUAUUCUCUAAUUUAAAUGAGUAACAGUCUCGUAGUAAACAAGAUCCAGAUAUAAUGUUCAUGCUCGACGCAGGCACUAAAUAACAAAUAUUCUGGUUCAUCACUAAUCCCGAUUGUAAUCGAAGAGCGAGCGUGCCGACGGUGAUCACAUCAACCUUGGAACCAUUUCCCACACGCAUCAUCACUUCGUUUUUCACCAGCCUCCGUCUAUUUCGUAGUUCCUGCUUUGGGUUGCAAAUGUGAGCAACUGAACCGGUAUCAGAUACCCAGGCACUACAACAAGAGUUGGUAAGGAACACAUCUAUAACAUAUAUAUAUAUAUAUAUAUAUAUAUAUAUAUAUCAUAUAUAUCAUAUAUAUCUUGUUUGGCGUUGGCCCCUUCUUGUCGGCCAGGCUUGGGGAAAUUCCGCUUCCAGUGGCCAGUCUCGUUGAAAUAGAAGCACUCAGUUUCCGGCUUGGGCCCAGCCUUGGGUUUCUUCACGGGAGAGGCAACUACUUUGCCACUCUUCUUGGAGUUACCAUUCUUGCCCUAGCCAUUCUUCUUGAAACUAGUGGUUUUAUUGACCAUCAACACUUGAUGCUCUUUCUGGAUGUCUAACUCAGCGACUUUCAGCAUCGCAAACAGCUCGGAGACUGACUUGUUAAUCCCUUGCAUGUUAUAGUUUAGCAAAAAGCACUUGUAGCUAGGUGGUACUGAUUGAAGAACUUUGUCAGUGAUCGCUUCUGGUGGGAGCACAACUCCCAACUUAGCCAGACGGUUGUAAUACCCAGACAUUCUAAGUAUGUGUUCACUGACAUACCCGUUCUCGUCCAUCUUGUAAGCAAAGAACUUAUCGGAGGUCUCAUACCUCUCGAUCCGGGCAUUCCUUUCAAAAAUGAACAUCAACUCCUCGAACAUCUCAUAUGCUCCAUGGCAUUCAAGAUGUCUUUGAAGUCCCAGUUCUAAGCCAUGCAACAUAGCACACUAAACUAUUGAGUAGUGAUCCACAUGCGCUUGCUAGGUGUUCAUAACAUCCAUAGACGUCGGAGGGGGUUGCACACCAAGCGAUGCAUGAAGGACAUAAGCCUUUUGUGCAGCCAUGAGGAUAAUUCUCAGAGUACAGGCCCAGUCUACAAAGUUACUUCCAUCAUCUUUCAGCUUGGCUUUCUCUAGGAACGCAUUGAAAUUCAGGGAAGCUAUUGUGCGAGCCAUUGAUCUACAACAUAAAUUUGCAAAGUCAACUUAGACUAUUGUUCAUGAUAAAUGAGUUCAAAUAAUCAUAUUACUUAAAACUCCCACUCAAAUUGACAUCCCUCCGGUCAUCCGAGUAUAACAUGAUGAAAAUUCACCAACCCAAGUCCGAUCAUAAUGUGAGAUGAGGUGGUUUCAAUGGUGAACAUCUCCAUGUUGAUCAUAUCUACUAUAUGACUCAUGUUCGACCUUUCGGUCUGUUGUGUUCCGAGGCCGUAUCUGUACAUGCUAGGUUCGUCAAGUUUAACCCGAGUGUUUCGCAUGUGCAAAACUGGCUUGCACCCUUUGUAUGUGAAUGUAAAGUCUAUCACACCCGAUCAUAAUGUGGUGCUUAGAAAUGACAAACUUCCGCAAUGGUGCACACUCAGGGAGAACACAAUUUUGUCUUGAAAUUUUAGUGAGGGAUAACUUGUAAUGCUACCAUCGUCCUAAGAAAAAUAAGAUGCAUAAAAGGAUUAACAUCACAUGCAAAUCAUAAGUGGCAUGAUAUGACCACCAACUUGUGCUUUUGAUCUCCAUCUCCAAAGCAUCGGCAUGAUCUCCAUCGUCACCGGCUUCACACCAUGAUUUCCAUCAUCAUGAUCUCCAUCAUCGUGUUGCCAUCGAGGUUGUCACGCCAACCAUGCUUCUAUUACUAUUGCUAUCGUUUAGUGAUAAAGUAAAGCAUUACAUAGCGCUUAAUGAUUGACACGCAGGUCAUACUAUAAUUUAAGACAACCCUAUGGCUCCUACCGGUUGUCGUAUUCAUCGACAUGCAAGUCAACACAAACUAUUACAAACAUGAUCGUCUCAUACAUCAAAUAUAUUUCAACAUGUCUUUGGCCAUAUCACAUCACAACAUACCCUGCAAAAACAAGUUAGACGUCGUCUAACUUGUUGUUGCAUGUUUUACAUGGCUGCUAUGUGUAUCCAACAAGAACGGUUCUUACCUAUGCAAAACAACAACUGUGAUAUGGAAGUUGCUAUUUAACCUUCUACAAGGACAGCCUUCAUCGAAUUCGAUUCAACUAAGGUGCGAGCGACAGACACCAGCCAACCAUCUUAUGCAACAAAGUCACAUGUCUAUCGAAUGAACCGGUCUCAUGUAUGUGGACAGGUAAAGUUGGUCUGGGCCGCUUCAUCCCACAAUUCUGCUAAAUCAAGAAAAGACCAAGGAAGGAAGCAAUCUGAAUAACAAUACCGAUAAACUCCUUUGUGUUCUACUCAUGAUGUCAUCUGCGCAUAGCCCUAGCUCUGGUACCACUACUGUUGGAAGUUGCAUGGGAAAGAAAAAAAUUCCUACACUCACCAAGAUCAAUUUAGGAGAUGAACAUCUACGAGAGGAGAGAUUUCCUCUACAUAAACUUGUAGAUCACUAAGAGGAAGCGCUAAGAAACAUGGUUGAUGUAGUCAAACAUCUUCGCGAUCCAAUCAUGAUACGUCUCGCAAACUCCUGAUCUAGUGCCAAACGGACGACACCUAUGCGUUCAACACGCGCACGGCUAAUUGAUGCCUUCACCUCCUUGAUCCAACAAGAAAUGGAGAAGUAGUAGUUCAAGUCCUCCAACAACACGAUAUCGUGGCGGCGGUGGUGGUGGAGGAAUUUCAGCAGAGCUUUGCUAAGCACUACGCGGAAGGAGAAGGACUACGAGGGAGAGGACAGGCAGCGACACGACACAGAUGUGUCUGUCUGCCCUCCUUCUACCCCCAUAUAUAUAGGGGGAAGGGAGGAGGUGGGGAUGCCCUAUGGGUUCCCUUAGGACGCGGCGGCCACCAUAGAUGGGGGCGCCCCUAGGGAAACCCUAGGGUGGCUUUCCCCCCAAGCUAGGUGGAGGCAGCCCUAGGGGGUUGCCCCGACCCUUCCGUCAUGGUGGGAUUGGGUGUGGGGGGCGCACAACCCCUUAGUGGGCCGGUGUGCUCCCUCCCCUUGUCCCAUGAAGCGCCCAACACUUACCUGGCCCCCCAGAAACCCCUUUCCGUACUCCUUCGAUUCCCGCGGUACCCCUGGAACAGUUCCGGACUCCGAUACCCUUCGUCCUAUAUAUUAAUAUUCACCUCCAGACCAUUCUGGAGUUCCUCGUCAUGUCGGGAAUCUCAUUCGGGAAUCCGAACAACCUUCGAUAACCACCAUAUGACCCAACUAUACUUAUAUCGUCAACAAAAGUUAAGUGUGUAGACCCUGAGUGUUCGAGAACUAUGCACACGUGACCGAUACACCUCUACGGUCAAUGACCAAUAACAUGACCUGGAUGCCCAUGUUGGUUCCUACAUAUUCUACGAAGAUCUUUAUCAGUCGAACCUCGAUGUCAAGGUUUCAGGCAAUCCCGUAUGAAGUUCCCUUUUUCCAUUGGUAUGUUACUUGCCUGAGAUUCGAUCAUUGGUAUCUCCAUACCUAGUGCAAUCUCGUUACCGGCAAGUCUCUCUAUUUUGUAAUACAAGAUCCCGUGGCUAACUUCUUAGUCACAUUGAUUGCAAGCUUAUUGUGAUGUUGUAUUACCGAGUGGGCCCUGAGAUACCUCUCCAUCAUACGGAGUGACAAAUCCCAGUCUCGAUCCAUGCCAAUUCAAUAGACACCCUUGGAGACACCUGUAGAGCAUCUUUAUAGUCACCCAGUUACGUUGUGAUGUUUGAUACACACAAGGCACUCCUCCGGUGUCAGUGACUUGCAUGAUCUCAUGGUCAUAGGAACAUAUAAUUGACAUGCAGAAAACGAUAGCAAUAAACUUGACAAGAUCAUAUGCUACAUUCAUAGUUUGGGUCUUGUAAAUCACAUCAUUCUCCUAAUGAUGUGAUCACGUUAUCAAAUGACAACUCAUGUCCAUGACCCGGAAACCAUGGCCAUCUUUGAUCAACGAGCUAGUCUGGUAGAGGCUCACUAUGGACACGUUGUUUGUCUAUGUACCCACACAGGUAUUUUAAUUUCCAAUCAAUACAAUUAUAGCAUGGAUAAUAAACGAUUAUCAUGAACAAGGAAACAAAAUAAUGACCAUUUUAUUAUUGCCUCCAGGGCGUAUUUCCAACACUUCCGAUGAUUUUGUGAGUAGUUUACGACAGCCCUUCGGGUCUAUAGCUAGAAUCUAGAUGGCUUCUUCUCUCUCUUUGAUCUUCAAUCCAAAGUUCUUCUCAAUGUUCUUGGAGUUCUAUCCAAUGUAAUCUCCUUUUGCGGUGUGUUUGCUGGGACCUGAUAAAUUAUGAGUUUAUGAUCAGAUGAUUCAUGAGAAUAUUUGAUUCUUCUUUGGACUCUUUUAUGUGUGAUUAUUUUAGCUUUGUAUUUCUCUCCAAUCUAUCGAUUUGGUUUGGCUAACUAGAUUGGUUUAUCUUGUAGUGGGAGAGGUGCUUUGUGAUGGGUUCAAUCCUGUGUUGCUCAAUCCUAGUGACAGAAACAGACAUGGCACAUAUUUGUAUUGUUAACAUUAAGGAUAAAAAUAUGGGGGUUAAUCAUAUUGCUUGAAUUUACUUUGUCUACAUCAUGUCAUCUUGCUUAAGGCGUAACUCUAUUUUAUACCUAAAACUCUAGAUGCAUGCUGGAUAGCGGUCGAUGGGUGAAGAAUAGAUGCAGGCAGGAGUCGGUCUACUUGCAUCGAAUGUGAUGCCUAUAUACAUGAUCAUUGCCAUGAAUCCUUCAUAAUUAUUUGCUUUUCUAUCAAUUGCCCAACAGCAAUUUGUUUACCCACCGUAUGUUCUACGAUCAAGAGAGAAGCAUCUAGUAAAAACUAUGGCCCCUGGGUGUACUUUUAUCAUAUAUAAAAAAACACAAAAAUACCUAGCUGCAAUUUAUUUACUUUUAUUUUAUUUUGUAUUUUACUUUAUCCAUCUAUCACUACCAGAAUUAAUCAUUGCAAAUAACGUCUACGAGGAUUGACAAGCCUCUUAUUUGCGUUAGGUGUCAGUGUUUGCUUUUGUGUGUGCAGGUGCUGUUAACAAGGUUUUGUGUGGUUCACCUACUGGAUUGAUAACCUUGAUUCUUAACUUAGUGAAAUACUUAUUUGUACUAUACUUCAUCAUCCUCUCCUCCUUGGGGAAUUAACAACACAGUCUACAAGUAGCACUCUCCAUUGAAAUGUUAAAUUGUAAUUAGUACUUACUCACGAAUUAAUAGUACUUCAAUUUGAAACAAGUUUCGUACAUGUUAAUUAUGUUAUGUUCAUAUAAUACUACACUUCCUAAAUAAGUAGACGUCACAUAACAUUGAGAUUGUAGUUAGGGAUGGAAAUCAAAAUAGGGCAUGAAUGUAACAAUUGCGAGCAAUGUGCUUCAGAAAAGAACUUAUUUGUCUUUUAUUCCCAUGUUUGGACUAGUACAGGUCGGGGUUACACAUGAUGGUGCACAUCACUUUAUUUAUCAUCGUUACAUUAUGCUCCAUUGACUAACAACGAUGAUUCACCCGUCUAGUAUUACAUCUCUUCAUUUCAUAGGCCACUGAUACUUAUAACGUCGCUCCCAGAUGGUUGUUGUUGUGGAUAUUGUUGGUAUGGGGAAGGUUCUUGUGAUUGCUGGGGUGGGUAUGGUAUUGGAAAUUGUUGUUGGGGGAAUUNNNNNN
rnacentral:lncRNA from 1 species